UUUUUUCUUUUUGUUCAAUAAUUAUUUCAGCAUAUUUUUCAUUACAUAAAUAUCAAUUUGUAUAAAUUAAGUAUUUUUUGGUUAAUAAAUAGUUAUCAACUUUCCCGCUAUGCUCCGGAGAUGGUUGCUGACAUGAGGAGCAGGAUGAGUCUAUUUGUUGCUGGGUUGUCUCGUUUGUCAAGCAAGCAAAGCAAGGCAUCUAUGGUGAUAGGGGAUAUGGACAUACCAAGGCUAAUGAUUCAAGUGCAACAAGUUGAGGAGGACAAGAUGAGGGAUAGAGACGAGUUUAAGAAUAAGAGGGUUAAGACAUUAAGGAAUGAGUCCGGGCAACAGAAGAAAAAUGCCAACCGGUUUUCCUUCCAACAGAAACAAAAGGGACAUGCUCCAUUAUCUGCUAGUGCACCUACACCAAAGAACAAAAGUGAGUACAAUAGUCAGAAUUUCAGAGCUAAGCAUGUACUCACUUCAUUGAAGCAAAUAAUUAGUGUGGAUAUAUAUUUGGAGUUUUCUCUGGUUUUGAAGUAACACAUCUCACUUGAAGCAUGAUGAAUAUUCUUGAUUAUCAUACUAGGAUGACUGACUGAACUAACAAUACCAUACUAGGAUUUGAAAUGAGUCAGAUCGAUUAUCAUUAUAGUAAUAUCAUCUGAACUAACCCUUGACACAACAAGGUUUCCAAGUUUUCUGCAAGCAGACAUAAGAGCAUUGGAAUGUUGCCUCUUCUUCAAACCACUCAUGUUUUCUUGAUUUGGGCAAUAAAUUUUCAUAUUCCUCUUUGUUUGGUUCACCAUUGAAACUCGCCUAGCCUUUUUCAAUGGAUAAAUCUAUCAUUUUCAUUGCAAAAUUCAUCCUCACUUGUCAUCCAGCCUUUGAUGGUUUUCUUACAGCAUGGAGAAUGAUUUUUCACUCUAUUUGACUUGAUUAGGGAAACUUGUCGUAGAUUUAGUGAAGGACUUUUACUUACACAAUCAAUUUUGUCUUCUUCCUUUUCAUUUGAAGUAGCCACUUAUUGCAUGCUCUUUUCCAUCAGACAUGAUUGCAUUAUGAAAUCGAUGGUGGUUUCCUGAUUUCCCACCUAAACAACAACUUACAUUAGAAUCAUUAAACAAUAUGAGUUGGUCUCAUCAAAAGCUACACUAGAAGUUUUCAUUUUCUAACUUUAUCCCAAAGACCAUCAGAAGCUAAAAUAAGGUAUUCCAUAUCCGGUGUCAAAGUGAGUGAUGGUACCCAAUCCUUCAAAUGAGCAUCUCUAAUGCUUCGGGACACAGUGAGAACACCAUGUACCAGCCAACCUCCUUUUUGAAGUUCUACAUAUCCUCUGUGCAUCACUAAAGUGAAGUUACUUACACAAUCAAGAGAGACGAGAGAUGUAUCUUCGAUCUCUUUUUAAAUUCAAGUAAUGGUACCUUAUCCUCUAUGUUCUUUUUCUCUCAUCCUCCCUUUCAGAUCUAUGAUCUCUUGUGAGGGCUUCGGCAACUCCAUUUCUACAUAGAACAACUCUACAGUCUCCCAAAUUUAAAAUUAUAAUCUCCUUUCCUUCAAUUAACGUCGUCACACAGCAAGCACCACUGCCUACACCCUUUUAUAAAUCUCAGUGAGCAUGUACAUUGUUAAAUGAACAACAACUAUGCCUCAAAAUCCCAACCAGACUGAGUAGUAUCAGAAAUCUUUAUAUGAACAACAACUAUGCCUCAAAAUCCCAAGUACAUUGGUUCUUUAUUUGGGCAGGAGACGACAAUGUUCAAUUGCACAAGAAAAGGAACAAAAUUUCUCGUCAUAAAAAUUUAAUAGAUUCUAAAUAACCAGAAUGUUUGCAGUUCGGACUCCAACAGAAGCAAUUACUUAUUCAGAUUGUUCAAACUGUUAGAAUCUCUAGAAUGUUAUUGUUUUCCUUCAUUCUUCAAAGAUGCGAAUCAGGGUAGAGUGAACGCUCUCAAACUAAAUCAGCUAUGAAUAUGUAUGUAUGUGUGCCGUUAUAAUUUAACAAUUUAUUAUUAUUUCAGACCUGUUGUUGUUCAUUAGCAAUUCAUUCUUGUUUCCCGUCUAUUUUCCCGCUUUGCUUUAGCUGGUUGUAGUUUGUUAUUGAUUGUUUCACUUCUAAAACUUUGUGCUGGGCAUUUUGACAUUCCUUGGAACCUCUUUUGUGGUCGGCUUAAAAUGACGACUAAAGCAAUUCACCAUUUCUUGGUGCUGAAAAAAUAAAAUAAAUAAAUCUCUUGUUUCCUUCUUUCUCCUGAACGUUCUUCUUCUCUUUUCUUUUUUCUUUGUAUUUUUUCAAUCUCAACCUCUUCUUCACAUAUCAUUAAUAUUUCAACCUCUCUGUUUUUUUUUAAGUUUCCAGAAUCUCUUUGUUCUCCCUAAGGAUCAAAUUAUUGUUUUCCCAACUUCAUAAACAAUAAAAAUUACAAUAAUCUCUUGGGUUAUAAUUUCAACAGAAAUUUCUAAGAGGGAAAAACUUUUAAAAUUUCUAUACAUUAUAAGAGGAUUGCAAGAUGUCUUGCUUUUGCUCUUUUGAAAUUGAGAGAUCAAAAAGGAAAGGAAAAGAAAAGAAGAAGAAGAAGAAGAAGAACUCUUAGGAGACAAGAGAGAAUGAUUUGAGGGAAUAAAUGAUAAAAUAAAAAGUUCAAUAUUUUACUUUUAGCAGGUCGGAUUGAAUGGGGCUGGUCAUUAAAUGGUUUAAAUGGAUAUAUAUUUGGUUCUUAAAAUUUUGGCUAAAAAUAAAAAUUUCACGUCAAAAAAAUUUAGUGAAAAAAACAAUUAAAUAGGUUGAGUGACUUUCCGUGCAAAGAAGUCAUAGUUGAGUGACUUUCUGUUAAAAUAGUUGAUGGUUGAGUGACCAUCAAAGUUAUUAACUCUUGAAUGAUUAUAUGAGAAAUCAAACAGUACUAAAGAGAUAGACAUGUUACAUGAUAGCCAGAAAAGGAGCAAUAGAAUGGACAUUCCCCAUCAUAGAUUCCUUAAUGUCUUUUGCAAACUUAAAAAGCGGAGUCACAAACCAAGGAAACACUAUAAGGAUACAUUUAGGCGUUUGUCCAUGGGGAAUAAAUAUUAGAUAGUGAGAAUGUGAUUAGUACAUGUUUAGCUUUAUUGAGAAGUCUAUGGCCUAUCAUUAGCAUAUUUCUUGAUGCUUUCAUGUUCUUUGGCCUAGUCCAACAUUCAUGAGAAUUCGCAGUCGAGGCAGCGGUAGAGGAAGAGCUAGGGGUAGAGGCCGUGGCAGAGUAGAACCUGCUGGAAAUGGAGCUCCUAUUGAGAAUGCUCCUAUGAAUGAGAACCCUUAUGCGCAUCAUGAAGAAAUAGAGGAGAAUGUUGAUGUUGAUGUUGAGGAUUUAGGAAAAGAGGGAGAGGUGAAUGUUGAGACUACAUGUGUUCCUCCUUUAGAUCCAGUGUUAGCUCAACAGAUCAUGUUGUUCUUUAAAGGAUUGGUUGGUCCUGGAUUGCUUCCUUCUGCUCAAGCAACUCAAGCUCCUACUAAUCUUCCUAUUGCUAGCACUAUGCCCAAGGUGGGUGGGACCGGAGGUAAUGAUACUUUCUUCCGUCCUUUGUUGGGUUCUGUUAUGAAUGGUAAUGAGCAUGAAAUGUUGACUAAGUUUCUAAAGCUAAAGUCUCCUAUGUUUCUUGGUUCUGAGAAUGAGGAUGCUUAUGAGUUCAUUCUGGAUUGCUAUGAGAGGAUUCAUAAACUAGAUAUUGUUCAUCAGCAUGGGGUUGAGUUUGUGUCCUUUCAACUUCAAGGUGAGGCUAAGCAGUGGUGGAAAGCUUAUCUGGAAUGUAGAUCUUCAACUUUACCUCAACUUACUUGGACCCAAUUUUAUGCUCUAUUUCUAGAGAAAUAUGUGCCUAGCACUUUGAGGGAUCGCAAGAAGGAUGAGUUAAUGGCUUUGGAGGAAGUUGGUAUGACUGUGGCUGCUUAUCAGGCCAAGUUCCAUGCUUUGUCUAGAUAUGAUACUCAAUUGGUGAUGACUGAGCAAGAGAGAAUCCGUUAUUUAUGAGGGGGCUAAAUUUUGAGUUGCAAGUAUUAUUUGUUCAUAUGACUUCUGCAGGGAGAAACUUUAAUGAGGUGACAGACUAUGUUAAUAAAGUGGAAGGGGUGAGGCGAGACGGUCAAGCUAAGGCAUGGGCAAAAAGGCCAAGAACUCGGGUAACUUUCAAGGUUCUUAUUCUAAGGGGUCCAGAAGGCCAACGCUUGCAGCCUAGCUAAUUCGGUCUGAUAUGCCUGUCUCUACAGGUAGUUACUCGGAAACUCCAUCUCAUAAUUUCAGGAUAGCCAGGGAGUCGCGCCUUCGACGGGCGGCAUGCCAUCUUUUAAUCGUACUUGUUACCACUGUGGAGAACCUGGGCAUAUGAGGAUAGAUUGUCCCCACCCACGUGUGUUAGAUUCCACGCAGCAACAGUCUAGAGCAGUGGUACUCGCGGGGAAUGGUAAUUAUGGUAGAGGACGUACACAAAGUGGGUGAUGAGGUAAUCAACGAGGCUGAUGAGGUAGAGGAAAUGGUAAUACAGGCAGAGGUAAUGUGCAACCAGGCAGGGAAGUAGUUCGUCAAGAUGAUAGAGCUUAGUGUUAUGUCUUUCUGGGCAAGAAUGAGACAGAGGCGUCUGACGCGGUGAUCACAUGUACUAUUCAUGUCUAUGACAGGAUGACUAAUGUGCUAUUUGAACCGGGUUCUACCUAUUCAUAUGUAUCUGUGAGACUUGCCUUAGAUUUUGAUAUGAUUUAUGAUAUUCUUGAUGCCCCUAUUCGUGUUUCCACCCCAAUUGGAGAAUCAGUCAUAGUUACCCAUGUCUAUCGUGCUUGUCCUAUUUUCUUUAUGUUUUUUCAGACUUGGGCUGAUUUUGUGAUUUUGGAUAUGACUGAAUUUGACAUAAUCUUAGGCAUGACUUGGCUGUUCCCUUAUUAUGUUGUGCUUAACUGUAAUACUAAGUUCGUAACUCUAGAAAUUCCGGGAAGGGAAAAAUUAGAGUGGGAAGGGGUGUACAAGCCUAAGCGAACUAAGAUCAUAUCCUCCAUUCGGGCUAAUAAAUUGAUAGGGUAGGGUUCUUUGGCUUAUUUGGCUCAUAUUAGGGAUGCUAAGAUUGAGGCUCCAUCCAUUGGGUCUAUUCCUAUUGUGUUGGAAUUUAUAGAAGUGUUUCCUAAUGAUUUGUCUGGUAUGCCUCCGGAUAGAGAUAUAGAUUUUUACAUCUAUUUAGAGAGUGGUACGCGUCCCAUUUCUAUUCCUCCAUAUCACAUGGCUCCGACAGAAUUAAGAGAGCUUAAGGCUCAAAUCCAAGAGCUUCUUGAUAAGGGAUUUAUUUGUCCUAGUGCUUCCCCAUGGGGUGCUCCAAUUUUGUUUGUUAAGAAAAAUGAUGGUAGUAUGAGAACGUGUAUAGAUUACCGGCAAUUGAAUAGGGUCACUAUUCGAAACAAGUACCCUUUGCCUCGAACAGAUGAACUUUUUGAGCAAUUGCAAGGUGCAUCAGUUUUCUCUAAGAUUGAUCUAAGAUCCGGUUACCAUCAAUUGAAAAUUAGGCCUCAGGAUGUGCCCAAGACGGCGUUUAGAACUCGCUCUGGGCACUAUGAGUUUUUGGUUUUACCAAUGCGCCUGCAGCUUUCAUGAAUUUGAUGAAUGAGGUGUUCAAACUGUUCCUUGAUUUCUUUGUUAUAGUGUUUAUUGAUGAUAUUUUGGUCUAUUCGAAAAGUGAGGAAGAGCAUGCCGACCAUCUUCGUAGUGUUUUGGGUCGUCUUGGGAAGAAAAAGCUAUAUGCUAAAUUUUCUAAGUGUGAAUUUUGGUUGAAAUCGGUUGCAUUUUUGUGGCAUGUAGUUUCUAAAUAAGGGGUAAUGGUAGAUCCCCAAAAGAUUGAGGUGAUUAAGAAUUGGGUUAGGCCUAGCUCUGUGACGGAAGUUAGGAGUUUUAUUGGGCUCGCUAGCUAUUAUCAUCGAUUUGUGAAGAACUUUGCUUGUAUCACCACACACUUGACUAAUUUAACCAAAAAAGAGAUACCAUUUGAAUGGACUGAAAAGUGUGAGGAGAGCUUUCAAAAGCUCAAGACUCUUUUGACCACCGCGCCUAAUCUAGCAUUAUCGGUUGAAUGUAAGGAUUUUAUUAUUUAUUGUGAUGCUUCUCAUUCUGGGUUGGGUGUUGUGUUGAUGCAGGAUAAGAAUGUUAUAGGUUGUGCCUCGCUUCAAUUGAAGGUGCAUGAGAGGAAUUAUCCAACCCAUGAUUUAGAGUUGGCAGCGAUAGUGUUUGCUCUUAAGAUAUAGCGGCAUUACCUUUAUGGUGUUAAGUGUGAAGUGUUAACUAAUCAUCGUAGUUUGCAGCAUGUGUUCACUCAAAAGAAUCUGAAUUUGAGACAGCGAAGGUGGAUGGAUUUAUUUAAGUAUUGUGAUGUGACCAUCCAAUACCAUUCGGGCAAGGCUAAUAUGGUGGCAGACGCUUUGAGUUGAAAAAUGGUGAGCAGGGGUAGUUUAGCUUGCUUGAAUGUAUCCAAGCGACCUUUGGCUAAAGAAAUUCAGACCUUAGAGUCUAAGUACAUGCAGUUGGGCAUCUUAGAAAGAGGUGAGGUGCAAGCUAGUAUUGAGGUGAGGGCCACUUUCAUUGAAGAGAUCAAGGCCAAACAAUUUGAAGAUGAGAAUUUGGAGGAACUUAAGAAAUAGACUGCGAUUAGUAAGGCAUAAGAGAUAACUCUUGAUGCGGAUGGUGUGCUAAAUUUCAAGGGGAGAAUAUAUGAUCCUAGAGUAGAUGACUUGAUUGAGAAAUUGUUGGUUGAGUCUCAUGGUUCGUGAUAUUCUAUUCAUCCGGGUGUGACCAAGAUGUAUAGAGAUCUUAAGCGAAUUUAUUGGUGGUUGGGCAUGAAGAAAGACAUAGAGGAGUUUGUGGUGAAAUGUCAAAAUUGUCAACAAGUGUAGUAUGAACAUCAAUGGCCUGCGGGUUUGCUUCAAAGAAUGCCAAUUCUGGAAUGGAAGUGGGAAAUAAUAGCCAUGGAUUUUGUGGCUGGUCUUCCUAAGACUUUGGGGAAGUUUGAUUCUAUUUGGAUAGUGGUUUAUAGAUUGAUUAAGUAAGACCACUUAAUUCUGGUAAUAAUAGAUUAUAAUGCUGAACAAUUGGCUAAAGUUUAUGUGAAAGAGAUAGUGAGGUUGCACGGGGUGCACCUUUCUAUCAUUUCAGACUGUGGUACCCAAUUCACAUCCAAGUUUUGGAGGAAAUUGCAUGAUGAAUUGGGCACACAACUCACUUUUAGUACAGCCUUCCAUCCACUGACAAACGGGCAGUCAGAGAGGACUAUUCAGGUGUUAGAAGACAUGUUGAGGGCAUGUGUGCUUGAUUUUGGAGGGCAUUGGGAUAAAUUCAUACUUUUGUGUGAGUUCUCCUAUAAUAAUAGUUAUCACUCAAGUAUUGAUAUGGCACAAUUUGAGGCAUUAUAUGGGAGGGGAUGUAGAUCACCCAUAGGAUGGUUUGAGGCUGGAGAUGUGAAACCAUUGGGGGUUGAUUUAGUGAAGGAUGCCCAAGAUAAGGUUAGGAGUAUUCAAGCUAAGCUUCUAGUAGCCCAGAGUAGACAAAAGAAGUAUGUGGAUCAUCAUAAGGUAAGAGACAUGGCAUUUCAAUCUGCUGAAAAUGUUCUUCUUAAGGUAUCACCCAUGAAAGGGAAGGGAUGAUGGGAUUUGGUAAGAAGGGUAAGCUAAGUCCUAGAUGCAUUGGUCCAUUUGAAAUUCUUGAAUGUGUGGGACCGGUAGCAUAUAGAUUGGAUUUACCUCAUAAUUUAUCAAGUGUUCAUCCGGUAAUUCAUGUGUCCAUGUUGAAGAGGUAUCAUGGUGACGGGAAUUAUAUCAUAAAGUGGGACUCAAUUGUGUUAGACAAGGACCUCCAACAUGAGGAGGAACCGAUUGCAAUUCUUGAUUGUGAUGUGUGUAAGUUGAGGACCAAGGAGAUUCAAUUCGUGAAAAUUCAAUGGAAACAUCGUCCAGUUGAGGAAGCCACUUGGGAAACCAAUAGGGACAUGCGAGACAAGUAUCCCCAAUUGUUCGUCGAUUGAGGUACUACUUCAUUCCUUCCUUAGCCUAUGUUCCUAGGUUUUGCCAUUCGGGGACGAGUGAUAGGUAAAUUGGUAUCUAUUGUAACGACAUGUUUCCGUCGUUAUAGAAAAGCCAACGGGGGAAAAUUUGGGUCUGGAAAACUUUUUCGUAGUAGUUGGAUUUUUCCAACUUUGUCCACAUUUGGACGAAAUCGGAGUCUUUGAGGUGAAGGGAAAUCUGGUAACAAUCAGGUGAAGUAUUUGUGUUUUUGAUUACAUAAGUAGUUAGAUAACUCGUUAAAGAAUUCGUACGACUUUACGGAAUUGAAUUCGGGUGAGUAGAACUCCCGGAAUCGAUCUUAGCAUAAGUGUAUUUUCUGAGCGUCAUGGGUUAGAGGUGUGUUGUGAAAUGGGAAUUUUGGAAUUCUUGAAUUAGCUCUCUGUCUCGCGUAACCCGCUUUGGCACUUGUUUGCCGCUCAGGCGGGGCCACUACAGCAGGGUGACGGCCGCUGUAGUGGGCUCAACGCGAAUUAAAGUCAUUAAUAAACCCCUAAACGACCUCAUUAUACACUUUUUGAUUUUUAGAGCUAAUGCACGAACCCAGGCGACUCCUACUCGUCUUUCACCAUUCUUUAGGCUAAAAGUAAGCUUUUCACUCCCCGUAUCCAUUUAUUGAUCCGUAGAACGGAAUUGAAUGGGUGAAUAUUGAUGGAGGAGGGUUUUAUUAUAGAUUCUAUGGUGGAAACAACCCAAAUUUGGAUAAUUGGGAUCAUGGGUUUGAUCUAGGGUUCAUAGAAUUGUUGGUAAUCCGGGUAAUUAAUGAUUGUUUAUUGAUUCCCAUAUUAUAUUGAUUAUUUAUAAACCAAGAACAAGAGGAACGAAUCUGGAAAGGGAAGGAUCAAGUUUCUUAGAGUUUCAAGCUUGUUUCGAGGUAGGUGAUGGUUGUGAUUCUAUGAUUGUGUGAUGUAAGCUUGUUCUUGCUUCAUUAUGAUACUUGUAUAUGUAUGAAUGUUGCAAUGUUGAUCGUACUUGUUGCAAAUGAGAUAGAGGAAUGAUGAUUACCAUGAAAUCAUAACUUAAAUGUAUGAUCUUGUUGAUAUACUUGUGAUUGUCAUUAUGGUGUGUUGAAUGGAUCGGCUGCCACGUUUCGGCAUAACUAACUCGGAUCGGUUGCCACGUUCCGGCAUAACUAUGGGAUCGAUUGCCACGUUCUGGCAUAAUUAUGGGAUCGGAUACCACGUUCCAGUAUGCUAACUGUUUGGGUUUGGCUUCAAUAAGAGGACCAAUGAUUUAAUAUAAUUGUGUAUCUUGAGAAAUGUGAAGUUGUCCAUUGUUCGUAUAUGUUGAUGAUAUUGUAUAUGUUCGUUAUAUGCAUGUGAUUAUAAUGUUGUCUUGACUUGCUUAUGUUGCACUAGUGGGAUAGCCGCGUGAUCCUACCAGUACACUGUGGUAGUGUACUCUUACUGCACUUCCUCUUAUUUUUGUUGAGUACAGGGCAUCUUCAAGUGGCUACUGACAGACCUCGCUUAGGAUAUUAGUGAUCGUUCAAAUUUAAGGGAGAGCCAAUUCUUCUGGGCUGCCAUGAAAUUCUCUUUUGUCUAUGUCCACCAUUUUCAAACUUAGACUUAUGUUAAAGUUAGUUGAUUAGUUCAUUAGUUUAGGGUUGUAUCCCUUCUUGUUUAGACUUGGUUCAUUGUUAGAUGUUUUGGUACAUUGACUUUCAAGUUCUAAGUUAUUUCUUCCGCAUUGUUAAUUGUUAGAUCUCUUGUUGAAGUUUAUGUGAACUUCAGUUUUAGCUAUUAUUUCUGCUUUCAUAUACUGAAAUGCCUUAGUUUUUAGAUUAGUUGCUUGGUUUGGGUUGUAGUAGUGGUUUUCCCACUUGAGUGUUAGUGUGGGUGCUAAUCAUGAUGGUCUGGGUCGUGACAACUUUGCUGGCUAAUUUACCCAACCUCGAACGGUUUUAUGCAUUUGUUAGAACAGAUUGGACACUAAAUGAAGAUGUUGUGUUUCACAAAUUAAAAUAUCUACGAAUUGUAGAAGCAAAUCUGCAAAGGUGGGAAGCGGGUAAUGAUAAUUUUCCAAUGCUUGAGUAACUAAUAUUGCAUGGGUUGCAUAAUCUAGAGGAGUUUCUCGAGAGUAUUGGAGAAAUAAAUUCUAGCGCGAUAUAUGAUAAUACAUGCAUAUCGCGUUCUUUUUCUAGAAGUUUGUAAUAUGUUGAUAAAGAAGAGAUUAUAUGUUAUGCAAUUCAAAGGAUAAAAUCAACAUGACAAUGGACAAAGAACAUAACAUAUAUAAUUAAAAUUACUAACUUCAACUGAAUAAUAACUGAUGACCACAACACUUAGUACUGACUUCGACUGAAUCAUAACUCAUGAACAUUUCAUGAUGAACACCUAAAAUGACGAAUGAAUCUAGAAACUUAAUAUAGUAUUUAAGUUUUUAAUUUUAAUUUUGACAAUUACAUAACACGCACACUAGUAAUUGGGAACUAUGUAAGAAGUAGAUCCACUAACCCUAUUAGCAAAGGGUCCACCAACAUUGAGUCCUUAUGAAGAACUUUAGUUAGCACAAUUAGGAGGAGUCCAGGCACUUCCCAAUGUCUGAAAUGGUAAUGCAUUAUUAUUCACCAUUUAUGCCUCUUUUUCAACCUUUUGUUUUAGAAUUUUCACUGCCUUCUUCAAGUGUUGAAGUUGGAAUAAGUUAAGUUCUUCCAUAGGAGAUUCCCACCAUAGACCAUUAGCUCUCUUCCAAAUUUCUCGAAGGAAUUCUCCGCGAUUUUUCUCCAUCUGGAGAACCCCCUCGAGGUUCAUGAGCUUGGUAUUGAGCUCACGAAUACCAUCUUCUCUACGAGCCACAAUUUGUUGAUUAUGGACAUCGUUAUUUGGUGGAGAGAGGUUCCUCCCAAGGAACCUCUCCACCAACGUGUUCACGCUAGGGUGACUAAAGGAGAAAAACCCUUUAUCACCCGGGGAAAAUACCACAAUGACAAUUUCAGCACCACAUAGCGUACAAAGUUCACUAGCCUUUUUGAACAUACCAGCACAACGUUUAGAAAACGUAACUUGUAAGUUCCUCGCAUUCUUCAUUUUCACCAUGUCAACCCUUUGACGACCCUUGCUGAUCCUUGUUGUCAUGUCUAAACUAUCACUAUGUAAUUGUGAAAGUAAAAUUGUCAUUUUUGGUCUUAACACCAACAACUUUUUAUAGCAAAUUGUGUUUUAAAAUAACUUGGGGAGCCUAGAAAUUUAUGUACUCUCCUUUUUUUGCAUUGAAGAAAAGUAUUGAAAAUGAAAAACCUUAGAUUCACUUGCCCUUCAUUCUUUGUCUCGGUAGAUAUAGACCUUAUUAUCAUAGAUUCACUUGCCCUUCAUUCUUUGUCUCGGUAGAUAUAGACCUUAUUAUCAUAGAUUCACUUGCCCUUCAUUCUUUGUCUCGGUAGAUAUAGACCUUAUUAUCAUAGAUUCACUUGCCCUUCAUUCUUUGUCUCGGUAGAUAUAGACCUUAUUAUCAUAGAUUCACUUGCCCUUCAUUCUUUGUCUCGGUAGAUAUAGACCUUAUUAUCAUAGAUUCACUUGCCCUUCAUUCUUUGUCUCGGUAGAUAUAGAUCUUAUUAUCAGAAUUAGACUAUAAAUAUUUUUCCUAAUUAGAAUUAUAUUAUUGGAUUGCACUUGAACACCAUUUUAUUUGAGAACAAUUUUUUUAAGAAAAUAUAUUAAAUGAUUAAUAAAACCCUUAAUGUUUUAAUACUAAACCGAAUUUUUCAUUUACCAUUGAAUUUUCCUAGUUAAUCAUCAUGUAGAGACCUACAAUGUAUCACAUCAAGCAUAUGCAGGUGUUUGGAUUUAUAAAUAUAUCAACACUACUACAUUCAAUAAAGAUUUCAAACUCUGUGUAGUGAUAUAUUUACCUUUUUAAUUAGUAAAUGUUAAACAACUCACAUUUCAAAUAAUAUAUUGAUUUGUAUUGGAUUUAUUUAACAACAAACAACUCUCUCUAAAUAAUAAAAUUUGUAAGCUAAUUAUUUGAAUAAAUUUAUUAGUACAAAUAUAGAACAUAAAAUACAGAAAAUAAACAAAACCGUUAAAAGAAUUUGACGGAUAUAUUUUUUGCUUUACAUAGAUUUAUACGGUGAUAUUAAAUUCUAUGUAUUCCAAAUAUCACCAAAAGUAAGGUAUUAGUUAUACAUCAUAUACCAUGUAGGGCGUAUAACUAAUCUAUGAAUUAAUUAUACAUAGGCCUUAAAUUCCUACCAAACAUAGUACUAAAUAAUACCAUACAAAUACAUGGACUAUUUCUCCUAUCAUCCCUUCCAAACGACUCAUUAGUAUUUUUCAGUUUUUUUAUGUUUUUACAACUUAUAUAAACUUUGUCCUAAUUAAACUUUCUUCUGCUUGUCUCUUCCCAACCUAUGUGUUACCAUAAUCUGGUAUUCCAUUAGUGAUGACCUACCAAAGGAAUUCGUACCAAAACCUAAAUAUUCAUUAGAUUAACUUCGCUGGUAGGCGUCAUUGUCAACGCCAGCGAUAGAUGGCCUAUGCUCCAUGGUGGUGAACCACCACCAAAACCACCAUUGAACUAUGCAACGAAUUUUAAUAAAGUAGAAGACAAAAUCACAAUGCCUAUCCCUGUCAAAGAUAUUACUUACAUCCAUGGAAACCCAACUGUAUUAUGGAAAGAAGAAGAGGUUCAGAUCAUGAUCAUUACUGAAGGUUUACAGUAUGCCAUAACUGAAAUUUUUUCUUACGGCUGGUCAAACCUAAAAAUGAUUCGUAAAUUGAUCCUUUACGGUGUGAGAUUCAAGCCUGAAUGUAAGGAAGGAUUCUUGAGUGAUAGACACAUACUAAUUCGGCUUACCAAAUAUGAAAGAUUACGUACAUAUCAUGUCAAAACCAACAUAUUUUUUGAAGGCUAAAGACCGAUAUAAUAUUAGAUGUGACCUCUAAAGUGGGACCGCUGGUUCAACCCAGAGGCAGAAACUACUACUGCCUUAGGGUGGAUCUCUUUUUCAUCCCUAUCACCUAACUUUUUCGUUAAAGAAUCCUUGUUUACGAUAGCCAAAGCAGUGGGAAAACCGUUACAUGUUGUCGUGGCUACAAUAAGCAAAUCUAGACCUAGUUUUUUCAAGGUAAAGGUUGAAAUAGACUUAUUGAAAGAAUUUCUCAAAUGGAUCGGUGUUGGAGUUAAGAAGACAUAUUCUGGGGAAAUCAUAUCAACAUGGAUAAAAAUCUUAUACGAUUGCAUGCCAAAGCAUUGCAAAUAUUGCGUAUUUCUAGGCAGAGGCAUGGUUUUCAUCGAGGGGGUUCAAAAAUAUAAGUAAGCGUACUAAUAGAAUUCAUAAAUAAGAGGAUCGGGGCGGGUCAAAUAUAAACAGGUCAGAUUCGACAUAACCAACUAAAUAAAAUUCAACUCUACUUCAAUACAAACAAUAAAAUCGAGGAAGUAUGUGUUUGAAAUAAUAUUAAAAUGAGUACGAGAGAAUGUAUUUUUAAAAAUUUUAGUCAUGGUCUUGUCUCCAUCAUUGUUCUAUAUAUAUGUUACUAGCAUACGUACCCGCGUAAUGCGUAUAUAAUAUUAAAAUAUUAUUUUUAAAUUUUUUUAUUGUGAUAUCUUGUUCGAGUAAAUUAAAUCAUACAAAAGCUCAACUAUCGUAUUGUUCAUCAUUAAUGAAAUGUAAUCCCUCCCCCUCCCGUUAUUAAUAUUAUAUUGUUCACUAUUUAAAAUCAUUAAAUUGUUAGUAUUGAUUUUUAUUAGCUUAUCAUUAAGCUUAAUAUAAUCAUUAAAUAAUUUUAUAAUUAAUAUAAAACAUAUAUAUUAUUGUGUUUACUCGUGAUUUUUAAAUUUUUAUUUUAGUGUUCACAUCUCUCUAAUUUAAAGUUUUAUGGACAAUAAUAAGAAUAUUAUUUAACUAUUCUACUGUAUUCUCAAAAUUAUUCAAAAUAUUUUCCCCACCCCUCUUUCCCCUUCUUUUUUUACUGUAUUUUUAUUACUUUUCGCUAAUAUAAUUUUAAUGAAUUUUUUAUGUUAAACGUCAAAAGAAGUUGACUGUUUUUUUUAUUUUAAUAUAAAGAAUACUAAGCUUAAAUUUGUUACUUAAAUUCUAUACUUUCAUGUGUCAUUAUUUAUUGAGAUUUUAGUUAUAUGAUAUAUAGAUUUUAAGUCUUUUCUCGUUAUAAUUGAAAAAUAUUUUCUCAUCUAAAAGCCCUUCAACUUUUUUUACAUUAUAAUUUAUAAUUUGUUUCCUAGUUUUGUCCUAACUUAAUAGUUAUUCUAUUAUUCAUAAAAUAGUAUCCUUACACUAAUAUGUAAAUUUUUAUUAGCUUGUCACUUUACCUAAUAUUCUUAUGGUGCGUAAGAUAUUAAUAAGGAUAUCAGUUAGUUAUAUCUAUUUACAUUUUAUAAUGGAUAAAUUUUGUAUAACAUGAAAUUAAAAUUUAUAAAAUUCACUAAUAAAGUUAGUGAUCAAUAACUUAAAGAAAAAUAAAAAAGAGAAGUAAUCUUAACAUUAUAAAUCAUUGCAGAAGUAUAUGUAAGAGAGGCUCAGAAAGUAAAACUCCAGUACAAAUCAAAUUUUAUUUAAGUUUGAAUUCAAAUAUCAUUUUAAUUUAUUCUUUUAAAAUCUUUUUAUCGCUCAUCCUUAUCCUUGAUUUUAUGAAUACAAUCAUAUUUUUAUAAGCUAUAUAUUUGAAUGAAGAGAAAUAUUUGGAAUAAUAAGAUAGUUGAUAAUUAAAUUGACUAAAGGGUCACUUGGUGUAAUUAUACCAAAGAAUUAUUUGAAGAAGAAAAAACAGAUAUGACUAAUAUUACAGCAUUUAUAAUUUCACAAGUUAAAAAUAUACCUCUUCACUCUCAGCAAGACAAAAACACUAAUUAUUUAUGUUGAACUUAAUUCAUAUAUAUAUAUAUACUUAAAAGUGGAAAACUUCUAUCUUCAAAGUUGGAUUUUAAUUGUGCUCCUACAUCAUAUUAAAAUAUAAUAAGAAUACCUAUUAUCAUGCAUGCCAACUAUUUUUGCUGCUUGGAAGUUCCGCCGGUGUUUGUCUUGGAGAAGUUAGAGGCAGACAUAGAAGGAACUCGUUUUGUUAGGCCGACUAAAGCGCAUACUAAUCCAGAUAGAUGUAUUAGUACUACUACUAUAAACCCUCCUAGUAGUUUAACUAAGAGACACGCUCUGCCACUAUCUUGUAUGGCCAAAUAUUAAGCUAUAAAUAUUAUUUUCUUGUUAACCAAAAAAAAUAUUUAUUUGAAAUUGACUGUUCAUGAUAAACGUAUUUAUUUAAUACCUUAACUCUAUUUUAAUACCUAAAAAAAUAUUAUAAACAUGAGUAAAUGUGUAUCGUUGAGAUCUUGGUCAUAAUUCAAGGGUACUUAUGUGUCACGAUCUAGACCGUUGUGAUUGACACCCACACUAACCCUCCGGUGGAAGAACCAUUACUACAACCCGUCUAACAAAUUUUACAAAAAUUAAGGCAUUUAAUGAUACGGAAGCACGUUUAAUGCAGAAAUAAACUGGAGUUCCCAUAAACUUUGAAACUUUGACAAAAAAUUACUAAACAUAUGCGGAAAGAACGCCUAGAACCUCAAAGUCAAUGUACCAAAACUCUAAAGUUCAACAAGCCUACGAAAAUGGGCACAACCCCGAAACUAAACAAAUAAAUAUCUAAACUACUAAUCUAAGUCCGAAGAAAAUGGACUAAGAAAAUGGAGAACUCAUGGAAGCCUGGAAGAACUCGCUCACCCUUGAAUUCUGUCUCGAUCACUAUUAAUCUCUUAGUCGAGGCCUAUUAGUAGCCGCCUGAAGAUGCCUUGCACUUAACAAAGAACGAGCAAGUGUAGAAUUAGUACACAUUACUAGUGUACUGGUAGGAUCACGUGGCUAUUCCAGUAAGCGAAACAUAUAUAAUCAGUAUUAACAUAGUAAAUAUGAUACAUAACAUAUAUACACAUUGGUUAUCAUUUCAGGAGCAAUGUACGAUUACAUAUUCUCAAUAACAAGUAGACAUGACAAUUUAAUGGUCCUCUCAUAGAACCCAUACUCAAACUGUUCGUGUGUCGGAAAGUGACACCCGAUCCCAAUUAGUGUGUCGGAACGUGACACCCGCUCCCAUAUAAGUGUCGGAACGUGACACCCGAUCCCAGUUAGUGUGUCGAAAUGUGACACCCGAUCCAUUCAACAAAACCACAAUCACAAUCACACUCAUAUGUACAUACUCAUAAUCAUACAAUAAAGUGUUGAAUCAUGACAUACUUUUGUUCAUUCAUACUCAUUUCAUUAGGUUUGACUAACAAUUAUUCAUUCACAUAGAUACAUGCAUUACAAUGAAGAAAUUACCAACAUACAUCAUGCAAUACAUGAAAUCAAACCAUAACCUACCUCGAAACCAAGCUUGAAUUCCCCUAAGGCACUUGAAUCUCCCUUCCAGAUUCUUCAGCUUGUUCUAGGUCUACAAAACAAUUAAUAUAUGCAAGGAUCAAUAAUUUAAGGUCUAAUUAUGUGGAAUAUAGAAAAACCAAUAACCCAAUACCAACCCAUGAUCCCAAUCCCCAAUUUAGGGCUUUUUCCACCAUUAUCUUUAGAUCAAAAGCUUCCCCCAAUAAUAAUUACCACAUAAUCAAAAUUCUAUGGAUCGAAAAAUGGAUUAGGGGAGUAAAAUCAUUACCUUUAGUGCUAGAAGAGGUGGAAAACCUUCAAGAGAUAUCCCUUCGUCGUCUCUUAUCUCAGCAAGAACGAAACUUGUAGAAAAUAACGUGAUUAAGGUUUAAUCCUGACUUAAGUCGCAACUAGCCCGCCGUAGCGGGACCCAACCCGCCACAGCGGCCCUGCCCUGGCGGGCAUAAUCCUGACCUAGUGCCUUACAUGGAGACAGAGAGUCAAAAAUUGAGUCCCAAACCCCCAUUUAACAACCUUCAACCCAUGACGUUCAAAGACUACCCUUUCAUGCUAAGAUCAAUUUCGGGAGUUCCACUCGCCCGAAUUCGAUUCUGUAAAGUCGUACGGGUUCCUUAACGUCUUGGCUAUCUAGUCAUGUAAUCAAAUUCAUUAUUAAAUCUCUUAUUCAUUACCAGAUUUCCCUAGACCUCGCAUGACUCAAAUUUCGUCCAAAUAUGGACUAGGCUAGGAAUUUUCAAAUCACUACUUAAAAAUUUUACGGUCCAAAUUAUUUCCCCAUUGGCUUUUCUAUAACGACGGGAACAAGUCGUUACAAUAGAUACCAAUUUACACAUCACUCUUCCCCGAGUGACAAACUAGGAAAAACUGGCUAAAGUAAGAGUAGAGUAGUACCUGAAUCGUUGAACAACUGGGAUACUUGUCUAGCAUGUCCUUCUCAGUUUGCCAAGUAGCUUCCUCAACUAGACGAUGCUUCCAUUGAACUUUCACCAACUUUAUUUCCUUGGUCCUCAACUUCUGGAUAUCGCGAUCAAGAAUUGCCACCGGUUCCUCCUCAUACUGAAUAUCGUUGUCUAACAAAACUGAAUCCCAUUUUAUAAUGUAAUCCCCGUUCCCAUGAUAUUUUGAAAAUCGAUACAUGAAAUACCAGAUGAACUCCCGAUAAGCUAACAGGUAAGGCCAACCUAUAAGCCACUCGCCCUGCACAGUCAAGAAUCUCAAAUGGACCAAUGUAUCGAGGACCUUCUUGCCAAAUCUCAUCACCCCUUUCAUGGUUGACACUUUAAGAAGAACUCUCUCAGAGAUUUGAAAUUCCAUGUCUCUUACCUUAUGGUUUGCAUACUUCUUCUAUCGACUUUGGGCUGCUAGGAGCUUAGCUUGGAUACUUCUUACCUUAUCAUGAGCAUCCUUCAGCAAGUCAACCCCCAGAGGUUUCACAUCUACAGCAUCAAAACAUCCUAUGGGUGAUCUACAUCCCCUUCCAUAAAGUGCCUCGAACAGUGCCAUGUCAAUGGUGGAGUGGUAACUGUUAUUAUAGGAGAACUCACUGAACAGUAGGAACUUAUCCCGAUGUCCUCCAAAUUCAAUCACACAUGCCCUCCACAUCACUUCUAGCACUUGAAUAGUCCUCUCUAACUGCCCGUCUGUUUGCGGAUGAAAGGUUUUGCUAAAGGUGAGUUGAGUGCCCAAUUCAUCAUGUAAUUUUCUCCUAAACUUGGAUGUGAACUACGUACCACGGUCUGAGCUGAUAGAAAGGGUCACCCCGUGCAGCCUCACUAUCUCUUUCACAUAAACCUUAGCCAAUUACUGAGCAUUAUAAUCUAUUCUAACUGGAAUAAAAUGGGAUGACUUGGUCAAUCUGUGAACCACUACCCAAAUAGAAUCAAACUUUCCCAAUGUCUUGGGGAGACCAACCACAAAGUCCAUGGCUAUCCUUUCCCACUUCCAUUCCGUAAUUGACAUUCUCUGAAGCAAACCUGCAGGUCUUUGAUGCUUGUUGACAGUUUUGGCACUUAGCCACAAAUUCAGCUAUGUUUUUCUUCAUGUCAGGCCACCAAUAAAGUUGCUUCAAAUCUCGGUACAUCUUGGUCACACCCGGAUAAAUAGAAUACCGUGAGCCAUGAGACUCUGUAAACAAUUUCAAAAUCAAGUCGUCUACUCGAGGAACACAAUUCAUUCUUUUAAAACUGAGCACACCCACGCAUCAAGAGUUGUAUCUUAUGUCUUGCCAGACACUGUGUCCUUUUUUAGCUCAUUCAAACUGUCAUUCUUAAACUCUUUGGCGUUGAUCUCCUUAAUGAAUGUGGCCCUAACCUCAAUUCUAGCUAACACCCCACCUUUUUUUUAAGAUGCCCAACUACAUGAACUUAGAUUCCAAUGUUUGAAUUUCCUUAGCCAGAGGUCGCUUGGAUACACUCAAGCAAGCUAGAUUACCCAUACUCACUGCCCUUCGGGUUAAUGCGUCUGCCACCACAUUGGCCUUACCCGGAUGAUACUGAAUGGUCACAUCAAAAUCCUUGAGUAACUCUAUCCACCUUCCCUAUCUCAAAUUCAGAUCCUUUUGAGUGAAUACAUGUUUUAGACUACGAUGAUUAGUAAACACUUCACACUUGACACCAUACAGGUAAUGUCGUCAGAUCUUAAGAGCAAACACUACCGCAACCAACUCUAAAUCAUGUGUUGGGUAAUUCCUCUCAAGCAGCUUCAACUGCCGCGAUGCAUAAGCUAUAACAUUCUUAUCCUGCAUCAACACAACACCCAAACCCGAAUGUGAUGCAUCACAAUAAACAAUAAUAUAUUUACCUUCCACCGGUAGUGCCCAAAUAGGUGUUGUGGUCAGAAAUGUUUUGAGCUUUUGAAACUCUCUUCACACUUGUUAGUCCACUCGAAAGGUACCUCCUUCUUGGUCAACCUUGUCCGAUGCGUGGCAAUAGAGCAAAGUUUUUCACAAAUCGAUGAUAGUAGCUAGCGAGCCAUACAAAACUCCUAACUUCAUUCACAGAGCUAGGCCGAACCCAAUUCUUAACCGCUUCAAUCUUUUGGAGAUCUACCAUUACCCCUUCCCUUGAAACUACAUGCUCCAAAAAGGCGACUGAAUCCAACCAGAACUCACACUUGGAAAAUUUGGCAUAUAACUUUUGUCUCCCAAGAAUACCCAGAACAAUAUGAAGAUGGUCGGCAUUCUCUUCCUUACUCUUUGAAUAGACAAAAAUGUCAUCAAUAAAUACAAUCACAAAAGAAUCCAGGAAUGGUUUGAACACACCGUUCAUCAAACUCAUGAAAGUUGUAGAUGCAUUUGUCAACCCAAAUGACAUUACUAAAAACUCAUAGUGCCCGUAGCGGGUCCUGAAUGUCAUAUUUGGUACAUCCUCAGGCCAAAUCUUUAACUGAUGGUAACCAGACCUUUAGAUCAAUCUUAGAGAAAACUGACACACCCUGCAACUGGUAAAAAAGAUCAUCUAUUCGAGGAAACAUAUACUUAUUUUGAAUGAUGAUCCUAUUAAACUGUCGGUAGUCUAUGCACAUCCUCAUACUACAAUUUUUUUUAAUAACAAACAAGACAAGAGCACCCACGAGGAGGAACUAGGACGAAUGAAACCUUUAUCAAGAAGUUCCUCAAUUUGAGCCUUAAGCUCACUUAACUCCGUCGGAGCCAUGUGAUAAGGAGGAAUGGAGAUGGAGUAGGUACCAGGUUCCAAACCAAUGCAGAAAUCUAUAUCUCUAUCUGGAGGCAUACCAGGCAAAUCAGUAGGAAACACUUUUCUAAAUUCUGACACCACAAGAAUAGACUCAAUAGAGGGAGACUCAACCUCAACAUCCUGAAUAUGAGCCAAAAAUGCCAAACACCCCUGCCCCACAAGUUUCCUAGCCCGAAUGGAGGAUAUGACCUUAGCUGGCUUAGGCAUAUACACCAUUUCCCACUCUAACUUUUCCCUACCCGGGAUCUCUAGAGUCACAGACUUGUAUAACAAUUUAAUACAACAUAAUAGGGGGAUAACCAAGUCAUGCCUAAGAUUAUAUCAAAGUCAGUCAUAUCCAAAAUAACCAAAUCAGCCCAAGUUUGGAAACCCAUAAACAUAACAGAACAAGCACGAUAAACAUGGGUGACUAUGUUAGACUCUCCAACUGGGGUAGAAACAUGGAUGGGGGCAUCAAGUACAUCAGAAACCGCAUCAAAUCCCAAGGCAAACUGAACCGACACGUAUGAAAUGUAGAACUCGGAUCAAAUAAUACAUUAGCUAUCCGGUCACAGACGAGAAUAGUACUUGUGAGCACUUCAUCAGAUGUCUCUGCCUCAGUCUUACCUGGAAAGGCAUAAAACUCAGCCCUGUCAUCUUGACAGACAACCUCCUUGCUUGGUUGCGCUGCUCAUCUACCUGCAUUACCAUUACCUCAAACUCAACAGCCUCAAUGAUUUCCUCCUCGCCCACCUUGUGAUCUUCCUCUACCAUUAUUACCGUUUCCCGUGGGUACCAUUGCUAUAGUCUGCUGCUGCGCUGGAUCCAACAUGCGCAGUUGGGGAUAAUCUCUCCACAUAUGCCUAGGUUCCCCAAAAUAAUAGCAAGUACGAUCAAAAUACGGUAUGCCGGUAGCCAAAGAUACGGCUCCCUAGCUAUCCAAAAUAAAAUUCUACUUUGGAAUUCCCGAGUAACUACAUGUAGAAGCGGGCAUGACAGACUGAAUUGGCCUGGCUGCAAGCGUUGGCCUACCUGAACCUCUAGAGUAAGAACCCUGAAAGUUACAUGUGCUUUUGGCUUUCUUAGCCAAAUCCUUAGCCUGCCCAUAACGUCUAACUCCCUCUACUUUCUUCACAAAGUUGGUCACCUCAUUAAAGUUCUUUCCUGCAGAAGUCAUGUGAACAAACAAUACCUGAAGUUCGGGGUUCAGUCCUUUGACGAAUAGAAGAAUCAUCUCCUCCUCAGUAGUCACCAAUUGAGUAGCAUAUCUAGACAAUGCAUGAAAUUUAGACUCAUAAGCAGUUACAGACAUACCACUCUGCUCCAAAGACACAAACUCAUCCUUCUUACAAUCCUUUAAAGUCCGAGGCACAUACUUUUUCAAAAACAGAGCAUUAAACUUUUUCCAAGUGAGUGGGGGUAAAGCUGACGAUCUGUAUUCCACAUAAUCUCCCCACCACUGCUUAGCCUCACCCUGAAGCUGGAAAGUCACAAAGUACUCUACUACAUGCUGAUGGCCAAUACCCAACUUAUGCAACCUAUCAUAACAAUCCAAAAUGAACUCAUAGGCGUCCUCACUCUCAGAACCAUGGAACACACACGACUUCAAUUUGAAAUACUUAGUCAACAUUUCAUGCUCAUUACCAGUCAUCACCAGACCCAAGAGGGGAUAGAAAAAGGCAUCAAUGUCUAUGUUUCCACCCAUAUUUGGAGCGGUGACAACAAUAAGGGGGGUUGACGCGAGUUUGAGUUGCUUGAACUGAAGGAAGAACUCCAAGACCAACCUAUCCCUUCAAAAAAGUUAUAAUUUUUUUAGCUAACACUGGGUCAAAGGGAGGAAUAAUGUAAUCUCAGCUUGCACCUCUUUCUCUUGUCCAACAUUCUCCUUAUUCUCAAUCUCUACAUUCUCCUCUAUCUCUUCAUGAUGCACAUGAGGAACCUUAUUUCUAAAAGCAUUCUCAAUAGGAGCUCCACCCCUAGUGAGUGCUACCCUUCCUCGGCCUCUACCCCUUGUUCUUCCUCUACCCUUGCCUCAUCCGCGGCCUCCUGCUGCGGAAUCUUCAGCGGGCUUAUUGACGGGAGCUACGGGCCUGACGCCGUUGAAUCUAGUGUUAACCAUCCACAGACAAAAGAGUAAAGGAGAUUAGAUGCCAAUUUAGAUUACCAUAUACCAAUUGGAAUCAAGUUAUAGCACGAAAGGAGACAAGAGAAAACAGAGAGAUUUCCUAAAGUACUAUAGCCUUUUGAAGAAAUGUACAGACGUCUCUGUAUCAUUCUACAACACUCUACUAGACUUGUUUUGGUACACCGAGAUCAAUGAACCUAGGGCUCUGAUACCAACUUUGUCAGAUGUGUGGCAAUAGAAGCAAUGUUCUUCACAAAUCGAUGAUAACGGGUACAACCCCGAAACUAAACAAACGAAUAUCUAAAGUACUAAUCUUAGUCCGAAGAAAAUGCACUAAGCAAAAGGAGAACUCAUGGCAGCUUGGAAGAAUUGGCUCACCCUUGAAUUGGGUCUCAUGUCCAAGUUGAGGUCUAUCACUAGCCGUUUGAAGAUGCCAUGUACUCAACAAAGAACGAGCAAGUGUAGUAUCACUACACAUCUACAGUGUACUGGUGGAUGACACGGCUAUUCUAGUAAGCGAAACAUAUAUAAGCAGUCACAACAUAGUAAACAUGACAUGUAUAGAGCAUAUAUACACAUUGGUUAUCAUUUCAGGAGCAAUGUACAAUUACACAUUCUCAAUAACAAGUAGAUAUGACAAUUCAAUGGUCCUCUCAUGGAACCCAUACCAAAACUGAUAGUGUGCCGGAACAUGCCCGGUCCCAAUUAGUGUGUGGGAACGUGACACCCGCUCUAAUAUAAGUGUCGAAACGUGACACCCGAUCAUAGUUAGUAAUUCGAAACGUGACACCCGAUCUAUUGACACAACCCCAAUCAUAAUUACACUCAUAUGUUACAUACUCAUAAUCAUACAAUCAAGUAUUAAAUCAUGGCAUACAUUUGUUCAUUCAUACUCAUGUCAUUAGGUUUGAUCAACAAGGCUUAAUUCACAUACAUACAUACAUGCAUUACAAUGAAGCAAUUACAAACAUCAAUCACGCAAAACAUGAAAUCAAACAAUCACCUACCUCGAAACCAAGCUUGAAUCCCCCUAAGAGAAUCUUCCUUUUCCAUAUUAUUUCCGCUUGUUCUAGGUCUACAAACAAUUAAUAUACGCAAGGAUCAAUAAUUUAAGGUCUAAUUAUCCGGAUUAUAGCAAACCCAAUAAACCAAGACCAACCCAUGAUCACAAUCCCCAAUUUAGGGCUUUUUCCACCAUUAGCUUCAGAUCAAAACUUCCCCCUAGUAAUAAUUACCCAAGAAUCUAAAUUCUACGGACUGAAAAAUGGAGUAGGGGAGUCAAAUACUUUCCUUUAGUGCUAUAAGAGGUGGAAAACCUUCAAGAAAUAUACCUGGGUCGUCUCUUAGCUCUCAAGAAUGAAACUUGCAGAAAACAAUGUUUUUGGGGUUUAAUCCCAACUUAUUUCUUGACUGGCCCGCCGUAGAGGGACCCAACCCGCCACAGCGGCCUCGCCUUGGCGGAAAUAAUCCUUCCCCAGUGCCUUACACAUAGAUAGAGAGUCAUAAAUUGAGUCCCAAACCCCCAUUUCACAACAUACCUUCAACCCAUGACAUUCAAAGACUAUCCUUUCAUGCUAAGAUUAGUUUCGGGAGUUUCACUCGCCCGAAUUUGAUUCCGUAAAGUCGUACGGGUUUCUUAAUGUUUAGCUAUCUACUCAUGUAAUCAAAUUCAUUAUUAAAUCUCUCAGUCAUUAUCAUAUUUCCCUAGACCUCGCAUGACUUAGAUUUCGUCCAAAUCUGGACUAGGCUAGGAAUUUUCAAAUCACUACUCAAAAGUUUUUUUGCCCAAAUUCUUUCCCCGUUGGCUUUUCUAUAACGACGGGAACAAGUCGUUCCAUUAAGAAUUAUUUCUUUUAAUAUGUAUGCAAUUUUAUAAAUUUCCCAAAAUAUAUAUAUAUCAACAAUACGACAUAAUAAGGAUCACAAACGUCAUGUAGUGAUAUAUUUGUCUGUACAAUUAGUAAACGUUAAACAACUCACAUUUCAAAUGUUAUAUUGAUUUGUAUUGGAUUUAUUUAACAAAUAACAACUCUCUCUAAAUAAUAAAAUUUGUAAGCUAAUUUAUUUAAAUAAAUUUACUAGUACAAAUAUAAAACAUAAAACAUAGAAAAUAAACAAAAUUGUUAAAAGGAUUUGAGAGGUAUAUCUUUACACAGAUUAAUACCAUGGUAUUAAAUUUUAUGUAUUUCUAUAGCACCAAAUGUAAGGUAUUAAUUAGACAUUCUAUACCAUGUAGGGUGUAUAACUAAUCCAUGAAUUAUUUAUACAUAGACAUAACAUUAAAAUGAGUACGAGAAAAUGUAUUUUUUGAGAUUGUGAUCAUUAAAGAAGAGUUACAGUUUUCCAUAAUUGGAAAUUUUACUUAUUGUUGGUUAGAACUACAAGAGAUUCGUAAAAUUAGUCCUUUAUGGUGUGAGAUUCAAGGCUGAGUAUAAGGUAGGAUACUUGAGUGAUAGACACAUCCUAAUUCGCCUUACCAUUAUGUAAGAUUAUGUACAUGUCAUGUCAAAACCAAUAUAUUUUUGAAGGCUAAAGACGGGUAUACUUUUAAAUGCACUCUAAAGUGGGAAACCUUGUUCAACCCAAAGGCGGAAACUUCUACUAUCUUUGCAUGAAUCUGAUCUUUUCCAUCCCUAUCACCUUUAUUUUUCAUUAAAGAAUUCUUGUUUACGAUGGCCAAAGUAGCGGGAAAAUCGUUACAUGUUGACAUGGUUACAAUAAGAAAAUCUAGACCUAGUUGUGUCAAGGUAAAAGUUGAAGUCAACAUAUUGAAUGAAUUUCCCAACUGGAUCAAUGUUGGAGUUAAGAAGACAUCUUCUGAGGAAAUAUUCUCAACAUGGAUAAAAAUCUUAUGCGAUUGCAAUAUUGCAAACUUCAAGAUGGAGGCAUGAUUUAUGUCGAACGGGUACGAAAAGAUAAGUAAGCAUACUAGCAGUAUGCACAAAUGAAUAGAUCGGGGCAGGUCAAAUAUAAACGGAUCGGAUUCGAUAUAAGAAACUAAAUAAAAUUCAACUCUACCUCAACACAAACAAUAAAAUCGAGGAUGUAUAUGUAACAACCCAAAAAUUUCUAAGCUAAGACCCGAACUAUUUUUCAUUUACAUGUAGGGUCAAAUCAGGUGAUUCUUCAAUUGCCCAUAUAUGUGUAAAGGUAAAUUAUUUAGUAUGGGAAUGAUUUUGGAUAUCAAUUAAGGUCACUAGAAGCUCCUAGCACAAAGUUGAGUUGAAAGUUUUCUAAUCGAUUAAGUUUUGAUGUAAGAUUUUCUUUGGGUCAACUUCAAAUGACCAUAUCUCUUAGAAUAUAAAGAGUUAAAUGAUCCAUAACCUAUCAAAUUAAAGGUAUUUGAAUUUUCUUUCCAACGCCACCAAUUUCGCAACUAAAUUACCUGCGAAUUUUCUAAAUUUGCAAGUACUAAUUACCUACGAAGGUUUUUCCAUCAGAUUUUAAUUGGCCAAAUAAUUCGCAGGUAAUCAAAUUACUUGGGGAUUUUACUGUAUUAUCCUUAUGAAAAUCCCCACGUAAUCAACACUUUUCUUGUAGUGUGUGUGUCAUGGCUUUGUUGAGGAUAUUAUAGUGACAACAAUAAUAUAAUAAAAAUAAGCUUUCAAAGGAUUAAUUUUACAACUUAUUUCAUUCGUGUGACUAAUUAGUUAGCAAUUAUCCAGUGCAAGCAUCCAAGUAUAUUUGUUGAAAUCAUUUAUGAUUUGGUAAAGGGUAAAAAUAUCCUUAAUUAUGUAAAAUUGAAUAAAAAUGUCAUUACUUAAUAGUUUCAUUUAAAAGUACCUUUAUAGUUAAAAAAAAAGGGAAGUUUAAAGAUGAUACUCAUCCAUAAGACCAUAACUAGGGACUAGCACAUCAUAUUCAUCCCACAAAUUUAUUUUCUUACGCUAAAGAAAUAGGCAAUGUGUGCUUAAGUUUUCUUAUUGAGUAAAAGUGACACAAUUAGAUUAUUAAUUAAUGAGUUGAAAUUCAUCUUCACUUGUUCUUAACUUUUUUUCUUUCCUUUUUUUUUUGGAUAAAUAUCAAAAACUCACCUAAACUAUCUCAUUUUUUUUAGUUUCAUACUUAAACUAUUGACAAUGUGAGUUUUAUACCUAAACUAUCACUUAUUAUUUUGAAAAAUCACACCCCUCUCUUUUAUUACAUUCUCUUCAUGGUGUGUGUACCACACUCUCUCUUUUAUUUGAAAAAAUUUGUCACAUCACACUCCACAUGGACAAAACAUUUCACCUUGACAAUAAAUAAAUAAAUUAUUAGCUUAAUUUAAAUUAAAUAUUAAAAAAUUAAUAACCCAAAAUAAUAAUAUUUUUUUAUAAAAUAAAAUGUAAAAUAUUUUUCUUACCCCACUCCCAUCACUUCCUCUCACCGUACCGGCGUACCCCUGCCAUUUUUUAGUUUUUUUUUUGUUUAAAUUUCUUUAUAAAAGUAUUUAAUUUUUUUUACUUCAUCUCCCCCUACCCCUCAAAUUAGAAAUUAUUUUAUUUUUUUAAUAUAAAUAAAAUAAUAUCAAUUAUUUUUUUUUGGAAUGAGUGGGUGGUUUUGGGGGUGGGGGAGGGGAAGGGAGGGGCUGAAGUAUGAAAUUUUGAAAAAUAUUUUAUAAAAGAUAUUUUAUAAAAUAAAAGGACGGGGGAUUUCCGCACGGGGGUGAGGGGGGAGGUGGUGGAGUGGUGUAAGAAAAAUAAUUUGUUUGGGAUAUUAAUACUUUAAUCUUUAAUUUUUAAUUAAUAUUAUUAGUUUAUUAUUUAAUUUUUGUCAAGGUAAAAUAAUUUAUCCAUGUGGAAUUUCAUGUGUCAAUGUUUUUGAAAAUAAAAGAGAAUGUAUUACACACACCACUGAGGUGUGUUUCUCAAACUGAUAAGUGAUAAUUUAGGCAUGAAACUCACACUCCUAAGUAUUUAGGUAUGAAAUUCAAAAAAAGUAUAUAGUUUAGGUGUGUUUUUGGAUGCUUCAUCUCUUUUUUUUUUUAAAAAAAACAUUUAGACCCAUGUUAUAUAAAAUUCUAAUUAUAUGUAAUAGGGAGUGAAACAAAGUGGGAACAACCACCACGAUAGUCGAUUUUGGCGUAAAAAUAUAUCAAUCAAUCCAUGCCUAUAAUAAAAUCAAAGUGUAGCAUCUCUAGUUCUAUCAAGUCUAUAUGGGUCUAAUGAACAACAAUCUCUACUAUACAACCUCGGUAAAGCCACUUGGAAAUAAAAGAGUCACCAACUAGGGCAGAUAUUGUUGAGUUUGAAAGAAUCAAAGCGUCAUGUAGAAGCUUACAGUUGCAAAUAUGUAACGACAUGUUCCCUUUGUUAAAGAAAAGUCAACGGGGGAAAAUUUGGGGCUGGAAAACCUUUUUCGUAGUAUUUGGAUUUUCCCAACGUAGUCCAGAUUUGGACGAAUCGGAGUCUUUGAGGUGAAGGGAAAUGUGGUAACAAUCGGGUGAAUUAUUUAUGAUUUUGAUUACAUGAGUAGUUACAUAACUCGUUAAGGAAUCCGUACGACUUUACGAAAUUGAAUUCGGGUGAGUAAAACUCUCAGAAUCGAUCUUAGCGUAAAGGGUAUUUUUUGAGCAUCGUUGGUUAGAAGUGUGUUGUGAAAUGUGGAUUUUGGAAUUCUUUGAUUAGCUCACUGUCUCGCGUAACCCGCUUUGGCACUGGGUUUUGCCGCUCUGGCGGGAUCCCUACAGCGGAGUGACGGUCGCUGUGGUGGACUUGACGCAAAUUAAAGUCGUUAAUAAACCCCUAAACGACCUCAUUAUGCACUUUUCGACUUCUAGAGCUAAGGAACGAACCAUUCUUGAGGCUAAAAAUAAGUUUUUUACUCCCCGAAUCCAUUUUUCGAUACAUCGAACGUAACAGAAUGGGUGAAUAUUGAUGGGGGAGGUUUUUGUUAUAGAUUCUAUGGUGGAAACAACCCUAAUUUGGAUAAUUGGGAUCAUGGGUUUGAUCUAGGGUUCAUAGAAUUGUUAGUAACUCGGGUAAUUAGUGGUUGUUUAUUGAUUCCCAUAUUCUAUUGAUUGUUUGUAGAGCAAGAACUAGCGGAAUGUAUCCGGAAAGAGAAGGAUCAAGUUUCUUAUGGUUUCAAUCUUGUUUUGAGGUAGGUGAUGGUUGUGAUUCUAUGAUUGUGUGAUGUAUGUUCGUUCUUGCUUCAUUAUGAUACGUGUAUACGUAUGAAUGUUGCAAUGUUGAUCACACUUGUUGUAAAUGAGAUAUAUGAAUGAUGAUUUCCAUAAAAUCAUGACUUAAAUAUAUGAUCUUGGUGAUAUACUUGUGAUUGUGAUUGUGGUGUGUUGAAUGGAUCAGUUGACACGUUCGAGCAUAACUAACUUGGAUCGGUUGCCACGUUCCGGCAUAACUAUGGGAUCGGUUGCCACGUUCCAGCAUAAUUAUGGGAUCGGAUACCACGUUCUGGUAUGCUAACUGUUUGGGUUUGGGUUCCAUGAGAGGAAUAAUGAUUUGAUAUAAAUGUGAAGUUGUUCGUUGUUCGUAAAUGUUGAUAAUAUUGUAUAUGUUGAUAUAUAUGCAUGUGAUUAUAAUGUUGUCUUAACUUGCUUAUGUUGUACUUAGUGGGAUAACCGUGUGACCCUACCAGUACACUGUGGUUGUGUACUGAUACUGCACUUGCUCUUAUUUUUGUUGACUAUAGGGCAUCUUGAAGCGGCUACUGACAGAACUCGCUUAAGAGAUCAGUGAUUAUUUGAAUUCAAGGGUGAGCCAAUUCUUCUGGGCUGCCAUAGCUUCUCUUUUGUCUAUGUCCACCAUUUCUGAACUUAGACUAUGUUCUAGUUAGUUCAUUAGAUUGGGGUUGCAUCCCUUCUUGUUUAGACUUGGUUCAUUGUUAGAUGUUUUGGUACAUAAACUUUAAGGUUCUAGGUUAUUUCUUCCACAUUAUUAGUUGUUAGAUCUUUUGUUGAAGUUUAUGGGAACUUCAGUUUUACCAAUUAUUUCUGCUUUCAUGUACUUAAAUGCCUUAGUUUUUAGAUUAGUUGCUUGGUUUGGGUUGUAGUAGUGGUUCUCCCACCGGAGUGUUAGUGUGGGUGCCAAUCACGGUGGUCUGGGUCGUGAUAAAGUUGGUAUCAGAGCCUAGGUUCAUUGAUUUUGAUGUACCAAAACGAGUCUAGUAGAGUCUAGCGGAACAGUAUGGGGACGCCUUUACUUUUCCUCCACAGGCUAUAGGACCUUAGAAAAUCUCUAUAUUUUAUCUUAUCUCCUUUCGUGCUAGGACUGUAUUCCUAUUGGUAUCUAGCCUCUUUCACUCUUCUGUCAGCAGAUGGUUAAUGUUAGAUUCAACGGCAUUAGGCUCGUAGCUCCCGUCAAUGCUCCGAUUGAGGAAUCUACAACAAGAGGUCGCGAUCGAGGAAGUGGUAAAGGAAGAGCUAGGGGUAGAGGUCGUGGAAGAGUAGCGCCUGUAGGAAAUAGAGCUCCUGCUGAGAAUGCUCAUAUGAAUGAGAACCCUCAUGUGCAUUAUGAAGAGAUUGAAGAUGAGAGUGCUGAUGUUAAAGAUGUUGAGUAUGCGGGAAAAGAGGAAUGGGUGCAGGCUGGGACUACAGGUGUUCCUUAUUUGGAUCUACUGUUCGCUCAAUAGAUCAUGUCAUUCUUAAAGGGAUUGGUUGGUACUAGAGUACUUCCUUCUACUCAAGCAACUCAAGCUCCUACUAAUUCUCAUAUUGCUAGCACUGCGCCCAAGGUGGGUGGGAGGGAGGUAAUGAUGCCUUCUUCCGUCCUUUGUUGGGUACUGGUAUGACUGGUAAUGAGCAUGAAAUGUUGACUAAGUUUCUAAAGCUAAAGCCUCCUGUGUUUCUUGGUUCGGAUAAUGAGGAUGCUUAUGAGUUCAUUCUGGAUUGCUAUGAGAGGCUUUAUAAACUGGGUAUUUUUCAUCAGCAUGGGGUUGAGUUUGUGUCCUUCCAACUUCAAGGCGAGGCUAAGCAGUGGUGGAGACCUUAUAUGGAAUGUAGAUCUUCUACUUUACCUCCACUUACUUGGACCUAGUUUCAUGCUCUUUUUCUAGACAUAAAUAUGCCUAGGACUUUGAGGAAUCGCAAGAAGGAUGAGUUCAUGGCUUUGGAGCAAGGUGGUAUGAUUGUGGCUGCUUAUAAGGCCAAGUUCCAUGCUUUGUCUAGAUAUGCUACCCAAUUGGUCACUACGGAGGAAGAGAGAAUUCAGCUAUUUAUUAAAGGAUUAAAUUCUGAGUUGCAAGUAUUAUCUGUUCAUAUGACUUAUGCACGGAGAAGCUUUAAUGAGGUGGCAGACUAUGUUAAGAAAGUGGAUGGGGUGAGGCGAGACGGUCAAGCUAAGACAUGGGAAUAAAGGGCCAAGAACUCAGGUAACUUUCAAGGUUCUUAUUCUAAAGGAUCCGGAAGGCCAACGCUUGCGGCCAAGCCAAUUCAGUCUGCUAUGCCCGCCUCUACAGGUAGUUAAUCGGAAACUCCAUCACAUAAUAUUCAGGAGAGCAAGGGAGUCUCUCCUUCGACGGGAGGCAAACCAUCUUUUCAUCAUACUUGUUAGAUCUGCGGGGAACCUGGGCAUAUGAGGAGAGAUUGUCCGCACCCACGUGUGUUAGAUUCCGUGCAGCAGCAGUCUAGAUCAUUAGUGGGGAAUGGUAAUAAUGGUAAAGGGCAUCCAUAAUGUGGGCAAGGAGGUAAUCAGCGAGGUUGUGAAUUUAGAGAAAAUGGUAAUGCAGGCAAAUAUAAAGUGCGACCAGGCGGCGAAGUGGUUCGUCAAGAUGAUAGGGCUCAGUGUUAUGCCUUUUCGGGCAAGAAUGAGGCAGAAGCUUCUGACGCGGUGAUCACAGGUACUAUUCUUGUCUGUGACCAGAUGGCUAAUGUGUUGUUUGAUUCGGGUUCUACUUAUUCUUCUGUAUAUGUGCGGUUUGCCUCAGAGUUUGAUAUGAUUUGUGAUAUACUUGAUGCCCUAUCCAUGUUUCUACCCCAGUUGGAGAGUCAGUCAUAGUUACCCAUGUCUAUCGUGCUUGCCCUUAUUUUUGUUUAUGGGUUUUUAAAACUUAGGCUGAUUUGGUGAUUUUGGAUAUGACUGACUUUGACAUAAUCUUAGGUAUGACUUGGUUGUCCCCUAUUAUGAUGUGCUUAAUUGUUAUACUAAGUCUGUAACUCUAGAAAUUCCGGGAAGGGAAAAAUUAGAGUGGGAAGGGGUGUACAAGCCUAAGCGAACUAAGAUCAUAUCCUCCAUAUGAUUUUGAUGAUAUACUUGUGAUUGUGAUUGUUAUUUUGGUGUGUUGAAUGGAUCGGUUGUCACGUUUCGGCAUAACUAACUUGGAUCGGUUGCCACGUUCCGGCAUAACUAUGGGAUCGGUUGCCAUUUUUCGGUAUAGUUAUGGGAUCGGAUACCACAUUCCAGUAUGCUAACUGUUGGGGUUUGGGUUCAAUGAGAGGACCAACGAUAUGAUAUAAAUGUGAAGUUGUUCGUUGUUCGUAAAUGUUCAUAAUAUUAUAUAUGUUGAUAUAUAUGCAUGUGAUUAUAAUGUUGUCUUGACUUGCUUAUGUUGUACUUAGUGGGAUAACCGUGUGAUCCUACCAGUACACCGUGGUUGCGUACUGAUACUGCCCUUGCUCUUAUUUUUGUUGAGUAUAGGGCAUCUUGAAGCGGCUACUGACAGAACUCGCUUAAGAGAUCAGUGAUUAUAUGAAGUCAAGGGUGAGCCAAUUCUUCUGGGCUGCCAUAGCUGUUCUUUUGUCUAUGUCCAUCAUUUCCGAACUUAGACUAUGUUCUAGUUAGUUCAUUAGAUUGGGGUUGCAUCCCUUCUUGUUUAGACUUGGUUCAGUGUUAGAUGUUUUGGUACAUAAACUUUAAGGUUCUAGGUUAUUUCUUCCUCAUUGUUAGUUGUUAGAUCUUUUGUUGAAGUUUAUGGGAACUUCAAUUUUAGCUAUUAUUUUUGUUUUCAUGUACUUAAAUGCCUUAGUUUUUACAUUAGUUGCUUGGUUUGGGUUGUAGUAGUGGUUCUCCCACCGGAGUGUUAGUGUGGGUGCCAAUCACGGUGGUCUGGGUCGUGACAAAGUUAGUAUCAGAGCCUAGGUUCAUUGAUUUUGAUGUACCAAAACGAGUCUAGUAGAUUCUAGCGGAACAGUAUGGGGACGCCUUUACUUUUCUUCCAGAAGCUAUAGGACCUUAGGAAAUCUCUAUAUUUUCUUUUAUCUCCUUUCGUGCUAGGACUGUAUUCCAAUUGGUAUCUAGCCUCUUUCACUCUUCUGUCCGCAGAUGGUUAAUGUUAGAUUCAACGGCAUUAGGCCCGUAGCUCCCGUCAAUGCUCUGGUUGAGGAAUCUACAACAAGAGGUCGCGAUCGAGGAAGAGGAAAAGGAAGAGCUAGGGGUAGAGGUCAUGGAAAUAUAGCGCCUGCAGGAAAUGGAGCCCCUGCUGAGAAUGCUCGUAUGAAUGAGAACCCUCAUGUGCAUUAUGAAGAGAUUGAAGAUGAGAGUGUUGAUGUUAAAGAUGUUGAGUAUGCGGGAAAAGAGGAAUGGGUGCAGGCUGGGACUACAGGUGUUCCUUAUUUGGAUCUACUGUUCGCUCAAUAGAUCAUGUCAUUCUUAAAGGGAUUGGUUGGUACUAGAGUACUUCCUUCUACUCAAGCAACUCAAGCUCCUACUAAUUCUCAUAUUGCUAGCACUGCGCCCAAGGUGGGUGGGAGGGAGGUAAUGAUGCCUUCUUCCGUCCUUUGUUGGGUACUGGUAUGACUGGUAAUGAGCAUGAAAUGUUGACUAAGUUUCUAAAGCUAAAGCCUCCUGUGUUUCUUGGUUCGGAUAAUGAGGAUGCUUAUGAGUUCAUUCUGGAUUGCUAUGAGAGGCUUUAUAAACUGGGUAUUUUUCAUCAGCAUGGGGUUGAGUUUGUGUCCUUCCAACUUCAAGGCGAGGCUAAGCAGUGGUGGAGACCUUAUAUGGAAUGUAGAUCUUCUACUUUACCUCCACUUACUUGGACCUAGUUUCAUGCUCUUUUUCUAGACAUAAAUAUGCCUAGGACUUUGAGGAAUCGCAAGAAGGAUGAGUUCAUGGCUUUGGAGCAAGGUGGUAUGAUUGUGGCUGCUUAUAAGGCCAAGUUCCAUGUUUUGUCUAGAUAUGCUACCCAAUUGGUCACUACGGAGGAAGAGAGAAUUCAGCUAUUUAUUAAAGGAUUAAAUUCUGAGUUGCAAGUAUUAUCUGUUCAUAUGACUUAUGCACGGAGAAGCUUUAAUGAGGUGGCAGACUAUGUUAAGAAAGUGGAUGGGGUGAGGCGAGACGAUCAAGCUAAGACAUGGGGAAAAAGGGCCAAGAACUCGGGUAACUUUCAAGGUUCUUAUUCUAAAGGGUCCGGAAGGCCAACGCUUGCGGCCAAGCCAAUUCAGUCUGCUAUCCCCGCCUCUACAGGUAGUUAAUCGGAAACUCCAUCACAUAAUUUUCAGGAGAGCCAGGGAGUCGCGCCUUCGACGGGAGGCAAACCAUCUUUUGAUCAUACUUGUUAGAACUGUGGGGAACCUGGGCAUAUAAGGAGAGAUUGUCCCCACCCACGUGUGUUAGAUGUCGUGCAGCAACAGUCUAGAUCAUUAGUGGGGAAUGGUAAUAAUGAUAAAGGGCAUCCAUAAUGUGGGCAAGGAGGUAAUCAGCGAGGUUGUGGAGGUAGAGAAAAUGGUAAUGCAGGAAAAUAUAAAGUGCGACCAGGCGGGGAAGUGGUUCGUCAAGAUGAUAGGGCUUAGUGUUAUGCCUUUUCGGGCAAGAAUGAGGCAGAAGCUUCUGACGCGGUGAUCACAGGUACUAUUCUUGUCUGUGACCAGAUGGCUAAUGUGUUGUUUGAUUCGGGUUCUACUUAUUCUUCUGUAUAUGUGUGGUUUGCCUCAAAGUUUGAUAUGAUUUGUGAUAUACUUGAUGCCCUAUCCAUGUUUCUACCCCAGUUGGAGAGUCAGUCACAGUUACCCAUGUCUAUCAUGCUUGCCCUAUUUUGUUUAUGGGUUUUCAGACCUAGGCUGAUUUGGUGAUUUUGGAUAUGACUGACUUUGACAUAAUCUUAGGUGUGACUUGGUUGUCCCCCUAUUAUGAUGUGCUUAAUUGUAAUACUAAGUCUGUAACUCUAGAAAUUCCGGGAAGGGACAAAUUAGAGUGGGAAGGGAUGUAUAAGCCUAAGCGAACAAAGAUCAUAUCCUCCAUAUGAUUUUGAUGAUAUACUUGUGAUUGUGAUUGUGAUUUUGGUGUGUUGAAUGAAUCGGUUGUCACGUUCCGGCAUAACUAACUUGGAUCGGUUGCCACGUUCCGGCAUAACUAUGGGAUCGGUUACCAUUUUUCGGUAUAGUUAUGGGAUCGGAUACCACAUUCCAGUAUGCUAACUGUUGGGGUUUGGUUCAAUGAGAGGACCAACGAUAUGAUAUAAAUGUGAAGUUGUUCGUUGUUCGUAAAUGUUCAUAAUAUUAUAUAUGUUGAUAUAUAUGCAUGUGAUUAUAACGUUGUCUUGACUUGCUUAUGUUGUACUUAGUGGGAUAACCGUGUGAUCCUACCAGUACACUGUGGUUGUGUACUGAUACUGCACUUGCUCUUAUUUUUGUUGAAUAUAGGGCAUCUUGAAGCGGCUACUGACAGAACUCGCUUAAGAGAUUAGUGAUUAUUUGAAUUCAAGGGUGAGCCAAUUCUUCUGGGCUACCAUAGCUUCUCUUUUCUCUAUGUCCACCAUUUCCGAACUUAGACUAUGUUCUAGUUAGUUCAUUAGAUUGGGGUUGCAUCCUUUCUUGUUUAGACUUGGUUCAUUGUUAGAUGUUUUGGUACAUAAACUUUAAGGUUCUAGGUUAUUUCUUCCGCAUUGUUAGUUGUUAGAUCUUUUGUUGAAGUUUAUGGGAACUUCAAUUUUAGCUAUUAUUUUUGCUUUCCUAUACUUAAAUGCCUUAGGUUUUAGAUCAGUUGCUUGGAUUUGGUUGUAGUAGUAGUUCUCCCACCGGAAUGCUAGUGUGGCUGCCAAUCACGAUGGUCUGGGUCGUGAUAAAAUAAUAUUGGCGAGAAAUAAAUGAAAAAACUUACAAAAAAUGAAAAUAUUAUUAUAUGAUUUGGCCAAUUAGCCUACAUAUUUUUCAAAAACCAAUAAAAAACAUAAAAAUUGUAGACAGAAAACCUCUCCAUAAACAAAACUCUUAGUGCCUGUUUGGAAAGUCAACCUAGUAAUUGGAUUUUGUGUAAUUGGGUGUAAUUACAUUGUUUGACAUGUUUGGUUGGUCGUGUAAUUACCUGGUCAAUAGGUAAUUGAGGGUAAUUGGAAAGGGGGGCUUGUGAAUUCCUGGUAAUUACAUGGUGUAUUUACAAGUGGUGAUAUUUUGUAACUCGAUAUGACUCACAUUCCAAUGAAGAAAUAUUCUGAAACCGAGGACACAAUUUCUUUAAUUGACGUAGAGAGGGAUGUCUUAAUCGACAAUGUGCAGCAAAUUGAGACACAAAACUAGAGCAAACAAUAGACAAAAGGCCCGUUUGGCCAUGCGAUAUGGUAUCGUGAUAUGGAAUCAUGAUAUGGUAUCAUAAUAUGGAAUCAUGAGAUGAAAUUGAGGUUUUGUUUGGACAUGCGAUGUGGAAUUUUUGUGUUAUAUAUUUUCUCAUAAACAUAAGAAUCUCAUAAGUUGUAAAACUAUUAAAAUAGUUCCAAUUGUUUAUUCAAUCUUACCGAAUAAACAAAAAUUAUAAAAUCGCAUAAUAAAUUAUUAUAAAGCUAUUUGUUUCCCACUUAAGUAACUAUUUUAUCAAACUUUAAUUCAAUAAAAAAAUUGAACAAUAAUUGUAGUGAACUAGUCUUAAUAUAAUCCUCCCACAUAAUAAUGACAAUUUCCUCACGUUGAACUUGCAUUUCUCGAUCAUGUAACCGAGAAGACGAACUAACAUUGUUGCUUUGAGUCAUUUUUUGGUUAAUAUCAUACGCAACUAUAUUUUCAUGAUCAUAGACCAUAAAUAUUUCAUUACUCCUUUUCGCAAAUAAUUACAUAACACUGCACAAGCUAUGACAAUUUUUUACUUGUGUGUCUAUAUCAUAAUGGUUCAUACCUUGUUUCAGUAUUUUGCUAUUUUUCCAAGCUCCAAAAGUCGGUAGGGGUUGUUUUAACAAAUUAUAAACUUGUGGAUUAAUUUUUGUGUUUAAAAAAUCUCAAAUCAUGAUAUGGUAUUCCAAUAUAAUUCCAUAUCAUGGUUUUCGGAGAAUAUGUAAUCACAUCUCAUGCUAUGGAGUCGUAAGAUGGAAUCAGCGUAAAUUCGCAUGUCCAAACGCUGAUUCCAUCUCAUGAUACCAUAUCGUGAUAUGGUAUCGCAUGGCCAAACGCCUAUUAAGAUUCCCACUCAUCAAGGAUGUACAUAUCAUUAGAUACAUGUCAUUUACCAAUAAUUACCUGAUUUGUCCUAAGAUCACGAAAUAGGCAAUGAUCGAGAAAAAAUAAAAUAUAACAACUAAGGUAUAUGUAUUUACGGACAAAGAUCAAAUAAAAUGUCAAUUUUGAUAGGCUUAAUACAUAUGAUAGGGCAAUAAAGGAGGCUGACUUAACAAUUCCAAAUCCAACACUUGUACAAAUAGUUCAAUCAGCUACAGUGACCAGAAAGGGAGCUUUGUGUGAUUGAAUGCUAGAAAAAUGUAUUGGAAUUAACAGUUAUAUGAUUUGUGCACCUAAAUCAAUCACCCAUUCAUUUGAAGAGGUGAUACAAUAUCUUUCAUCCAACUUAGCAAUUUUAAUAGCCGAAGUGAAUUUAUUCAAUGAUUCUUGAUAUUGAGAUAAUAUUGCAAACUCAUGUGUUGAAAUUGAAAUUAUUUUAUCAAAAAUGAAUUAUCCGUAGUAACAAAAUUCAGUCUCUUAUUGAUCAUUCUAUUAAUGAAAUAGUAGUACCACUUAUCCUGAACAAAUAUUUUUUAAAAGAAACCAAUUCAGUAAUGCAAUUUCUUAAAAGAAAGCAAUCAAAACAUGGAUGUAAUAAAGGUCAAAUGCAAAUCUUUGACCAAUGAAACAAAACCUUGUACUUUCACGAUAUCAGACCGAAAUUUCAAGAAGACGCAAACUACAUAUUAAAGAUGAAACCAAGAAAUACCAAAUAUCAAUUGAAAACACCAUAAAAUAAUUUACCAAACUCCUCAGAUGUUGGAGACAAUAACCAGAUCUGUUAGCCGGAAACAAGUGACUUUCUCGGAUGAUGGUUAGAAAUAACAAUAGAUGACAGAAAAAACAAGAUCGACAUAAAGCAACCCCAAUCUAGACAGAUAUACCACUUGCCUUCACACACACGUCGAGAAACUGUGAAUAGAAUGUAGUCACCAAAAUGUGAGACUCACUAAGAUAAUUCUAAUGUAAUUGUCAUAAAACAAUUACUAUUAACUUCUAGCGAAAAAACAAUGUCUCCUGGCUAUGAAGAUGACUCAACUCCAACUAGGUAGGGCUCGCUCAGUUGAAGCUAUAACCUUCACUCUGAUACCAUGUUACAACAAAAGUAUGGACUAAUUUCAAUGUAUAUGAAGGAAUACAAUGGUUAUAAUUGAGGUAUAGAAAAGAAUAAUUACUAUUACAAUGUGAGACUCACUAGGAUAAUUUUAAUGUAAUAGUAAACAAUGUCUCCUGGCUAUGAAGAUGACUCAACUCCAACUAGAUAGGGCUAGCUCAGUUGAAGCUAUAACCUUCACUCUGAUACCAUGUUACAACAAAAGUAUGGAGUAAUUUCAAUGUAUAUGAAGGAAUACAAUGGUUAUAAUUGAGGUAUAGAAAAUAAUAAUUAAGGUAAAUAGAUAUCUGAAUCCCUAAAAAUCAGCUAGAAUACUAUGUACAAAAAAAUAUACUCCCUCCGUUUCAAAAAGAAUGACCUAGUUUGACUUGGAACGGAGUUUAAAAAAAGAUAGAAGACGUCUUAAUCUUGUGGUUCUAAAUUAAAGUUAUAUCAAAUGUACCAAAAUGUCCUUUAAUCUUGUGGCCUUAAACAUACCAUGUAGAAAGUUGAAGUUAAAGUGUUGCAAAAAAAGGAAAAGGGUCAUUCUUUUUGAAACAGACUAAAAAGGAAACUAGGCCAUUCUUUUUUAAACGGAGGGAGUAUAAUUUUAUGAUUCUCUAACACGUAUGUUCCCGCUUUCCUAUAUUAAGAAUUAUCCCUCAUUUUUUCAUUCCAAGUUUUUCUUUCUUUAUCUAGGAGUUCAUCAAUUGUUGUAGUUCUUUUUUUAAAAAAAAAUCAAAACACAUAAAUAUGGUUCAAGAUAUCUUUCUUAUUUUUACUUAUUUUUUUCCGACAAAGUUGUGUGUUGUUAAGCACUUUACACUACAAGAAACACACUUAUUUAAGACCAGCGUUUAGGGACGAGUUACUAUUUCUGUCUCUAAAGAUAUAUGUAUUGGGACAAGAUUAUAUUUUGGUCCUUAUUUGUAUAUUCUGUUGUGAAGAUACUUAAUCCGGUCCCUAAAUGACAUAUUAAUUGAUUCCAAAUUCUAAUUAAAAAACUUAUAGCAGCGCGCCUCUUCCAGCCAAAAUUUAGGCGGCAAUAAUUUUUUAGCCAAAAAGAAAAAACCCUGUUUUUCUAAAAGCAAAUUUAGGUAAAACGUAAAAAGGAAAAAAACCCUUUGGCUUCUGUCUUCUUCAUCGUAUAGUUGUUGCUCAGCUGCUCGUUGAAACAGAUACAAAUUUGCUUCUUCUUAUAAUCAAGUUUCUAUUGUUUCGAAUUCCAUAAACUAUAUUGAUGGAUGUUUUAUUUUUUUAUUUAAGUUACUCUUCUUCUUGUUCUUCCAAUUUCGUAACAUUAGAUAGGUUAAAAGUUUCUUAAUUUGAUAUGUUUUCUUAUGUACAAUCAGUGAAAUAUUAUUGGGUUGAGUUUGUAAUAGUGACUAGAUUUUGUUAACCGUUGUAUGUGCCUAAAGAUUCAUAUUUUGUAUAGAUUGCAUAAUUUAUUUGGAAAUUCUAAUUAUUUCGCUAACAACAUAUACUAAUUUUUUGUCUUCGAUGUUGAUAUUUUGUGAGCGAAAUAAGAACUAGACCUGCUACAUGUAACUUUUAAAGUAAGAUAUACUUACAUAAUUGUAAUGCUUCUGUUAAGUAGGGGAGGCGAGACUCGCAAACAGAUGUAUUGUAUCUAUAAGGUCCAUACCUUUUCCAUAUAACUUAUUAAGCAAGAGAAAUAUUGGCAUGUGAAAUUCUUCUUUUGCAUCAUGUUAACUAUGAUAUCGAAGUCCAUUUCAAUUGUGCACUUAUCGUAUCCCUUGCCCUUUAAAAUUUGUGUUGCAAACUGGGCUUCUAAAGCUUAUGCAAUGUUGUGAUCCUUGCAUUGGAAAGGUACAACAAAGUCAAAUUAGAAGUUUCCAUCUGCAUUUCUCGCUAUACCCCCACUACCAGCCUUGCCACUUUUCAAAAAACUACCAUCGACGUUGAGUUUAAUCCUUCCCACCUCUAGUUUCUGCGAAGUGACUGUUUUGAGACUCACUUUUGGUCUGAGUUUUUCCACCAGUUCACAAGUAUCUUUCCAGUGUAUAUCUAGUUACAUAUAUUUCAGGUUCAAUUUUUAACUUUUGACUCUUUUUGCAUGUUCAAGAUGAAACCAUUGAAAACUGAAAAUGAGGUCAGUUCUAAUAUGAAGAGUACUAUCAGAUAUACAUUUGUCGCUCCUGGUACUAUCAGAUAUAUAUUUUUUUUUUAAAUACCACCCCCACCCCAGGUAACCUCCCACCCACACCCAAAAAAAAUUAUUAAAAAAAUUCCAAAUUUUUUUUUGCCCCCACCCAUCCUAUCCCCCACCCCACCCCAAUUUUUUUAUUUUUUAUUUUUUAAAAAAAUAGUGCAAUUAGAUAUUUUUAUGAUAACUGAGUGAUAUAUGGGUAUAUAUGGAUUCUCAAGUUAACCAUUUUAUUUUAUCCAUAUUUGUAUGAACUUAAAUAGGUUGAAGUCCAUAUUUACCCUUUUAAGAAAAUAUGAGUGAUCCAUUUAAUUUAAUAUGGGGAAAAUAGAUAUGUUUCACUUAUAUGGGCUAGAAUUACCACCCCUACCGUCCUCUUUCGAGUGUUUGAUUCAAAUCCGGUUUUAUUCCUUUGGGGUUGUGUUCCUUGUUCUUUCGGUUUUUAGCUACUUCAUACUUGUCCUUCCUUUUGGGUAUAUAGCAGGAGUUAAUGGGAAAUGGAGGGAAGAUGAAAAGAGGAAUUUGAAAGGUUCUCUUAUGCUUUAUUAAAGAGGCAUUUCUUCCUCAUUGGUGGUGGAAAGAAAAAUUGAAGUGUUUAAAUAGAGAACACUUCUAUUAGUUGUUAAAAGGGUUAGAAAGAGGGACCCCCUCGCGCCGUCGUCAUCGCCGCUCACUCGGCUUCGGCUUUGGAAAAUUAUAGAUCGAGAGAGUGAUUUAAAACAUCUUUCCCGUUUUAUUUGAAUUUCCCACCAUUGGAGAUAACUAUUCUGAAUGGUUACAACUUUCAGGAACGACCAUGACCGUUUGAAAGGUUGCAAACUUUCAUGAAUGGUCAUGUGGUUUCUGAAAGGUUGCAACCUUUCGGAAGCAAUGUUUCUUGGCUAUAAAUACCUCUGAAUCCUCAAAUUUAUUCACUUGCGAAAUUUCUGACUUCUUCUUCUUCUGCAAAGAUUUUUAUUCGUGUACUUUACUGCCGUGAGUGGCUCGCUGACACCAUUGUUUUGGGUAUCAAUACCGUGGUGAAUAAAUUAUUCUAUCCUGGGAGGAUAUAUUCCAAUUCAAACCUCAUAUACUAGAGGGGAAUAUUUUCUUGAAGGGGACACUAUGCAUUCGGUAGGCUCAAUUUUCUUUACAUUCUAUUUCAUACGUCUAUUACAGAUUCUGGUACAUUUUACAGUAAUUAGUUUUUGAUAUUUAAUUUAUGUUCUUCACUACGUGAUUUAAACUUUGGAAUUUUACUGUUUCUGCAAUGUUUUUUUUAUCAGUAGUAUUUUUUAGAAUAUAUAUUGCAUAACAAUCUUUAGGAAAUUAUAUUUUAAUUGUUAAUCUGCGUUUCUGGUGGAGACAAAGACCUUCGUGGUUUUAUACUCCUUUUAAGUUUGCAAUUUAAGUUAUUGCUUACUAUAUCAGUUGUAUCGAUUUUUGUUUAUCAAAAAUGGCAAUUGAAAAUGCUACGACUUCGGGGGUUGUUGCUGCACCAACCCAAACUAUUGUACCACCAACAGAGAAACCGGAAAAAUUCUCUGAUGUGAAUUUCAAAAGAUGGCAGCAAUAAAUAUUUUUCUAGCUUUCCACUCUUGGUCUGCAGAAGUUUACCAAUGAAGAAACUCCAGUGCAUGUUGUUGAUAUGCCAGACAAAGAAAAAAUCAUGAUUAUUGAAGCAUGGAAACAGGCAGACUUCCUAUGUAAGGAAUACAUUUUAAGUGCUUUAGAGGAUGACUAGUGCAAUGUUUUCAAUGCAUUGAGAACUUCAAAAGAAUUGUGUAAUGCACUUAAGAAGAAAUAUAAGACAAAAGAUGGAUGCUUGAAGAAGUUUGUGGUCGCAAAGUUUUUAGACUAUAAAAUGAAAGAUAGUAAAACUGUUGGAUCACUAGUGCAGGAGCUUCAACUUAUUUUCCAUGAUCUGAUCACUGAGGACAUAGUAGUUAAUGAAGCUUUUCAAGUGGCUACAAUGAUUGAGAAGUUACCUCCUUCCUGGAACGACUUCAAGAAUUAUUUAAAGCACAAACGCAAGGAAAUGGAGCUUGAAGGUCUUGUGAUUCGGCUCAAGAUCGAGGAAGAUAACAAGACCGUCCAAAAGAAAUCUCAUGGGAGUUCGACAAUAGUGGGAGUUAAUAUUGUUGAAGAAGCUCCCACCAAAGGAAAGAAGAGAAAAAAGUCCAACAGACAGAAGUCAUAAUAGGCCAAAAAGAAAUUCAAGGAACCUGUUAAAAUUGUGGUAAGGCUGAUCACAAGUCUUUUGACUGUCGUGCUCCAAGAAAGGACAAGGACAAAGGAAAAAGUCAAGCAAACAUUGUGGAGGAGAUGGAAGACGUAGAUAACCUCUGUGCAAUAAUCUUGUAGUGCAACUUAGUUGGAAAUCCCAAGGAGUGGUUUCUCGACUCAGGUGCCGCUCGACAUAUUUUCUUUGCAAAAGAAGCCAUUUUGACGUAUACUCCUGCUGAGUUCGAUGAAGAUGUUUUCACGGGGAAUACAAUAACAACAAGGAUUGCAAGAAAUGGGGAAGUAAUGUUGAAAAUGACAUUCGUCAAGGUGUUGACUUUGAACAAUGUUCUACACGUUCCUACUAUUAGGAAGAAUCUAGUUUCUGUUGCACUGCUCAUUAAGAAUAGGUUUAAGUGUGUCGUAGUUAGUGACAAAGUUGUAAUAAGUAAGACUGAGAUGUUCUUAGGAAAGGGUUACCUCACUGAGGACCUUUUCAAACUGAAUGUAAUGGUUGUUGACAGUAUUAAUAAGAAAUCUGCUUCUGUUUACUUAUUGGAGUCAAAUGAUUUAUGGCAUGCCCGUUUGGAACAUGUAAAUUACAAAGCCUUGCGAAAAUUGAUUACUUUAUAAGUAUUUCCUAACUUCAAGUGUGGUAAAUCGAAAUGUGAAAUUUGUGUUGAAUGUAAGUUUGUUAAACAUCCUUAUAAGUUUGUUGACAGGAUCUCAAAUCCUUUAGACUUAAUUCAUACAGAUAUAUGUUAUAUGAAGUCAAUACCAUGUCGUGAUGGGAAAAAGUAUUUUAUAACUUUUAUUGACGAUUGCACUCAAUUUUGUUACGCAUAUUUUCUUAAUAGUAAGGAUUAAGCAAAUGAUGCAUAUAGUCAAUACAAAAAAAUGAUGUGAAGAAUCAAUUAAAUCGAAAGAUAAAAAUGAUUCUGAGUGAUAGGGGUGGAGAAUAUGAAUCUACUUUUGCAGAGAUAUGUUUGCAAUAUAGUAUUAUUCAUCAAACUACUGCACCCUAUACACAACAAUCAAACAGAUUGGCGGAACGGAAGAACAGAACAUUAAAGGAAAUGAUAUUUUUAAUCAGUUAUGGUUCACCGCGAAACUUGUGUGGUAAAGCUAUCUUUCUGGCUAACAAGAUACUCAAUAAGGUACCCCAUAGCAAAACACAAUCGAUUUCUUAUAAGUUAUGGAAAGAAAGGAAACCCAACUUAAAAUACUUCAAAGUGUGGAGGUGUUUAGCCAAGGUAGAGGUUCCUUUACCUAAGAGGGUGAAAAUAAGACCUAAAAUAGUGGAUUGUGUUUUUAUUUGAUAUGUUGUGAACAGUAAGGCCUGUUUGUUUUUGGUUCACAAAGUUGAGUUCAUGUUAAUACGGUAAUAAUGUUUAGUUCUGUGAACACAUUUAUCCGUAUAAAACUGAAUGUGAGUCGACAAGUGAAAGACCUAAACGACUAUGGGAAAAAUCAACAGAAAAUACACUACCUAACGAGGAUCCCAGUCGUAGUAAUCGUCAACGGAAAUUCAUUUCUUUCGGACCAGAUUUUGUGGCAUUCUUGUUUUAAAAUGAGCCUCAAACAUUUAAAGCAGCGAUGUUUUCGUCUGAGUCAACUUAUUGGAAAGAAGCAGUCAAUAGUGACAUCAAAUCAAUUUUAAGUAACCAUACUUGGGAAUUGGUUGUUCUUCCUCCAGAAAAUAAACCUUUAGGAUUAAAGUGGAUCUCCAAAAGGAAUAUGAAAGCCGAUGGGACUAUUGACAAACAUAAGGAUAGACUUGUAGUCAAAGGGUAGAAACAAAAAUAAGGUUUGCAUUACUUUGACACAUACACUCCAGCAACAAGGAUAACAUUUAUUAGGAUGUUAAUAGACCUAGCGGCAGUGCAUGAUCUUAAAAUCCACCAAAUGGAUGUUAAGAUAGCCUUCUUAAAUGGAGAGUUGGAUGAAGAAAUUCACAUGGAACAACCUGAGGGGUUUUUAGUUCCUGGUAAAGAAGAGAAAAUGUGCAGACUUGUUUAGUCACUUUAUGGGAUCAAACAAGCACCUAAACAAUGGCAUGCUAAAUUUGUCCAAACAAUAUUGGCAAAUGGAUUCAUGAUUAACGAAUGUGAUAAAUAUGUUUACAUUAAAAAUAUUCUGAAUCAUGAAGUCAUUGUUUGUCUAUAUGUUGAUGACAUGUUAAUAAUGAGUAAAAAUAUUGACGAUAUAAAUGCUACUAAACGCAUGUUGUCCAACAAGUUCGAUAUGAAAGACUUAGGAGUUGCUGAUUUGAUCUUAGGGAAUAGGAUUCUCAAAACUCCUCUAGGACUAGCCUUAUCUCAAUCUCAUUAUAAUGAAAGAGUAUUGGAAAAGUUCAAGUACUUGAAUUUCAACGAUGUCAAAACUCCAAUUGAUAUAAGUCUUAUAUUUCAAAAGAAUUAAGGUGAAAGUGAUUCUCAAUUGGAAUAUGAAAGAUUGUUGGGAAGUUUGAUGUAUAUUAUGAAUUGUACGCAACCAGAUAUAGCAUGUGCUAUUAGCAAGCUGAGUCGGUUCACUAGUAAUCCUAAUCAAACUCACUUAAUGACAAUGAAACAUGUGUUGAGGUAUCUAAAACAUACACAACAUUAUGCUUUGCAUUAUAAUAAAUAUCAUGUCGUGAUUGAAGGAUAUAGUGAUGAAAAUUGGAUCACCGGGUCAAAUGAAGUAAAAUCCACAAGUGGUUAUAUGUUUAUACUUGGUGGAGGAGCAGUCUCUUGGAAAUCGUCCAAACACACAUGUAUCGCUCGCUCCACAAUGGAAUUUGAAUUUAUUGUCUUAGAUAAGGACGGUGAAGAAAUUGAAUGGCUCCGCAAUUUCUUAGAGGACAUUCCAUUCUGGCCCAAACCUGUGCGACUUAUAUGCAUACAUUGUGAUAGUCAAGCAGCAAUAGGUAGGGCAGAGAGCGUCAUGUACAACGGGAAGUCUCGUCAUAUACGAUGGAGACAAAAUGUCGUAAGACAACUGCUCUUUAGUGUAAUCAUCACAAUUCACUAUGUGAAGUCAAGAGAUAAUGUGUGAGAUCCACUAACAAAAGGCCUAGUGAGAGAGGCAGUUGAAAGAUCAUCUAAGAGAAUGGGUUGACGACUUCGGACAAGUCAUCAUAGCGGUAAGCCUACCUAGCAAACUGGAGAUCCCAAGAGCUAGGUUCAAGGAGAAAAACAAAGUUGUGCCUAACAGUUCGACAUUGUCAAUCAACUCAAUCCAUUCUCACAAUGAAGACAAUGUUUAGGAACGAGGUUAAAACAUUAAGGCUUGUUAAUGAGCUAAUAAAUCUUAAUGUUUUUUUAAUGAUUUGUUAUGUUUGGUAGACUUGACCAAAUAGUGUAUCUACCCGAUGACAAGGUUAGAAAUCACCUAUGUGAGUGUGAAAUGUAAGCCGCUUCAAAGAGAAUUAUUGUAAAAACCCUAUUUUUUAUACACUCAUGAAAACAGGAGGUGUUCAUGGCUGAACUGGACACAACCGUAAGAACCAUAAAUGGUAUAGGGUUAAUUGUGUGACAUAUCGUUGUCUAGGUAUACACCGAAGCUCGACGUUUCAAAGAUAUCACAUCUAUCAAUUGACCGAGUCUAUCCGACAUAUGUUCACUACGGAAAGUUCAACGGAAAACCUACUAAUCCAGAUGCAAUUGAUCCUUGCUUGUAAAGUAUACACUCGUCCGUGAUUUCCUGUAUGUUAUAACCAUUCCCCAUUCAUAUGGGGGAUUGUUGGGUAUAUAGCAAUAGUUAAUGGGAAAUGGAGCGAAGAUGAAAAAAAGAAAUUUUAAAGGUUCUCUUAUGCUUUAGUAAAAAGGAAUUUCUCCCUCAUUGGUGGUGGAAAUAAAAAUUGAAGUGUUUAAAUAGAGAAACACUUCUAUUAGUUGUUAAAAGGGUUGGAAAGAGGGGGGUCCCUCGCGCCGUCGCCAUCGCUCGCUCGGCUUCGGCUUCGGAAAAUGACAGAUCGACAGAGUGAUUUAAAACAUAUUUCCUAUUUUAUUUGAAUGUCCCACCGUUGGAGAUGACUGUUCUGAAAGGUUGCAACUUUCAGGAAUAACCAUGACCGUUUGAAAGGUCGUAAUCUUUCAUGAAUGGUCGUGUGGUUUCUGAAAGGUUGCAACCAUUCGGAACCAGUGCUUCUUGGCUAUAAAUACCUGUUAAUCCUCAUAUUUUUCACUUUAGAAAUUUCUGACUUCUUCUUUUGCACAAACUUUUAUUCGUGUACUUAACUGUCGUUGAGUGGCUCGCUGACACCAUUGUUUUGGGUAUCAAUAUGGUGGUGAAUAAAAUUGUUCUGUCCUGGGAGGAUAUAUUCCAAUUCAAACCUCAAAUACUAGAGGGGAAUAACUUCCAUAAGGGGACAUUGAGCAUUCAAACGACUAAUUAGUAUUUUUCUUCUUUUUUUUAUGUUUCUACAACUUAUAUAAACUUUGUCUUAAUUAAACUUUCUUCUGCUUGUCUCUGCCCAACCUAUGUGCUACCAUAAUCUGGUAUUCCAUUAGUGAUGACCUACCAAAGGAAUUUGUACCAAAACCCUAAAUUUUCAUCACAUUAACUUUUCUGGUAGGCGUCAUUGUCAAAGCCAGCGAUAGAUGGCCUACGUUCCAUGCUGGUGAACCACCACCAAAACCACCAUUAAACUAUGCAACGACUUUUAAUAAAGUAGAAGACAAAAUCGCACUGCCUAUCCCUAUCAAAGAUAUUACUUACAUCCAUGGAAACCCAACUAUAUUAUGGGAGGAAGAAGAGGUUCAGAUCAUGAUCAUUAAAGAAGGUUUACAGUAUGUCAUAACUGAAAUUUUUUCUUACGGCUGGUCAAUCCUAGAAAAGAUUCGUAAAUUGGUCCUUUACGGUGUGAGAUUCAAGCAUGAAUGUAAGGAAGGAUUCUUCAGUGAUAGACACAUACUAAUUUGUCUUACCAAUAUGAAAGAUUACGUACAUGUCAUGUCAAAACCGACAUAUUUUUUGAAGGCUAAAGACCAAUAUAAUAUCAGAUGUGACCUCUAAAGUGGGAACCCUAGUUCAACCCAGAGGCGGAAACUACUACUGCCUUAGCAUGGAUCUCCUUUUUAUCCCUAUCACCUAACUUUUCGUUAAAGAAUCCUUGUUUACGAUGGCUAAAGCAGUGGGAAAACCGUUACAUGUUGUCAUGUCUACAAUAAGUAAAUCUAGACCUAGUUUUAUCAAGUUAAAGGUUGAAGUUGACUUAUUGAAAGAAUUUCUCAAACGGAUCAAUGUUGGAGUUAAGAAGACAUAUUCUGGGGAAAUCAUCUCAACAUGGAUAAAAUUCUUAUACGGUUACAUGCCAAAGUAUUACAAAUAUUGCGAACUUCAAGGCAGAGGUAUGAUUUUCGUCGAGGGGGCUCAAAAAGAUAAGUAAGCACACUAAUAGUAUUCACAAAUAAGUGGAUCGGGGCGGGUCAAAUAAAAAAAUGUCAGAUUCGACAUAAACAACUAAAUAAAAUUCAACUUUCAACACAAACAAUAAAAUCGAGGAAGUAUGUGUUUGACAUAAUAUUAAAAUGAGUACGAGAGAAUGUAUUUUUUAAAAUUUUAAUUAUGGUCUUGUCUCCACCAUUUUUCUAUAUAUGUGUUAUUAGUAUAUAUAUCUGUGUAAUGCGUAUAUAAUAUUAAAAAAAAUUAUAAUAUUUUUAUUGUGAUAUCUUGUUCGAGCAUAUUAAAUCAUACAAAAGUUCAACUAUCAUGCAAAUGGACAAUUCUAUGUAAUCAUAAAUUUUAUAUAUCAUAUUUUAUUAUUACAAUUAUAUUGUUCACUAUUUAAAAUCAUUAUAUUGUUAGUGUUAUGUCACGACCCAGACAGUCGUGAUUGGCACCCACACUAACUCUCCAGUGGGAGAACCACUACUACAACCCAAAUCAAGCAACUAAACCAAAACUAAAGCAUUUAAGUUAUGGAAGCAAGUUAAAUACUAAGGAAAGAAAUAGGGAGUUCCCAUAAGCUCUAACAAAGGUCUAACAACGAACUAAACAAUGUGGAAGAAAUAACCUAGAACCUGAAAGUCAAUGUACCAAAACAUCUAAUAACGAACCAAAAGUCUAAACAAGAAGGGAUACUACCCCAAACUAAUGAACUAAUAACUAACUAGAAAAGUUUAAGUCCGAAAUGAUGGAUAUAGACGAAAGAGAGCCCAUGGAAGCCAGGAAGAAUUGGCUAACCCUUGAAUUCGAACGAUCACUGAUCUUCUAAGCGAGGUCUAUGAAUAGUUGCUUGAAGAUGCCAUGUACUCAACAAAGAAAGAGCAAAAGCAGUAUCAGUACACAACCAUAGUGUACUGGUAGGAUCACGCAGCUAUCCCACUAAGUGCAACAUAUAUAAGUCAUUACAACAAUAUAAUCACAUGCAUAUAUCGUACAUAUACAAUAUUAUCAACAUUUAUGAACAACGAACAACGUCACAUUUCUCAAGAUACACAAUUAUGACAAGUCAUUGGUCCUCUCAUGGAACCCAAACCCAAACAGUUAGCAUACCAAAACGUGAUACCCGAUCCGGUGUUUAUGCCGGGACGUGGCAACAGAUCCCAUAAUUAUGCCAGAACGUGGCAACCGAUCCCAAUUAGUUAUGCCAGAACGUGGCAACCGAUCCAUUCAACACACCACAAUCACAAUCACAAGUAUCUUCUCAAGUUCAUACAAUUUACUCAUGAUUCAUGGCAUUCAUCAUUCCUCUAUCUCAUUUACAAUAAGUGUGAUCAAUAAUGCAACAUUCACAUACAUACAAGUAUCAUAAUGAAGCAAGAACAAACAUACAUCACACAAUCAUAGAAUCACAACCAUCACCUACCUCGAAACAAGCUUGAAACCCUAUGAAACUUGAUCCUUCCCUUUCCGAAUUUGUUUCUCUUGUUCUUGGUCUACAAACAAUCAUAAUAAUACGGUAAUCAAUAAGCAAUCACUAAUUACCCGGAUUACUAACAAUUCUAACAACCCUAGAUCAUACCCAUGAUCCAAAGUACCCAAUUUAGGGAUGUUUCCAUCAUGGAAUCUAGAUCAAAACCCUCCCCAAUCGAUAAUUACCUAUUUUAUCAUGUUCUACAGAUCGAAAAACGGAUUCGGGGAGUGAAAAGCGUACCUUUAGCCUCAAGAAUGGUGGAAAACUGUCAAGAGUCGCUUGGAGUUCGUUCCUUAGCUCUGAAAAUCGAAAAGUGCAGAAUAAAGUUGUUUAGGGGUUUAUUUACGACUUUAAUUCGCUUCUGGCCCGCCACAACGACCCUCACCCCGCUACAGCGGCCCCGCCAGAGCAACAAAACCCAGCGGCUUGUACGAAACAGUGAGCUAUUUUAAUAAUUCGAAGACCCCCAUUUCACAACACACCUCUAACCAACGACACUCGGAAAAUCCCCUUCACGCUAAGAUCGAUUUCGGGAGUUCUACUCGCCCGAAUUCAAUUCCGUAAAGUCGUACGGAUUCCUUAACGAGUUAUCUAUCCCCUCAUGUAAUUAGAAUUAUAAAUAAAUCACCCGAUUGAUACCUGAUUUCGCUACACCUUAAUGACUCGGAUUUCGUCAAAAUCUAGACUAGGUUGGGAAAAUCCAAAUACUACGAAAAAGUUUUCCGGUCACAAAUUUUCCCCUGUUGGCUUUUCUAUAACGACGGAACCCAAUUGUUACAUAUUGAUUUUUAUUAGCUUUUCAAUUAGCUUAAUAUAAUCAUUAAAUAAUUUUCUAAUUAAUAUAAAUCAUAUAUAUUUAUUGUGUUUACUCGUGAUUUUUUCUUUUUUAGUGUUAACAUCUCUCUAAUUUAAAGUUUUAUGGACAAUAAUAUGUAUAUUAUUUAGCUAUUCUAUUGUAUUCUCAAAAUUAUUCAAAAUAUUUUCCCCACCCCUCUUCCCCCUUCUCUUUUUACUGUAUUUUUAUUACUUUUAAUUUGAAUGAAUAUUUUAUGUUAUACAUCAUAAGCAGUUGAGUGCUUUUUUUUAUUUCAAUAUAUAGAAUACUAAGCUUAAAUUUGUUACUUAAAUUCUAUAUUUUAAUGUGUUAUUAUUUAUUGAGAUUUUAGUUAUAUGAUAUAUAGAUUUUAAGUCUUUUCUCGUUAUAAUUGAAAAAAUAUUUUCUCAUCUAAAAGCCCUUCAACUUUUUUUACAUUAUAAUUUAUAAUUUGUUUCCUAGUUUUGUCCUAACUUAAUAGUUAUUGUAUUAUUCAUAAAUUAGUAUCUUUACAUUAAUAUGUAAAUUUUUAAUAGCUUGUCACUUUAUCUAAUAUUCUUAUGGUGCGUAAGAUAUCAAUAAGGAUAUCAGUUAGUUAUAUCUAUUUACAUUUUAUAAUGGAUAAAUUUUGUAAAACAUGAAAUUAAAAUUGAUAAAAUUCACUAAUAAAGUUAGUGAUCAAUAACUUAAAAAAAGAGAAAGAAAAAAGGGAAGUAUUCUUAACAUUAUAAAUCAUUGUAGAAGUUUAUGGAAGAGAGGCUAAUUAAAUUGACUAAAGGGUCACUUGGUGUAAUUAUACCAAAGAAUUAUUUGAAGAAGAAAAAACAGAUAUUACUAAAAUGACAACAUUCCUAAUUUCACAAGUUAAAAAUAUACCUCUUCACUCUCAGCAAGACAAAAACACUAAUUAUUUAUAUAGAACUUAAUUCAUAUAUAUAUAAAAUAUUAUCCAUUUUCCAUUGAAAAAUUGGAGGGGCCGUUUUUAAUCCGGAAGGCAUUACUAGUCAUUCGAAUUACUUCUUCUAGAUCCUAGUUUCUAGUUUAUCUAGAAUUACAAUUACUUCUUCUAGAUCCUUUUGAUUUUUUAUUACUCCUAUUUGUUGUAAACCCAUUUUAAAGUUGUAAAGCUUUGUAUUUAUUUCUAUUAAGGUGUAAUUUUUCUCUACAUCGUCUGUAUCUGAAACGCUAAGUUCUAAUAGUUCAAUUUCUUCUUUUUCAUCUGUAAUAUGUAUCUUGGUACAAGUGCACUCUUCUCCUUUGUCGCAUUUUUUUGGAGAAUCUGGGCUAAGUUCAUUAUUGUCUGUAAGAUAUCUAGCUUUUGUUGGAAUAGAUUCGGUUGUUAUUGUGGUUUUAGUAGUGUUUUUCUAGAAUAUUAUCCCAUCUCUAGUAAGGAGACAACUUCCAUUAUUAUGUAGUAAGAAAUCUAAUCCUAAAACAAAGUCUACCCUAAUAUUUAGAUCUCUUACCCAGAUUUUUUCUAACUUAUAGGUAGGUUUAUAGAAGUCUACACAAGUGUUUAAAAAACUUAUUUUUGCAUCACUAACGUAAUGCUCAUAUAUAUUAGAGGAUCCGUCCAUUUGCAUGGCACUUUGUGGCUCUGGGAAAUCUUUUAUUACUUCUGGAAGCAGGAUGCAUCUAUUUAAUAUACUCUACGUACAUACUAAAUCUACUAGAGUGAGGGUCUCUAUUUCAUAGUCUUGAAUUUUUAUUCUAGUCAAAAAAUUUAUGGUAUUAAUUUUUUUUGUUUUCGUUACAAAUUAAUCCUUCAAAUGACGUGGCUUCUUCCUUUUUGUUUAAGAGUUCUAUUUCUAGUUCGGGCGGUUUAUUGUUGAUUUGGCUAGUUUCCUCUAUUUUUACGUCUUUCCCAUUUUCUAGUUUACCCAUUCUUUCCUCUACAUUAUCAAUCCUAUCUUCUACUGCUUUUCGCAAUUUUUCUUUUGUGAUAACUUGUUCGUCUUUGACGUUAAUGUUGAACACCUUAUGAAUGCACCAGAUGGAUCCUUGUAAGUAGAAGUUCAUGCAUUUUGCUCUUCUAUUUUUACUUGGAUAUCCUGUGCAAUUAAAACAUCGCUGUCUAUCUAAACCUUUUCCCUUGGAAAAUUCGUGGUCACAUUGUAUACUGACAAAGGUGUGGUUAUUUAAGUCUAGCUUCUCUAAUCCUAUUUCGUUUAUUAAUGUUUUUCCUUCUGAGUUCGAUGAGUCUUGUCUUUCUCCUUCUAUGGCAUUUAUGUUUAUUACUGAAUAUAUACUUUUGUUAUCUAACAUAUAUUCGUCUACAUUUAUCAGGGUUUCUUGGAAAUCUUCUAAUCGCUGGGCAUUUCUUGUCCUACUGUUGUUUCUUCCUGGACAAGUAUUGGCUAGAUGUUCUUCACUUCCGCAUGUGAAACAAGCUAGUCUAUUUUUAUAAAUCCUGUUAUUAAUCUGUUUUCUUACAUGACUGUCUUUAUUUAGAUAAGGUUUUCUUGCAGUUGAUUUUCUUAACUAGUACUUUCUCUUAGGUUUGUAUUCCUGUCUACUUUGAUAUGGCUUUUUAUACUUUCUUUGUGGUUUACUUUGAUCGUAAUUUUACGUUGUAUAUAUAUUUUUACAGAAAUCAGUCUUGCUUUGUUUCAACCUUUUCUUUAUUUGUAUGUUUGUACAUUUUUCUUGUAUUAUCUCCAUUACAUGUUGUACUUUAUGUCCUAUUGACCAAUUCGCUGUUGGAUUUUUCAUCACUCCUUCUCUUUUAUUCCAUCUUUCUUCUAUUUCUCUUCCUAGGACUCUAGGGAGCUUAUUGAAAAGUUUCUUUCCUAAACUUUGGUCAAACGUGUUACCGCUUAUGGUGCAAUAAUAGAAAAAGUCUUUUAUGAAGUUCUUUAUAUGACACCAAUUAUUUAUGCUAAGUUGUUCUAGUUUUAUUAACGCAUUAUUUUGUAAUACUACUAAUCCACUAUUUGGGUCUUCUCCUGUUACUAGGUUGUGUAUUUUAUUAGUAAAGUUGUACGGGUUUGCUCCCAUGUAUACCAAUUUUUGGAACUCUUGAGGGUAAGCUACUUUGUAUGCUUCCCAUACUCCUUUAAUUGAUUCUCCUAAAAAGGUCUCCAUAUACCUAUACAUGGUCUAUGCAUCUGUUUCACUGUAAUGAUGUAUGUAGUCUGCUACCACUAUACCUUUCCAUACAACUAUUAUUGAAUUCCAUAAUUGGGGGUCAAGUGCUGCUAUGUUUAGUAUUUUUCCUCUAUCUCCCCCUUCUUGAAGUUUGACAGGACCUUCUUUUGACAUUCUUAUUCCUAUUGGUCUAACCAUUUCUGGUUCUGUAGCUGGGUCUUGCCUAAAAACUUUGUGCCUUGGUAAGUUACCUAUGGUAUAUUCUACCAGUGGUACGGGUGUGGUUUUUUUGGCAAGUAAAAAUCAAUAAAAAGGUCGUUUAUAUUAAAUAAAGGAAUUAAAUAAAGGUGGUGAGACUGAAAAUGAUGAGUUUGUGAAUUAUGUGUGCUUGUGAAUUAUGUUGUAUAAUCCUACUUAGUACUCCCUCUUCCGGUUCCCUUAUCUAGUUUAGUAGUUUGUUGUUUCUAAAUCUAUGUAAUUUCUCCCAAAAAUUUUAAAUUACUUUUCUUUUUACUCUGUUCAUCUCUUUUCUUUAGCCUAUGUUCUUAGUAACUUCUUCUUUAACCAAACCAUGGGAUACACAGUCCUUCGGUUCUCUGACCAUGGCGGACUUUCAACUUCCCUAGAUAUUUGCAGGUUAAUCCAUCGUUGUUACUAAGAGGGUAGAGAACUUACAAUUUACUAAGAGUAAGUAAUAACCCAUUAUAUGGGUAUAAAUAGUUCAUGUAUGAACAUUAUAUUAUAUAACAAGUGUACUAUAGUACAUAAUAUCAAUAUACAUAAACUGGGAGAAACUACUAAGAUCUAGAAAACACAUAACUACUUACAUUGAUAGUGGUCGGAGAGAGGUUUCCCUUUCGGGAGUCCCCGAGUGACUUUGCAGCUACUUAAAAAACUAAACACUCACUCUUUUUACAAACUCACUUCACUCUUUUUUUUUUUAAGGGAACGGAAAUAUGUAAAGCUAACUCUUAAAACUAAUUCUUCUUCUUUGCUAUGCUCCGCUUGCUCUUGCUCUCUACUUUCCUCUUGCAAAUAGUUUAGUAUUUAUUGGCGAGGAUGGCUUUUUCCAAAUUUGAAAUUCGGAUUUCAAAAUGUUGAAUAGUCUUUCUUUUACCUGUCAGGGGCUCUUUGGGCCCCAUCGUCACAUGGCUUUGAAAAAUGUUUCAAAAUUUUUGUCCUCUUUCUUGUCAGCUUUAGACUAAUGGUGUCGCUUUCUUGUCAGCUUUAGAUUACUAGUGUAUUACAUCAUGGCUUACCUAUUUUUCUUUGUCUUUUCUCUUGAUUCGUCAUUGCUUACGUAUUUUCUACAUGUCCAAGUUGUGUAACAUUAUAGAGUCGAAACUUAUCCCUGAGUCGUCGUCUUCGUUUAGGUCUUGGGAAAACUGUUCCAGGGAUGGAUUGUAUUCACUUCCGUAAUCGUUACAUCCUGAAUAUUCUGUGUCUUGAGUUUCUGGUUCGGGUUUUGGAUUUUCACUUCUGACUUCUUUGGUCUUUUCACUAAGUAACUUCUGGAUGGAAUUUUGUAUCAUUUGUUCAAUUCUUUUGUUUUUCUUUCUUCUUAACAAGAAUCCUUUAGUCUUUUUUCCUUGUUCUGUAGUUCUUGUUAUAUUAAAACUACUUGGUAAUAUUCUUACACUUUUUGGCAAAGUGUCAGCCAUCAACGGAUUUGAUAAGUCUUUACUCGCUACCGUUUGAAUGGGACGAACUCUACCUUUAGCUGGUACAAUAACUUCUUCUACAUUCUUUGGGGAAUGUACACCCUUCUUAUCCAUUUUAGACUAAGAUGGAGAACUCAUUUGUUCUUUUGGAUGAUCCUCUGUUUGUAAUGGUUGGGUCUGAUUGAUUUCGAAAUGUAAAAUUUUGAUUCUUUCUUGUAAAAGGUAGAUGUGUUGCGUCAUUUUUUCUAUUUCGUUUUCGAGCCUCUCAAUGGUCUAGUUUUGUCUUUUGAAGCCGUCUGUCAUUGUAGAGCAAUGGUCGCAAAAUAUUAUUUUGUCUGUGUCUUUCUGGAUAUUAUAUUGUGGGAAAGGAUUUGUGAUUUGUCUUAAGGCUGGAAUUAGAAAAUAAUUUGGUCCAAGAGUCCCCCUUGCGUAAUCCAGAGCUUCGUUUAGGUCAUUGAAUCCUUUAAAGAGGGGAGUGGGGAAGUCUUUUAUUGAGUAUAUUACUUCCGUCCAUGUUUGAAAAAUUCCGGCCAGUCUUCCUUGGACAAGCACAUAUAACUUGAUUUUUUUGUCUUCAUUUUUUUCUGUAAAAUAAUGGCUUAGCGAAUUCAUCAGAGAAAUGAAGUAACUAUUGUCUCGUGGCACUUUGUUAUAUGCUAUCCAUAAAUUGUCUAUCAGACAUCUCUGUGGUCUAUCUAUCUUUGAUUCUGGUUUUAUUCUGAAACUUAAGUUGGAUGGGGGGUAAAAUAUUAAUUUUUGUCUUCCGAAAUGCAGUCUCUCAAUGCUUGGGGUGUUCAAUCUUGCUUUAUUUAAUUUCGUUCGGGGUUUGAAUAAGGUAUUCUUUAGUAAAGUCUGGAGAUAUAAGUCUUUGUCUAUUCCGUCUGUAGUGUUGCUUGAGCUGGAGGCCCUGGCUUUGUCUUUCCCUGUAGUGCUCAUGCUGAAAAUAAACAGUUAGUCUUCAUGAGUCUGCUAAGCUGAUAUGCUAACGAUUAUCUUUCCCUUUGAUAUGUUCCAGGGAUAUAUUAUAUAUUUACGUGGCAUCUAAAACAUUUAACCAUCUUCUUUUACUACUACUUUUUCCAUCUAUCUUUUGAUUAAAUUUUACAAUAGCUUCGCAAUCAGUUCUUACUAAAAUUUCCUUUUUAUUAAUAAUAUAUAGUUUAAAACUAUUUAGGCCAUAGAUUACCGCUAAUAUUUAUGCGUCUAUACUACUCAUGUUUCCCUUUUCUUUAUAUUUUCCGCUUUGGUAGGCGCAAAUUCUUUCAUUUUUUUUGUCUUCGUACUUAUUUUUUCUUGUUUUAAGUAAUGCUCCCCACCUUUCUGGGCUUUCGUCCGUUCCGACUAUUGGGUAGUCAAUUUCUAAUGGGAGUGAUAAGUCUGGUAUGGUUCUAACCAUAUGUUUUGAGUUUUUGCACUAACUUUAUAUCUUCCAUGUUGAAUGUCUUUUAUCCAUUAGUUCCUGUUUUUGAAUAUAGGGGUCUUGUUAUUUUUCUUAGGUCUUUUAUAAAAUUCCUUGCAUAAUUUAAAAUCCCUAGAAUUUUUUGUAAAUCUUUAGUCUUGUCUAAUUUGUCUGGCAUGUCUAGGACUUUCUUUGCUACGUGAGGUUGUAAUUUAAUUUUUCUGUCUCCAAUUUCUACUCCUAGAAAAUUUAUGAGGUUUUUACGUAGAUCCAUUUUUUUCUGCUAAUUAUGAUACCGUUGUCUACAAAUAGCUUAAAGGUUCUUUGUAAGUGACCUAGAUGUUCUUUAGUAUUGUUAUUAAAUACUAAAAUAUCGUCUACGUAUACAAGAAUAAAGUUUUUAUAAUCUCUGAAAAUACUAUCCAUUUUCCUUUGAAAAAUUGGAGGGGUUGUUUUUAGUCCAAAAGGCAUUAGUAGUCAUUCGAAAUGUCCUUCUGGACAUGUAAAAGCAGUCCAUUCUAUACUAUCCUCAUGCAUUUUUACUUGCCAGUAUCCGGACUUACAAUCGAACUUACUAAAAAUCUUUCUUCCUUGUAUUCUAUUUAUUUGCUCUGUUUUAUCUAAUAGCUUAUAUCCGUCCAUUCGGGUGUUAUCAUUGAGUCUUUUGUAAUUUAUAACUAUUCUUCCUUUUCCCCUUACUAUUUCUCUAUGAUUUCUUACCAUGAACGCUACUGAUCUAUGCUUUGAUGUUGAUCUUCUGAUUACUCCUAACUUUAGUAACUCUUUUAUUUGAUCUUUGAAUUCCUUUAGAUCUUCAUUUGUUGAUUCUAUAGAGGUUGUUAUUACUGUGUAUUCUAGGUUAAUUAUAUCUAGUCUGUAGGUUAUGUGAUUGGCGUCCCAAUGUUUCAAGGGUCUUUCUCCAAUUAUUUCUAGUUUAUCUAGAAUUAGAAUUACUUCUUCUAGAUCCUUUUGAUAUUUUACUACUCGUAUGUGUUGUAAUCCCUUUUUAAAGUUGUAAAGCUCUGUAUUUAUUUCUAUUAAAGUGUAAUCCUUCUCUACAUCGUCUGUAUCUGAAAUGCUAAGUUCUAAUAGUUCAAUUUCUUCUUUUUCAUAUGUAAUAUGUUUCUUGGUACAUAUGCACUCCUCUCCUUUGUCGCAUUUUUUUUGAGUAUUUGGGCUAAGGUCACUAGUGUCUGUAAGAUAUCUAGAUUUUGUUGGAAUAGAUUCAGUUGUUAUUGUGGUUUGAGUAGUAUUUUUUGAGAAUAUUAUUCCAUCUCUAGUAAGGAGACAACUUCCAUUAUUAUGUAGUAAGAAAUCUAAUCCUAAAACAAAGUCUACCCUAAUAUUUAGAUCUCUUAUUCAGAUCUUUUCCAACUUAUAGGUAGGUUUAUGGAAGUCUGCACAAGUGUUUAAAAAACAUAUUUUUGCAUCACUAACGUAAUUCUCAUAUAUAUUAGAGGAUCCGUCCAUUUGCAUGGCGUUUUGUGGCUUUGGGAAAUCUUUUAUUACUUCUGGGUGCAAGAUACAUCUAUUUAUUAUACUCUUCGUACAUCCUGAAUCUACUAGAGUGAGGGUUUCUAUCUCAUAGUCUUGAAUUUUUAUUCUAGUCAAGAUUUUUAUGGUAUUAAUUUUUUUGUCUUCGUUACAAAUUAAUACUUCAAAUGAUGUGGCUUCUUCCUUUUUGUUUAAGAGUUCUAUUUCUAGUUCGGGCGGUUUACUGUUGAUUUGGCUAGUUUCCUUUAUUUCUACGCAUUUCCCUUUUUCUAGUUUACCCAUUCUUUCUUCAAAAUUAUCUAUCCAAUCUUCUAAUUCUUUUAGCGAUUUUUCUUUUGUGAUAACUUGUUCGUCUUUGACUUUAAUGUUGAACACCUUAUCAAUGCACCAGAUGCAUCCUUGUAAGUAGCAAUUCAUGCACUUUGCUCUUCUAUCUUUACUUGGAUAUCCUGUGCAAUUAAAACAUCGUUGUCUGUCUAAACCUUUUCCCUUGGAAAAUUCGUGGUCACAUUGUAUAUUGACAAAGUGGUUAUUUAGGUUAUUUAAAUCUAUCUUCUCUAAUCCUAUUUCGUUUAUUAAUGUUUCUCCUUCUUAGUCCGAUUAGUCUUGACUUACUCCUUCUAUGGCAUUUAAGCCUAUUACUGAAUAUAUACUUUCGUUAUCUGACAUAUAUUCGUCUACAUUUAUCAGGGUUUCUUGGAAAUCUUCUAUAAGCUGGGCAUUUCUUGUCCUAUUAUUGUUUCUUCCUGGACAAGUAUUAGCCAGAUGUUCUUCAUUUCCCCAUGUGAAACAAGCUAAUCUAUUUUUAUAAAUCCUAUUAUUAUUAUGUUUUCUUACAUGUUUGUCUUUAUUUAGAUAGGGUUUUCUUGCAGUUGAUUUUCUUAAAUAGUACUUUCUCCUAGUUUUGCACUCAUGUCUACUUUGAUAUGUCUUUUUAUACUUUCUUUAUGGUUUACUUUGAUCGUAAUUUUGCGCUGUAUAUAUAUUUUUACAGAAAUCAGUCUCUCUUCGUUACAACUAUUUUUGUAUUUGGAUGUUUGUACAUUUUUCUUGUAGUAUCUCCAUUACAUGUUGUACUUUAUGUCCUAUGGACCAAUUCGCUGUUGGAUUUUGCAUCACUCCUUCUCUUUUAUCCCAUCUUUCUUUUAUUUCUCUUCCUAGGGCUCCAGGGAGCUUAUUGACAAGUUUCUUUCCUAAACUUUGAUCAAACAUGUUAACGCUUAAGGCGCAUUAGUAGAAGAAGUCUUUUAGGAAGUUCUUUAUAAGGCACCAAUUAUUUAUGCUAAGUUGUUCUAGUUUUAUUAACGCAUUCUUUUGUAAUAAUACUAAUCCACUAUUUGGGUCUUCUCCUGUUAUUAGGCUGUGUAGUUUAUUAGUAAAGUUGUAUGGGUUUGGUCCCAUGCUUACCAAUUCUUCGAACUUUUGAGGGUAAACUACUUUGUAUGCUUCCCAUACUCCUUUAAUUGAUUCUCCUAAAAAGGUCUCCAUAUACCUAUGCAUGGUUUCUGCAUCUGUUUCACUGUAAUGAUGUAUGUAGUCUGCUACCACUAUACCUUUCCAUACGUCUACUGAAUUCCAUAAUUGGGGGUCAUGUGCUGCUAUAUUUAGUAUGUUUCUUCUAUCUCCCCCUUCUUGAAGUUUGAUAGGAGCUUCUAUUGGCAUUCUUAUUCCUUUUGGUCUAACCAUUUCUGGUUCAGUAGCUAGGUCUUGUCUAAAGACUUUGUGCCUAAAUUCUUUUGGAAGGGACUUGAACUAGUCGAGGCGGUUUCCCUAAAUUCUUUUAAACUACGUGCUGUCUCGUCAUCACUUUCUUAUUGUGUAUCUUCCUCCUGUCUAUACUCGUAAUUGUCUGUUCUAGAUCUGUAUUCUUUAAAGUGUCUUUCUACACUUGAGAAGUUUAUUCCUCUUAGUUUGCAGCCUUUACAUCUGAAGAUUGCUUUUGUAUCUGAUUCGUGUAUUUCUUUAGCUUUCUUUAUUGAUUUAUCUACUUCGUAGUCGUCUUCUUUUACGAUCUGAAUAUUCAUUCCUUCCAUGUUUAUUAUUGUUUCGGUGGUGUUGUCUUCGAGGUAUUCAUCUAUUUCUUUUUGGUCUGAAUAUUUAUAGUCGGUAAAUCUGAUUGAGGUUUGUCCUUUGUUAUUAGUAUAUGUAAGGUGGUCAUUGGGUCUUAAAACUUCUUUUUUACAUAAUUUCCCUAAAUUCCAUUCUCUACCAGCAUAUUAUUCCGAGUUUAUUUUUAACGGUUUCAUUAGUUUUAUUCCCUUAUUUCACAUUAAACCUACCACAUCGUCUAUUUUGAUUUUAAACUUGGAGCUGCUGCUAGUGGCUAAUUUUCCUAUGAAGCCUAUGCUUACUAGCAAAUUAUUUUCACAGUUCAUUUCUUCGUAACCUUUAGUUUGAAUCCCUAUUUUUAUGUACUUACCAAAUUCGGUUGAAUUUAUCAUAAAGUCUAGGCUACAGUAAAAUAUUCCUCCGUUGUUGGUCAUAUCUACUUCUGUUAGACCUAUUUUAGAUCUUUUUUAUUCUGCCCAUCUAUCAUCAUAUAAAGUAAUUAGCACUUUUGUUCCUAGAUUUUUUCUAGUUAAUCCUUUAAGUCCAAUUACAAUUAAUCCCAUAUGCAUGAGAUUCAUCCUUCUUUUUUGUAUUUCUUUCAUAGAUUAUUUGCUAAUUAAACUUUUACUUUCACUAUUGUCUCCUGAUAUGCACAUCUGUUUUUCUCUAUUGUGUCUGUAUAAUUGUGCUUUUGAAGAGAAUAGUCCUGUAUUAUAAAGUACUUGUGGGUUUAGAAGUUUUAAUCUAUUUUUCUGAAAAAUUUCUAUACCUUUGUCUAUAUUAUUUCAUCUAAUUGUUGACUGCUACUAGGUCUGGACGAGUUCAUUAUCCUGGCUAACACAUUAUUUCCUAAUCUAUCUUGAAAGAAACUGGCCCUUUGUCAUUCUUGGGGAGCUCUACUCCUGUUUGAAAAAAGGUCCAUGCCUUGUCCUUUUUUGUCACUUUAGGUCUAUCCUUUAGGGGCGUCAUUUCUGUUUUCUUUAGUUGUUCUAUCAGGUCUUGUAUAUUUUUAUCUAUUUUGUUUUUUCUUCAAGGAUUUUAUUUUCUAAUAAAAUAUCUAAUUUUUUAUUAAUUUCUGUGAUCUUAUCUUCUAGUUUUCUGUUUAAUUCUAAUAGCGCGAAAAUUAUUAUAUUAUUCUGUUUCACUUCUAUUAGGUCUGUUUUUCCUGGUGGUGUAUAUUCUGAUAAACAUUCGGGAUUGACUUGAAAUUGUGCUGCCCUUUUUAAAACUUCUUGGUAAAAAGGAUCGUUCAUGAAAGGGUUAAGUCUUUAAGUUAGUUUAAUUUUUCUUUUAUUUUUAUAGAUUUUGGUGGAGAUGUUUUAGUCUUUUAUUUAUAUCUUCUAUUGUACUAUUGUUAUUUCUGUUAUUAUUAUUUGCUAUAAUCCCUUGUAAUUUUAUAUUUAUAUCUAAUUGUUCCGUUUUUAAGAAAUCAAAAUUAAUUUCUUUUUUUUCUAAUAAUUUUUUAUGUUGAUUUUGCAGUCUUUCUAAAGUUUCUGUUGACUUUAGUAUUCUAUCGUCUUCUAACUGAGUGUGUUCUGCUAGAUUUAUUAUAAGGUCUGUAAUAGUGUUUAAGUGAUGAUUAUCGUUAUGUAAGAUGUGGUCUCCUUCUGUAAAGUUAUACCUGAUUACUGAACCAUGCUUUAGCGUUCUAUAUUUCUUUUCAGAAAUUAUUUCUAAGUCUAAAUAUUCUAAAUUCUUAGUACUUCCUAUUGUAGUAUUUUUAAGCAAGAUACCAAGUUUUUUAUUUCUAUCGUAUUGUUCUUGUCGGAUUUGUUGGAGGUAAUGGUCAAUUCUAGACCCUAUUCUUGGUAAUUGUAAAUCUAUUUGUCUAAUUUUUUGGUUUAUUGAAUUUAUUUUUACAAAUGAUAUUAAGCUGGGAUAUAACUGUUGUUGUUCUAAAUAUAGUUGUCUUUGUUCUAUUAGAAAGUCAUAUAUACUUGAAUAAUUUUCUUUUAUUUUUUAAAGAUACCAGUGAUAUUCUUGGUCAAUUAUUAUCUAUCUUUCGUAAGGUCGAGGCUUUCUUUUGGCUAUUCUGGUUGGCAUAUAUUUAAAAUAUUAGAUGUUUUUAUCAAAUGUUCUACUGGUCUCAUACAAGAUUGUAACAUAAGCUUUGAUACCAAUAAAAAGGUCGUUUAAAUUAAAUAAAGGAAUAAUAACACAAAUAACAAUAGUACAAUAGAAGAGAUAAAUAAAAAAACUAGAACAUCUUCACAAAGCAUCUAAAGAAAUAAAAUAAAAAUUAAACUAACUUAGAGACUUAACCCUUUCAUGAACGAUCCUUUUUACCAAGAAGUUUUUAAAAUGGCAGCACAAUUUCAAGUCAAUCCCGAAGGUUUAUCAGAAUAUACACCACCAGAAAAAACAGACCUACAUCGUCGUUACUAAGAGGGUAGGGAACUAACCAUUUACUAAGAGUAAGUAAAGACUCAGUAUAUGGGUAUAAACAGUUCAUGUAUAAACUGUACAUUUUUCUUGUAGUAUCUCCAUUACAUGUUGUACUUUAUGUCCUAUGGACCAAUUCGUUGUUGGAUUUUGCAUCACUCCUUCUCUUUUAUUUCAUCUUUCUUCUAUUUCUCUUCCUAGGGCUCCAGGGAGCUUAUUGAAAAGUUUCUUUCCUAAACUUUGGUCAAACACGUUACCCCUUAUGGCGCAAUAAUAGAAGAAGUCUUUUAGGAAGUUCUUUAUAUGACAUUAAUUAUUUAUGCAAAGUCGUUCUAGUUUUAUUAAUGCAUUCUUUUGUAAUACUACAAAUCCAUUAUUUAGGUCUUCUCCUGUUACUAGGUUGUGUAUUUUAUUAGUAAAGUGGUACGGGUUUGGUCCCAUGUUUACCAAUUCUUGGAACUCUUGAGGGUAAGCUACUUUGUAUGCUUCCCAUACUCCUUUAAUUGAUUCUCCUAAAAAGAUCUCCAUAUACCUAUACAUGGCCUCUGCAUCUGUUUCACUGUAAUGAAGUAUGUAGUCUGGUACCACUAUACAUUUCCAUACGUCUAUUACUGAAUUCCAUAAUUUGGGGUCAUGUGCUGCUAUGUUUAGUACUUUUCCUCUAUCUCCCCCUUCUUGAAGUCUGAUCGGAGCUUCUAUUGGCAUUCUUAUUCCUAUUGGUCUAACUAUUUCUGGUUCUAUAGUUGGGUCUUCUCUAAAGACUCUGUGCCUUGGUAAGUUACCUAUGGUAUAUUCUACCGGUGGUACGGGUGUUGUUUUUUUGGCAAGUAAAAAUCAAUAAAAAGGUCAUUUAAAUUAAAUAAAGGUGGUGAGAUUGAAAAUGAUGCGUUUGUGAAUUAAGUUGUAAAAUCCUACUCGGUACUCCCUCCUCCGGUUCCCUUAUCUAGUUUAGUAGUUUGUUGUUUCUAAAUUUAUAUAAUUUCUCCCAAAAAUUUUAAAUUACUUUUUUUUACUCUAUUCAUCUCUUUUCUUUAGCCUAUGUUCUUAGUAACUUCUUCUUUAACCAAACCCUGGGAUACAUAGUCCUUCAGUUCUCUUACCAUGGCGGACUUUCAACUUCGCUAGAUAUUUGCAAGUUAAUCCAUCGUUGUUACUAAGAGAGUGGAGAACUAAACAUUUACUAAGAGUAAGUAAUGACCCAUUAUAUGGGUAUAAACAGUUCAUGUAUGAACAUUAUAUUAUAUAACAACAGUACUAUAGUACAUAAUAUCAAUAUAUAAACUGGGAGAAACUACUAAGAUCUAGAAAACACAUAACUACUUACAUUGAUAGUGGUCGGAGAGAGGUUUCCCUUUAGGGAGUCCCCGAGUGGCUUUGCAGCUACUUCAAAAACUAAACACUCACUCUUCUUACAAACUCACUUCACUCUUCUUCUUCUUUUAAGGGAAGGGAAAUAUGUAAAGCUAACUCUUAAAACUAAUUCUUCUUCUUUGCUAUGCUCCGCUUGAUCUUGCUCUCUACUUUCUUCUUGCAAAUAGUUUAGUAUUUAUAGGCGAGGAUGGCUUUCUCCAAAUUUGAAAUUCGGAUUUCAAAAUAUUGAAUAGUCUUUCUUUUACAUGUCGGGUGCUCUUUGGGCCCCAUCGUCACAUGGCUUUGAAAAAUGUUUCAAAAUUUUUGUCCUCUUUCUUGUCAGCUUUAGACUAGUGGUGUCUCUUUCUUGUCAGCUUUAGACUAGUGGUGUAUUGCAUCAUGGCUUACCUAUCUUUCUUUGUCUUUUCUCUUGAUUCGUCAUUGCUAAUGUAUUUUGGAUGGAACUUGAACUAGUCGAGACGGUUUCCAUAAAUUCUUUUAAACUACGUGUUGUAUCGUCACCACUCUCUUCUUGUGCAUCUUCCUCCUGUCUAUACCCUUAAGUAUCUGUUCUAGCUCUGCAUUCUUUAAAGUGUCUUUCUACCAUAGAGAAGUUUAUUCCUCUUAGUUUGCUGCCUUUACAUCUGAAGAUUGCUUUUGCAUCUAAUUCGUGUAUUUCUUUGGCUUUCUUUAUUGAUUUAUCUACUUCGUAGUCAUCUUCUUUUAUGAUCUGAAUAUUCAUUCCUUCCAUGUUUAUUGUUGUUUCGGUGGUGUUGUCUUCGAGGUCUUCAUCUAUUUCCCUUUGGUCUGAAUAUUUAUAAUCGGUAAAUCUGAUUAAGGUUUGUCCUUUGUUAUUAGUAUAUGUAAGGUGGUCAUUGGGUCUUAAAACUUCCCUUUUGCAAAAUUUCUCUAAAUCCCAUUCUCUACCAGCAUAUUCUUCCGAGUUUAUUUUUAAGGAUUUCAUUAGUUUUAUUCCCUUAUUUCCCAUUAAACCGACUGCAUCGUCUAUUUUGAUUUUAAACUUGGAGCUGCUUCUAGUGGCUAAUUUUCCUAUGAAGCCUACGCAUACUAGCAAAUUAUUUCCGUAGUUCAUUUCUUCGUAACCUUUAGUUUGAAUCCCUAUUUUUAUGUAUUUAUCAAAUUCAGUUGAAUUUAUCAUAAAGUCUGGGCUACAGUAAAUAUUUCUCCGUUGUUGGUCAUAUCUACUUUUGUUAGUCUUAUUAUAGAUCUUUUUGAUUCUGCCCAUCUAUCAUCAUAAAAGUAAUUAGCACUUUUGUUCCUAGAUUUUUCCUAGUUAAUUCUUUAAGUGUCUCAUGAUAUGCACAUUUGUUCUUCUCUAUAGUGUCUGUAUAAUUGUGCUUUCGAAGAGAAUAGUCCUAUAUUAUAAAGUACUUGUGGGUUUAGAAGUUUUAAGCUAUUUUGCUGGAAAAUUUCUAUAUCUUUGUCUAUAUCUAUUAUUUCAUCUAAUUGUUGACUGCAACUCGGUCUGGACAAAUUCAUUAUCCUGGCUAACAUAUUAUUUCGUAAUCUAUCUUGAGAGAAACUGGCCCUUUGUCUUUCUUGGGGGGCUCUACCCCUGUUUGAAAAAUGGUCCAUGCCUUGUCCUCUUUUGUCACUUUAGGUCUAUCCUUUUGGGGCGUUAUUUCUGUUUUCUUUAGUUGUUCAAUCAGGUCUUGUAUAUUUUUAUCCUGUUUUGUAUUUCCUUCAGGGAUUUUAUUUUCUAAUAAAAUAUCUAAUUUUUUUAUUAAUUUUUGCGAUCUUAUUAUUAUUAUUAUUAUUAUUAUUAUUAUUAAUAAUAAGAAUAUCUAUUAUCAUGCAGGCCAACUAUUUUUGCUGCUUGGAAGAUCCGCCGGUGUUUGUCUUGGAAAAGUUAGAGGCAGACAUAGCAGGGACUCGUUUUGUUAGGCUGACUAAAGCCUAUAAUAAUCUAGAUAAAUGUAUUAGGACUACUACUGUAAACCCUCAUAGUAGUGUAAGCCCUCCCAUUAGUGUAAACCCUCCUAGUGUAACUAGGAGACACGCUCUGCCACUAUCUUGUAUGGCCAAAUACUAAGCUAUAAAUAUUAUUAUCUUGUUAACCAAGAAAAAAAAUAUUUCAAAUUUACUGUUCAUGAUGAACAUAUUUAUUUUAUACCUUAACUCUAUUUUAAUACCUAAAAACUGUUAUAAACAUGAGUAAAUGUGUAUCAUUGAGAUCUUGGUCAUAGUUCAAGGGUACUUAUGUGUCACGACCCAAACCGUCGUGAUUGACACUCAUACUAACCCUCUGCUGGGAGAACCAUUACUACCACCCGUCUAACAAAUUUUACGAAAAUUAAGACAUGUAAAGAUACAAAAACAGUUUUAAUGUAGAAAUAAACUUGAGUUCCCAUAAACUCUGAAAGUUUGACAAACAAUAACUAAACAUUUGCGGAAACAACACCUAGAACCUGAAAGUCAAUUGGGAAACAUGUAAGAAAUUGUAUUAACUUUUGUUGAACCAUAUGCAUUUACUAUCUUGAAUAUUUUAGUAGCUUUAAACAAAUGAUCUUAAUAAAUAAUGUUUUGUCACUCUUUUAACAAAAUUUUAUUUUAUCAUUAAUUUCCUGAAUCAUUCUCUUGUUUCCUGUCUGUUUUCCCACUUUGCUUUAGCUGGUUGUAGUUUGUUAUUGAUUGUUUCACUUUUAAAACUUUGUGCUGGGAAUUUUGACAUUCCUCGGAACCUCUUUUGUGGGUGGCUUAACAUGACAACUAAAGCAAUUCACCAUUUCUUGGUGCUGAAGAAAAAAAUAAAAAAAAAUCUCUUGUUUCCUUCUUUCUCCUGAACGUUCUUAUUCUCUUUUAUUUUUUCAUUUUAAAUUCUCAAUUUCAACCUCUUCUUCACAUAUACAUAACAUAUCAACCUCUCUGGGUUUUUUUUUUGAAGUUUCUAUAACCUCUUUGUUCUCCCUAAGGAUCAAAUUAUUGUUUACCAACUUCAAAAACAAUAAAAAUUACAAUAAUCUCUUGGGUUACGAUUUCAACGGAAAUUUCUAAGAGGGCAAAACUUUUUAAAAUGAUAUACAUUAUACGAGGAUUGCAAGAUGUCUUGCUUUUGCUCUUUUGAAAUUGAGAAAUUAAAAAGGAAAAGAAAAGAAAAAGAAGGACGCUUAGGAGACAAGAGAGAAUGAUUUGGGGAUUUAAUGAUAAAAUAAUAAGUUCAAGAUUUUAUUUUUAGCAGGUCGUAUUAAAUGGGGCGGGUCAUUAAAUGGUUUAAAUGGAAAUAUAUUUGGUUCUGAAAAUUUUGGCUAAAAAUAAAAAUUUCAUGUCAAAAACUUUUAGUGAAAAAAAUUAUUAAAUAAGUUGAGUGACUUUCUGUGCAAAGAAGUCAUUGUUGAGUGACUUUUGAGUUGAAAAUGAAAGUUGAGUGACUUUCUGUGAAAAGACUUAAUAGUUAAGUGAGUUGAAAAUGAAAGUUGAGUUGUGAAAAGAGUUGAUAGUUGAGUGACCAUCAAAGUUAUUAACUCUUGAAUGAUUAUAUGAGAAAUCAACCAGUACUAAAGAGAUAGGCAUGUUUCAUGAUAGCCAGAAAAGGAGCAAUAGAAUGGGCAUUCCCCAUCAUAGAUUCCUUUGUGGCUUUUGACAAACUGAAAAAGCUGAGUCACAAACCAAGGAAACACUAUAAGGAUACAUUUAGGAGUUUGGCCAAGUGGAAUAAAGAUUAGACAGCGAGGAUGCGAUUAGUACCUGUUUGGCUUUAUUGAGAAGUCUGGCCUAGUCCAACAUUCAUGAUCAUUCAGUGGAUCCCCAACCUUAAAAAAUAAUGCACAAUUUUAAUUUGAACAUUCAAUAACCAUAAGAUUGUGUUAGGAUAGGUUGUCUAUACAACACCCCUUGAUAUGUGUGAAUGCAGGAUCCUUUGUACACUGAAUAGAGACUAACUUAAUUACCCCUGGACGUUGAGGCAAUUGAACUUGACACUGGCUUUCAAGAAAAAAAUAGUGCCCCACUUGAUGGCAGAGCAAAUAUUUCCCAAUUCUCCAGCAGAUUGGAACUACGAAAAUUUCUUUGGCACAUAGUUGUUCUUGACCCAAGGUUUCUAAGUACAAUAUGACCUAUAAAAAAUAUUCUGCCAAUAUAAAUUAACAAUCAAAAGAAUAAUAUAUUUUUAAACUCAAUAGCAUAUAUGUGGAUUUUAUAUAUCACAAUAAAGUGGGAAAUCACAUAACCAAAAGCUGAAGAAAACAACCAUUCCUUUCUAGCUAGCAACAAAUAAAUUGUUAAUUAGACAAACAAAUAUAAAACACAAUUGGCAGCAUAAACUCUUGCAUUAUAAACGCUAAAAUACAAUCAUAUUCUCAAUAUAACGAACCUAUAAAGAGGUCAUUAAGAAAAGUUCUUUAACAAUCUAAUAAAGAUAUAAUGUCAGAACUAAUAAAAUAUAAAUGUUGACAGAAAAUAAAUGAAUUGAACCCAUGUAAUUAAAGCAGAAUUUGUAUAAGAUAACUAAAAAGAAAGUGACAAAUUGCUUUACCUGUAAAUUUAGAAUAUUAAAAUGAUUAUAAACAACAUAACAAUCCACCUAGUUCUUAAUGAUAAAUCAUCAUCACUUCAAGCUUCUUUGAUACCCUGCAUCAAGUUAGUUUUAUUAGUAAGCGCACAACAUAAUAAAUCAUUAUCUUUGUAUCAUCUUUUUAAGGAUCAUCAGAAUUACAAGGAAAAGUCACCAGUUUGUAGGAUCAAAAUUGAAAGAAGAUAUGCAAGUUCACAAAUUAAAAGAUCGGUAGAAAAAAGAUUACAUUAUUAGGAUGAAAAAUCAAUGUUAAGCCCCCAAAUAUAUCUUCAAGAAAAUAACUUUAUCAAUAAUAGCGGCAAGAAGAAUUGUUCAAAUCACUCAUAUAACAAGACUUUUCGAAAAGGUAGACCAAAUAGAAUGCUUAUUUGGUAUUUUGUAUUCAUCAACAUAAUUAUACCUUAAGUAUCUUAAAUAAUGAGAAUAAGAACCGGAGAUUUUUUUUAGAAAACUAACUAUACAAACUCUAUUUCAAAAAUUAAUAUUACGGUGAUCAAACAAAAUUAAUCAAGUGCUAGCACUCAUUUUUGUAAAUUUGAAUUUUAUUAGUCCCCACAAUUUAAGGGAUAUUAAUCCCCAUUGGAAACAUGCAAGCUCUAACUUUCCACCAGAAAUCGGUUAAUAGACAAAGAAUUAGAAUUAAAAUUUUUAAUAGACUACAUUACCGCUUACAAUAUUAAAGAUCCAUCCACCAAAUAUAUAUUAUAAUUACAAAUUCAACAUUAAGUGAAAGCAACAAAGAAACUAAAUUUGUCUAUUGCAUGCAUAGAAAUACCAUUUCAAUUUUUCCCUUUGCUAACAAACAAAAUUUGAAGGAAAAAAAAGUGAAGAUAGAAACUUCCAUUUUGAUUUACCCAUUUGGUCACAAAGAGAAUUUGAAUGGGAAAAUCAAAUUUUAUCCAUUUAAAACUAAAUUUAUCUGUUGCAUGAAUAGAAACUCUCAUUUUUAUUUUUCCAUUUUGUUAGAAACAAAAUAAUCAGAGGUAUAAAUUGAAGAUAAGAACUGUCAUUUCUAUUUUCCCCUUUGAUCACAAAGAAAAUUGAAUAGAGAUGAACAAAGGGAGAAGAAAUAUCUUAAACUGCAGUAACACUUUCAGAAAAUGGAAGAUGAAGACAACUUUGAGUAAAUGAAGCUCUGGGUUCGAAACCAAAUACACGUGCGUUACAUGUAAAGUAUAUAACUAGGUGUCUUUAAGAAUGAUAGUCAUAGCUGAAGUAGAAUCAUCAAAGCUCUACCUUAAAGUACCUGCGACAUAGUAGAUGGUACAACUUUGUGAGCUAUAAUCAAAAUAUAAAUAUACAUAUAUAUAUAUAUAUAUAUAUAUUUAUAUUUAUAUUUAUAUAAAAGAGAACCCUAGACCCGCCUACAUGGCGCCACCACAAACAAGGAUUCCCUUUUAAUUUAUUUUAUUUCCAAAACUAAGCCUUCCCCUUUUAUGAAAAGUUGUGACUUUUAUGAAGAGUUGCAAUUUCUAUGAAGAGUUGCGACUUUUAUGAAAAGUUGCAAUUUUUAUGAAAAGUUCUGACUUUUUCUUCUGCACAAUUAAAUAUUUGUGUACUUUGCUCCUGUUGAAUGACUCACUGAAACCACGGUUUUUGUAUCAAUACACUAGUGAAUAGAACUGUUCUAUCCUGAGAGGAUCUAUUCCUUUAAACUUCGGAUACUAGAGGGGAAUAAUUUCCUUUAUGGGGCACUGUGCAUUCAAUGGGCUCAACUUUUUCUAUUAUGUUUCAUUCUAUUGUUACAGAUCCUGGUAUGUUUUUUACAGUCAUUAACUUAUGCUUAUAUUAAUAAAUUGUUAUUUUUGAUUACAUGCUUUAAACUUUGUUGUUUAAGUUUCUGCAAAAUUAUUGUUAUAAGUAUUUGUUAGUACAAAUUAAAUAAAAAAUGUUAAUUGAGUAUUCAAGCAAGUUUUCUCUAUUGGAAUUGUUAAAGGUACAAUAAAAAAGCCCUAACAAAUCUCUAAUUUCCUCAUCAACAACGUCAUUCCUUCACAUUCAAGGAUGAGAUUUUGUGUUCCAUUUUUACUAAAUUUUAUCGGUGGAUAUUAUGAGUACUUUAAGGAUUGAAAGUUGAUUGAAGUGUUAGUCAAGUUUUGAGGUAUGUUAUUUCAAAACAUGAGAACUUUUCUGGUUAGAAUGAUUUGUUAUCAUCAUUGGAUAUCUCAUAGUUUACUCCCUUUAAUGUAAGCUUAUUCUCGCUGUUUUGUUGUCUCCUUAAAAUUGUAUUGAUUAUUUUUCACUUGGUAUGUAUAUGAUCUCACUUGGACAAAGCUUUCGCCCUUUUAAUGUUUUUCUUUUUUUCCUUCUCAUUCGGCUAUUCAAAAUAUUUUUGGUGUGAGAUAUGACUAUUUCGGCAAGCUUAAUUUGAAGGAUAUGAAACAAAACCUACUCUAACUAAAAGUAAUAUCUUAAGCUACAAAAGAUAUGUCUAUUAACAUAGAUUUGUUGUCCUUCAUGUCCCAAGUCAUUGCUGAGCGUUUGAGUUAUCUAGGUUAGACUCAUUUUUAGUUUUUUUAAUGUUUGAAAUAUUUAUUUAACAUGAGUCUAGAAUCCAACAUUUAGAUCUACUUGUACUUUCACAAUGUAACAAUUAGACAUACAUAUUUCUGAAAAAGUGGUAAUGUUGCAUUGAUGAAGCAUCUAGAAGGGUAAAUUUUGGUCAUAGUAUAGGAAGGUACUUCUACCUUUUCCCAAAAAAAAAAUUAAAAAAUGACUAAUGUUAUAAAAUCAAGCUUAAAGAAAUAUAAGUAUAAAGAGAAGAAAACAAGGGAAGUAGAUGUAGGCGAAGACUUUUCUUCUUAUUCAAGUGUGUAUUCGAAAUAGUGAGUGAUAUCUCUAUUUAUAGUGUUGAGAUAUUACUUCCAAUGGUCACAAAACUAGUAGAUACAUAGUUAUCCCUUAACAUUCUUAUCACCUUGGAAGCAGCCAUACAUGAAUCCAAUUAGUUCUUGAAUAAAUCUAAUGGAUAAUCCACACAAUGCAAUGGAUUUAUAACACUUUCCCUUGGAUGUUCAUGGAUUAUGUACCUCGUUAAAACCUUACUAGAAAAAACCCUGUGGGAAAAAAUUCUAAUGAAUGAAAAAGAGUACACACAUCUUUUGAUACACAUUAUUUGUUGCCUCAUUAAAAUCCUUUCCAAGAAAACCCAGUGGGACAAAACAUCGAUCAAGGAAAAAAGAGAGCAACGCGUAUUAUACUCCCCCUAAUCAAAACAUCGCUUAAUUUCUUAUGAUGAUGUCAUCCAAUCUUAUAUACCAACUUCUCAAAUAUUGAUAGUGUCUUUGUGAUGAAAUCAUAUUCAUGAAGAUGUUGCAUGAUUGAACUCAUUUCUGAUAUAUCAUUUUCUGGUUUCAUGGAUAUGAUGAGGCUUUGAGCUUAACCGAAUACAUUCUUGAAAAUCACUUUGUUUGUAUCACUCUAUUCGUUACCUCGUUACUGCAAGUUGCUCAUUCAACAUGUUCAUUGCAUCAAACAUCUUGUGGACAGUUUCAUUUGCAGUUGAUUAUCUCGUACAUUGUGGUUGGUAUAUUCUUUUUCAAAGAAAAACCACACAUUUCCUGAAUAUGGUGUGUCAUUGAUCUCAACCAAACGCAGUCUCGACUUACUUCAUGGAGGGCUUUUAUUUAUGCAUGGUUUGAAGAAGCGGUUACCAACGUUUGCUUCAUUGAUCGCCAAGAUAUUAUUGUGACUCCACAUGUAAACCAAUAGUGUGUUUGAGACUGAGCUUUAUGCGAACCAGAUAAAUAUUUAGCAUCUACGUAACCAAACAGUUUUUACUUGUAUUCCUCGGAAUAGAAUAAACUCAUGUAUAUGGUCGUUCGAAGAUAUUCAAGUAUGUGCUUAACACUAUUUCAAUGUCCUUUUGUUGGGGAGAAACUGAAUCUUUCUAGUAAAUUUACUGCAAAACAUAUAUCUGGUCGAAUAUUGUUAGCAAGAUGCAUUAGUGCCCUAAUUGCACUAAGAUAUGGAGUUUCAUCACCAAGAAGCUCCUCAUCCUUCUUUUGAGAUCAAAGUGAAUCUUUAUUUAUGUCAAAAGAUCUCAUAAUCAUUGGGGUACUCAAUGAAUGUGAUUUAUCCAUAUAAAAUCGCAUCAAAACUUUUCUAUGUAUGUUGAUUGACGGACAAAUAUUUCAUUUGUGAAAUUCUCAAUCUAUAGGUCAAGGCAAAAUUUUGUCUUUCCAGGAUCUUUUCAUUUUAGAUUCCCUUCUCAAACACUCAAUAGCUUAUGAAAGCUCUUUAAGAGUGUUAAUAAUGUUCAAGUCAUCGACAUAUACAACUAUUAUAACAAAUUUAGAUCCUGACUUUUUCAUAAAAAUGCAAUGACAAUUAUAGCCAUUCUUUUUGUACCCUUUUCUUCCUUGAUUAUUUCAAUCCAUAUAAGGAUUCUUGAAAAAAUUCUUUCACACUUUUAUAUAUUUCCGACACCUUGAUUACUUCAAGGAUUUUCAUAUAACCUUCAGUAUUGUCUACCUAGACAUGAUAAUUAUUCAUUAUAUGCGUUCAAGUUUUCAUAUAUUGCCAGAUCAAAACAAAUCUCAUUGCAACCACCAUAGGAGAAAACAUCACCAAUAAUGUCAGGAUUUUUGCGACAAACCUUUAUACCCCAAGGCACAAGCCGUACUUGAUAUCUUAUGGUUAUACCAUCACAUAAUAAUUUAUAUGUACCCACCUGACAUUAUACCUUGAUUUAUGGACUAUCAAUCUAAAACUCCACUUUUCUAAGUCAAACAAAAUAUACUUGAUUAUGCAUUUUACUUGGCCAAUCAUUUAUCUGUCCACACUAUAUGACAGAUUUGAAUACAAAAUCCUCGUCACAAUUUAUAUCAUUGAGCGCUACUUCAUGUCAAAGAUACUGUCAAUGAUUAUUUGAAUAUGGAUUCCAAUAUGACAUAACUUAUCAAGAUCUCUUCAUAUUUCAUCAUUUUUCAGGUACCUGAACCUUUUCCAAGGUUUUACAAAGUGUUAUGUUGUGGUGCUCUCUUAUAGCACUUGCCUCAUUAUCAUGACCAUAUUGAUCAUUUGCUCAUCUCCUUCUUCAAGGAAUUUUACAUUUGGAACCGAUUGGUAUAUUACGCUUCAGAUGUAUCAUAGACUCUGUCCUUCAAGGACUUCUCAUUGGAGCAUUUGUAGCUGAAUUAUAUCAUAGGGAGACAGUAAAUUCAUCUGGCAAUCGAUUUGCAACAUUAUUCUAAUGAAUUAUCACUUGAACUUCAAGUUCACAUUUUCUUUUAACGAGGAUCUAUAUAAUUCAUAAUUAACCUCACACAUAAUUUUCAGUUGUCAAUCAUCUCUCCCACUAAUGUUAGAAAAUCUAACAUUCAUCCCAACCUUUUUUAGAAAUUAAUCUUUGUGCGUGGUGGAGCAAUUAAAAUCAUAACCGCACAUUCAACAUUUUAAAUGAAAAUUAUUUGGUUCCUAACCCUGAACCAAUUUUGAUAGGGGACCUUUGUUGGCUUUAUGAGUACAAGUGUUGCUACAUGUUAAAUAAAUUCAUCUCAUACCAAAUUUAUUUUUGGGAGAUUUGUUCUCAUAAUCAAUGGUUUAACUAUAAUUCAAGGCAUACAAUUUCUGCUAAACCAACCAUCAUUAUCAGUAUAAUUUCAUAGUUUGGAAAUGUGCUCUUAAUUUAACAAUUCUAGCAAACAACCUUACAAACACCAUUUUGUAAGUUGACAACAAAGCACAUGUGACCAUCGCAUAGAUGCAUCUAUCAUAUAGUUGCAAACUAUCCACAUGGCAGGUGAAUGGACCCAUAUUCACCUUUUUAUAUGUUCCAAAUGAUUUCAGGGAAUACAAUUCCAACGUUAGCUGGUACAAUGAUAAUUUUAUUAUGAGAAUAAGCAACACAAGAAAAUUCUUGAAGAAUAUUUUGUUUCUACACUAUAUAACAAUGUGAAUUCUCAAUUAUAUUUGCAUCAUAUUUUAAUCGGAAUAUCCAACCGAUCACGCCAACUGAUCUUUAUUCCAGUACACUUAUAGUUUACUUUUGCAUGUGAUUUCAUCAGCAUGUCCAUGUUUGUGCGCAACAAACAAGAGGAAAAAAUGGGUAAUUUUUUACAUAAAUAUUUAUAACCCUCUUCGGUUGUAGUAAUAUGAAGAUAUUAAAUGUUUUCAUUAUAUAUAGUCUCAAUAUUUCUUUUCAAAUCAUCUGAAACUUAAAAAGUUUCUUUUGAGACUUACUACAACCCCAAUAUUAUUCCUCACAACUCAUUAGAGCUUACAAUUAUUUUUGUGUACUAUCACAUAUUCCAAGACACUAUCUGUAUGGUGAGCAUCUCCUUCAAGGAGGAAAUUAUAUUAUUAUUAUCAUGGUCAAAAUGAUUAAAAGCAAGACAUGUGUCUUGCUUUACUUUUGUUGUACGAUAAGUACACAAUCAAUGACAAAUUUGCAUUGCCACACAAUAAUAUUAUUUUGAUCAUGGCCACAACCUUUAUAGGCAAGAAUUACUUCUUUCUUUUUCCCUUUCGGUAGUUCACAAUAAACAUACCAUAAUAUAUAUGACGUAUGAACAUACAAUACCAUUGGCCAUUUCUGCCAAAUAAAAUUUAUUUAUUUCUCUCGAACCUGCAGUAGAGGUGAGUUGUGGCAUUUUUCCAACCAUACAUGAAUAUGUUCUUAUUCAUAUUUUUUCCUUCAUAUUUUGACCCAUUCACUUUCAAGAAUUGGCAAACAUUCACAAUGCUUAUCACAAGUCACAAACUCUUUAAGGAAUGGACUAAUCAUUUGUAUGUGCUUCAUUAAUUUGCAUUGUAAGCUCAUUGUAAUGCCCUUAAAUUUUAUCAUUUUUGCAUGACACACCUCAACAUCACUUUGAAAGGUCAAGUGUACCACCACUUUAUCUUCCUUUCUUUUGAUUGAGGAUUUACAAAUAUAUCAUAUUAUUAGAUUACACAACAAUCUCGUGUCCAAUGACUUUUUAUACCUUUUGAUGAUAAAAAUUUCCUUCACAUUUUGAAGGAAUAUUUGGAGAACCACAGUGUUCUUAAUUUAACCACAAUGAUGAUUAUUACAAUUUUCUUUUUUCUCAUGCCCAUAUUCAUUUGUACAACCACAAUAAUCACUGUCAUAGUUCAGACGUAUCAUGUACUGCUACCACAUUUACAUAAGAGAAUGGAGAAAAUCAAUUGGGCUAAAUACAUGACUUCUCAUAAAAAAUACAAUUAGUUUUUCAUAGUCAUCAUUAUCGUGCAUUAGAAGUUAAUCCAACAUCUUAUCCAUAUAAAGUCGUCUUAGGUCAUAAAUUGAUGGGACAUGAACCCAACGUAUUAUUAUCGUGGUGCAUCAAAAUUUAAAUUGAUGUCUUACCUUCUUGGUGCGAUACAACUUGAAUCUACCGUCUUACCCUCAAACAUUUUUCAUUAUGGUGCAUCCAUAAUUUAACCUGAUGUCUUAUCCUUUUGGUGCGAUGGAACUUGAAUCUAUAAUCUUACCCUCAAUCAAUUAUAUAGUAGGUCAAGUGCAAUGGACUCAUCUCAGAGCCUCUUUGCUCUCAACAAAUAUCAAUUGAAUCCUUAUUUCCAUUUAUAUAAUUUCCUGCACCACCUCAAGUCCUCAACGAUACAAUUAGUGCAACUAAAUUUGGAAAUUUUAAUCUUUAAAAAGAGAAUUUAUUUAUUCAAAUAUAUGUACAAACAAAAUUAGUCAAGUCAUCUCACAUUAUUCGGAGGAACCGAAUAUUCAUAUUACCACUUCUCCAAUACUUAGUACAACCGACAAAUCAUAAUUAAAUGUAAGCAAUACUUUCUAAAGAUUACAUAUGAUUAGUUGAUUUAAUCAACUCAAAUUCUGGAUUAUAGAAGCAUGAAGAUAAAUAAUUUGGAUGCAACUUGGAACAAGCCAACUUUGUCGUUGAGUGUAUCAACUUUAUCGUCUCUUCCUUUCUUUCUUUAAUAGAAAUUUUGGGAAGGGAUAAGUAUACAAACUCUGCUAGCUAUAUUGCUAUAAAGCAUCAUAAUAUUAAUAUAGAGACGCGUGCUGAUAACUUGUUAUAAAAUCAAGCUUAAAGCAAUAUAAGUAUAACGAGAAGAAGACAAGGGAAGCAGAUGUAGGAGAAGACUUUUCUUCUUAUUCAAGUGUGUAUUCCAAAUGGUGAGUGAUAUCUCUAUUUAUAGUGUUGAGCUAUCAAGCAUCAUAAUAUUAAUAUAGAGACUCGUGCCGAUAACGUGUUAUAGAAUCAAGCUUAAAGCAAUAUAAGUAUAAAAAGAAGAAGACAAGGGAAGUAGAUGUAGAAGAAGACUUUUCUUCUUAUUCAAGUGUGUAUUCCAAAUGGUGAGUGAUAUCUCUAUUUAUCUUCAAGAUUAAAAAAUCUAUAGGAUGUACUCUUUGAAGCAUAACCAAGAAAAGCACAAGUAGUAACUUUCUUACCCAACUUUGUAAUCUUGGGAUCCAUUAGCCUCACAAAGGCUAGACAACCCCAAGCUCUUAGAUAUCCCAAACUUGGCUUGUGACCUUACCACAAUUUAAACGUGUCAAUUUAGACUUUUUAUGAGGCACACGAUUCAACACACAACACACAGUCAAAAUAGCUUCACCCCAUAAAUUUAAAGGUGCAUGUGACUCAAUAAGCAUGGCAUUAGUCAAUUCAACCAAAAUUCUAUUUUUCCUUUCCGGUACUCCAUUAGAUGAAGGAGAAUAAGGAGGAUUAAUUUUAUGAAUUAUUCCCAAUGAUCUAACAAAAGAAUUAAACUCAUUUGACUCAUAUUCACGGCCACUAUCACUUCUUGGGAUGGCGAUGGUGCGGGUUUGUUGCGGGUUCGGAGCAUACUCGCAUAAACCCGCAAUGACUUUACUCCGCCCCACAUAGCACAAAUUUAUUUAUUUUUUUCGCCCCACAUAUACCCGCUCCGCAUAUAACUUCCCCGCAAAACUUCAACAUAACAGUACGUGUGCUUGAUUUUGACACUUAACUUAAGUAAAACAAUGUUGUAAUUUAUUAAGGUUUUCAAACAGUUUAGUUACUCAUUUAAGAAUCUGUUACAUUACUUUCUAACACCAUGAUAAUGAAGGUAAAUAAUAAAAUAUAUAGCCUAGUCUGUAUACAAAUUAAUUAGAAUCAGAAUUCAUCACAAGUGAUGCAUCAUUUUACUUGAUCAAAUAUUGUAUAAAUACUAGAGACAAAAGAUAGUCAUAAUAAACUAAGAAAUUCAAUGUCAAUUGUCAACUGAUUUGCAUCUGCUAUUCGCCCAAUUUAGUUUAACUUCAAAGGAAAAAGAAACCUAACCCGUGCCCGCCCUGCCCCACAUGUUUUACUAAAAAAUAUUUUGUAACCCCCCCCCCCCCACCCUUCGUCCACCACCACCCACAACCUCACACACACCCCGCAAACACUAUAAUCCGCCCCGCUUUGCAACCGCCCCUCUCCAUUGCCAUCCCUAAUGACUUCUAAUUUUUUUUAUUUUUCUUCCAAAUUGAUUUUCAACUUCAUGGAGAUAAGUUUUAAAAUUUUCAAAAGCAUCACUUUUAUUUUUCAUCAAGUAAACAUACGUAAACUUAGAAAAAUAAAAUAUCUAUUACCUCCACGAGUUAAAAUUCCACCAAGUUCACAAAUAUCAGUAUGAACUAAUUCUAACAAAUCAGUGUUUCUUUGAACUUGAAAAUGAGGUCUUUUAGUGAUUUUGGAUUUACUACAAGCCUCACACUUUUCAAAAUUCUUCUUCACCAUUGUGAUUAAUCCUAAACUACUCAUGAUUCUAGCAUAACGAUCAUUAAUAUGACACACAUGAGCAUGCCAAAAAUUGGUAAAAGAAAGCAUAUAAACAGAAGUAGUAGUUUUAUGUAUUUCAACAUUCAGUUUGAACACCCCAUCACAAGCAUACCCCUUUCCCACAAAAAUAUCCUUUUUCACAAUUACAUAUUGAUCAGAUUCAAUAAUUUGUUUAAAGCCUGCUUUGUUAAGAAGAAAACUAGACAUCAAUUUUUUUCUCAUGGAAGGAGUAUAAAGUACAUCUUUCAAAGUUAAUACCCUUUCAGAAGUAAAACACAAUUCGGCAUCUCCCGUUCCAAGCACUUAAGUUGUGUGAGAACCACCAAGCAUGAUGGUUUUGGACUCCUCAAAAUGAGUAUGUUUUUUAAACCAGUCUUUGUCAUAACAGACAUGAAGGUUUGCACCAUAAUCAGCCCACCAUCCAUCAAAAACUCUCAACCAUGUUUAUGUCAGUAAUCACCGCCACAAAAGGUUCUUUGGUAAUGUUUGCCUGAGGAUUAGGACCACGUUUCUAGAAUCUGCAAAAUCAAACAAUAUGCCCACUCUUGCCACAAACAAAGCACGGUCCCUUAUCUUAAACUUGUUGAUUUUGUGCUUGGUUAUUUUCAACAUUAUUUUUCUUGGCAGGUGUACCAUUAUUUUUCUUGAAUUUUUUCUUCUUAGGACUCAAAGAAGUAUUUGUGUGAGUUUCAGGAGUAGCAUUAUUUGAAGUAAUUAAAUUUACCUUCAUUGUGAUGUUGCUCUCUUCUGUUUGUAAAAGUGCAUCUUGGCCCUUGCCUCUUCUUCCAUGCGGAUUUUCAUUAUCAAGGUUUAAAGAGAGGUUUCCUUUUGUUUGUGGCACAUAGUUUUUUGAAAUUUCUUCCAAGAAGGUGGAAGUUAUCUACUAUACCAUAAACAAUAAGGUUGUCUCCAGUUUUUACCUUCUCGGAUCUAAGCUCUCCAAAAAUUAUUAUAAAAUCUUGAGCUUGGUCUACCACUAAUUUGUUUUCCACCAUUUGGAAACGAAAAAAUCUACUAGCCACAUAUUUUUUCACUCCAGCCUCUUCGGUAUCAUACUUACUCUGCAAUGCUUUCCAAAUUUUCUGUGCACUAGAGUAAGUUCUAUCAUAAUAAUCAUAAAAAUUAUCAGACAAACAAUUAAAAAUAUAAUAUCAACACUUAUAGGAAUCACCAUCGUACUUUUCCACUUUCUCUAGAUGAGAAAUAAUUUCAUCAUCAUUCAUAGAGGUGAUGUUAACUUUAUUAGGAUUCUUCUCUGUUAACACAAAAGAAACAUUGAGAAGACUUAAGUAGAAAAGUACUUUACCCUUCCAUCUCUUGAAAUGGUUACCAAUGAACAGAAAUGGCUUGUUAAGAUCUCCCAUCUUGACAUCCGCGGUUUUUUCAAUUGUAGCCAUUUUGAAUCUCCUUAAAAUUGUUUGUGAAAAAUUACAAAAUAACAAAAUUACAAGAUUACAAUUAAAAGAAAAUGAAGAAAUAAUAACCUCUUCAGGCUGAGGCGCGGAUAUCUCACUCUCUUUAAGGAGAUUCAAGCACAGUGCAACAAAUGUUUUUCACCGGUCCAGCAGUAGUCCUUCUUGACUUGUCCCCUCCAGGAUACAACAGUCUAAUCACAAAAGUGUAACUCAACAACUCUGGACAAGAGUUAAGUCCAAAGCUCCACAAAAAGAACACCUCCCUUCAACUAAUAAAAACUCUCAUUUUUUACUAACUUUUUUCACUCUAUAUUUUUCUAGUGUCUUAAGCCAAAUGAAGACCACCACUAGUUAUAGUAGAAGAAGUCUUCCUAGCAAUGAAUAGAAAGAUAAUGGGGUAGUAAAUAGUGAAGAUAAAUGGCCUAGAGGUUACAUAUGUUACAUAGGUUACAAAGAAUAAUGGAGGAAUAAAGAGUGAGAUAAUGGAGAUUGAAUGGGGGAGAAGUGGGGGACACUAACGGCUAAAACAUGUUACCAAUGCUGCCAGAAAAGGAGCAGUAACAUAUAUGCACUAACUCUAGGAGUAAUAUGCAGGAAUCAAUAUUAUCAUUAACAUUAGCACAUGAUGAGAAGUCAACCAACGGCAACAUUUUAGAAUAUUAAAAUGUCACUCACACUAACACCAGAGAAAAGUACAAUUUAGGAAAUUACUAUUGUUGGGAUGGAGGAUGACUUCAACGCCAUACUUGAACACCUUACUGCCCAAGCAGACGAUUUAGUUGUCGUACCAAUUUUUGGUAUGUGCAGUAUAGGUAAGACAACUCUUGCCAAAAAAGUUUAUGAUGAUUCAUAUUCGUUCUCUAUUUGAUAAACAUGCAUGCGUUACUAUCUUCGAAUGAUACAAUGAGAGACAAAUGCUUCUUGAAGUUGUCUCUACAAUUACUGGAAGAAAUCAAGAAAUGGGCAAUGAUCAACUAAUGAAGAUUGUCUAAAGAAUACUGAGGCAUGGGACCAUAUGCAAAGAAUAUUUCCAAAUGAUGACAAUAGAAGCCGAAUUCUAUUAACCACUUGGCUCUUGUAUGUUGUUGAUUAUGUCAGUUGUCCUGAUUUUCCAUAGAAAGUCUUUUAUAAGUCUUGAUGACAGUUUGAAGUUCAACAAAAAAUCAUUCAAAAAAAUAUUGUUUCCUCCUCUACUUGUAGAACUAGGGAAGCAUAUUGUACUACAAUGUCGAGGAUUACCUCUCUCGAUUGUUGUUGUUGCAAGACUUCUUGGUCAAAUGGACCCAGCACAUGAUAAUUGGAAGAAUGUUGAGGAAAAUCUUAACUGAUUGUUUGGUACUGUAUCCAAACAGUUUCAAUCAAUUCUUUCUUUGGAGGUUUUCCUAAAGAUAAAGAUAUUAAUGUUUCCAAGUUGAUUAGAAACAAUAAAAGUUUAGAAGUGGUGGCACUGAGGGAAUAAAAUCUUGGCUGCAACUAAUUUGGCAGCCAUAUUUGUUGAAAUUUAAUUGCAACAAAUGUGAAAGUUGGCAAGCCACAAAUGUGAAAGUUGGUAGCCACAUUUGUGGAAUAGUCAAAGUUUGGUAGAGUUUUGGUAGAGUUUGACGGCCAAAUUUUGUGGAAUUUGGCUACCACAUUUAUGUCACUAAUGAUGUAAUGAAGAGGCAAAACUCUAUAAAUAGAGUAGUAAAAUAACACUUUAAGACACAUAAAAAAAAUAGAGAAGCAAUACAGAGUAGAGAGAGUAAUCCACAAACUACUUCUUAGAUUGUGAGAAAAUAGUGUGAAAGUAAUAUAAUUGUGAGUUGUAAGAAAUGAAAGAGUGUUGAGUAGUAGUCUUUUGACACUACCAAGUUUUUCAUCAAUAUUAUUGUAUUACUUCUUCCAGUAUCAUAUUUACACCAUUUUAAUAUUUGGUGUUGUUGUUACUCUCUUCCUGUUGCUAUUAAGUUUGGACAUUAUCCUGGGUGUGAUUAUCAUUUUGUCCAACAACGUGGUAUUAGAUCCAUGGAAAAUAAUAGUCUGUUGUCCUUUCAAUACCCUCGUCUCACAAGAGAAAAUUAUGAAAAAAUGGUAUCUACGAAUGAAAGCCAUUCUUCGCUCUUAAGAUGUUUGGGACAUUGUAGACAAAGGGUAUACAAAGCCCGCUAAUGAGGAAAAUUUGCCCUCAAAUGAAAAUGAGGUCUUGUUAAAGACAACAAAGAAAGAUCAACAUGCCCUCAAUCUUAUCCAUCAAUGUUUGGAUGAUGGCAUGUUUGAUAAGUUGGUUGAUGCAACCACCUCAAAAGAAGCUUGGGAGAUUUUACAAAAUUCUCUCCAAGGAGUUGAUAAAGUAAAGAAGAUAAAACUUCAAACUCUAAGGGUUAGCUUUGAAGUUUUAAAAAUGAAUGAAUCUAAAUCGAUUUUGGAUUUCUCUUCAAGAUUUAUGGUUGUGGUAAAUCAACUAAAAAGAUACAGGGAGGAAGUAGAUGAUGUGCGUGCGGUAGAAAAGAUCCUUCGUUCUUUAACACCUAAAUUUGAUUAUGUGGUAUGUGCUAUUGAGUAGUCUAAAGAUUUAGACUCUAUGACGGUAGAACAAUUGGAAGGUUCUUUACUAGCCCUCAAAGAGAAAAUGAAAAGGAGAAAAUAAGAGCCACCAGAGCAACUUCAUAAAACCCAUGCAUCCUUCAAAUGAUUUAAAGGUGAGAAAAUCUACAAAGGAAAUGGACAAUGGCGAGGCCGUGGAGGUCGUGGAGGCCGUGGAAGAGGAACAAGUUAUACCAAUAAAUUGAACAAUGAAGAUAAGAGUCACCAGUCAUUGAGAGGUCGUGGUCGUGGUCAACGAGGAGGUAGAGGACGUGGAGCAUAUCAAGGUUCAAAUGAAAUGCGGUAUGAAAAAUCUAAAAUUGAUUGUUAUAACUGUCAUAAAAUUGGACAUUACUCUUGGGAAUGUCGUAGGAAUGUUGAAGAGACAGUUAAUCUUGUUGACAACAACAAAGACGAAGAUGAGUCAACGUUGUUAUUAGCACUCAAAGAAGAAAAUACAAAUGAUUGUAAUUUAUGGUAUCUUAACAAUGGAGCAAGCAAUCAUAUGUGUGGCCACAAAGAUAACUUUGUGGAGAUAACGAAGACGGUGAAAGGUAAUGUGUCUUUUGGAGAUACCUCAAAAAUCCAAAUUGAAGGGAUAGGUACGAUUUUGAUAUCUUGUAAAGAUGUGGCCAUAAAUUGAUUAACAAUGUUUAUUAUGUCCCAAAAUUGAAAAGUAAUAUUUUGAUUUUGGGUCAACUUCUUGAAAAAGAAUACGAUAUUCAUAUGAAUAAUAUGCAUCCUUGUCUUAGAGAUUCAAGUAAAAACUUGAUUGCUAAAGUUCAUAUGACAAAAAAUAGGUUGUUCCCUUUGAAUCUUAAAACCAUCUAUGCAAAGUGUUUGAAGGAUAAUGUGCAAGAUGACUCAUGGUGUUGGCAUAUGCGAUUUGGGCACUUGAGCUUUGAUCACUCAAAUCAAUGGGAGACAAGAACAUGGUUGAUGGGAUUCCGUUAAUCACCCAUCCAAAUCAGUUGUGUGAAGCUUGUCUACUUGGAAAACAUGCAAUGAGGAGUUUUCCAAAGGAGACUAAAUCAAGAAAAAGUAAGCCACUUCAACUUGUACACACCGAUGUGUGUGGUCCAAUUGAUCCACCUUCUUUUGGUAAAAGAAAAUACUUCUUGCUCUUUUUUGAAGAUUUUAGUAGAAAGACUUGGUAUACUUCUUGAAGCAAAGAUCUGAAGUUUUUGUUGCCUUUAAAAAUUUCAAUGCACUUGUAUAAAAAGAAAGUGGCUAUGAAAUAUAAGCAUUAAGGUCCGAUAGAGGAGGCGAAUUCACUUCAAAAGAAUUUAAUGACUUUUGUCAAUCUCAUGGAAUUUGUCACCCUAUAACGAUACCUUACUCUCUCCAACAAAGUGGAGGUGCAGAAUGAAAGAAUAGAACAAUUCUUAAUAUGGCUAGAUGUAUGUUGCAAGCUAAACAUCUACCGAAAGAAUAUUGGGCCGAGGCUGUUUCUUGUGCAGUUUAUUUGAGCAACAAGUCUCCAACAAAAAAUGUAUGAGAUCAAACAUCUCAAGAAGAAUGGAGAGGAAGAAAUCCAAAUGUCAAGAACUUGAGAAUCUUUGGGAGCAUAGAAUAUGAUCAUGUUCCACAUCAAGGGAGAGAUAAACUUGAUGAUCGGAGUGUCAAGUAUGUGUUUGUUGGCUAUGACGCGAGUUCAAAAGGCUACAAAUUGUACAAUCCAAGCAAUAACAAGGUGGUGGUGAGUCGUGAUGUUGAAUUUGAUGAAGAAGAAUCAUGGAAUUGGGAGACUCCGGAAGAAAGAACAUCUGAUUUUCUUCCAUACUUUGGAGAUGAAGAAGAACAGGAGGCCGUGGCACCUGCACAUGAUGCAGCCCCACCUCCUUCACCAGCAAAUGUUGCAUCUCCAUCUUCUCUAGAGAGUUCAAGUGAAAGACCACAUAGGAUGAGGAGCAUUCAAGAACUCUAUGAUGACAUAGAAGAAAUUAUAAUUUUGAUUUUUUGUGUUGUCUCUUUCGUUGAUAAUGAACCAAUGAGUUUUGAUGAAGUUGUUACUAACAAAAGUUUGAGACAAGCCGUGGAGGAGGAGAUCCAGUCAAUAGAGAAGAACAACACUUGGGAGUUAACGACUCUUCCCAAGGAUCAGUGAGCAAUUGGACUAAAAUGGAUAUACAAGGUGAAGAAAAACUCCCACGGAGAGGCAGAGAGAUACAAAGCAAGACUUGUGGCUAAAGGCUACAAACAAAGGCAUGGCAUCGACUAUGAGGAAGUCUAUGCGCAUGUUGCCCGCAUGGAAACAAUCUGUUUAUUGAUCUCUUUAGCGGCCCAAAUGAAGUGGAAAACCCAUCAACUAGAUGUCAAAUCGACAUUCUUAAAUGGAUAUCUUGAAGAAGAAGUCUAUGUUUAGCAACCAUUGUGUUUUGUGGUUAAAAAUCAUGAAGCUAAGGUGUUGAGGUUGAAUAAAGCCUUAUAUGGGUUGAAGCAAGCUCUACAAGCUUGGAAUAGUCACAUUGACAAAUACUUUCAAGACAAUGGGUUUACUCGUUGUCUCCAUGAAUAUGCUCUUUACAUUAAAAUUCAUACUAAUGGCGAUAUUCUGCUUGUUUGUCAUUAUGUUGAUGAUUUCAUUCUAACAGGUAACAACCCAGUUUUAUUUGAAACUUUCAAGAAUGCUAUGUCCUUUGAGUUUGAGAUGACAGACAUAGGGCCCAUGUCAUAUUAAUUACUUGGGCCUAGAAGUGAAGCAAAUGGAGGAAGGCAUCUUCAUAUCUCAAGAAAGCUAUACAAAGAAGAUUUUGAAGAAGUUUAACAUGUUUGAUUGCAACCCUGUGAAUACCCCAAAUGGAAUGUGGAACAAAAUUGUCAAAGUUUGAUGAUGGAUAAAAGGUGGACCCUACUCUAUUCAAAAGUCUCGUCGGAAGUCUAAGGUACUUGACAUGUACGAGACCAUAUAUACUCUUUGCGGUUGGAGUAGUAAGUUGCUUCAUGGAAGCUGCUACCUCCACUCACUUGAAGGUCGCUAAAAGAAUUCUUCGCUACCAAAAAGUUACAAUCGACCUUGGACUAUUUUAUUCUUCUUCUAAUGAUUUUAAUUUUGUAGGAUACUGUGAUAGUGAUUAUGCAGGAGAUGUUGAUGAUAGAAAAAGCACAUCGGGUUUUGUGUUUUUCUUGGGUGAUUGUGUUAUUUCUUAGAGUUCAAAGAAACAAUCAAUUGUUACUCUCUCGACUUGUGAAGCUGAAUACGUGCCAGAGACAUCAUGUACUUGUCAUGCUAUUUGGUUGAGGAGAUUGUUGAGGGAACUCAACUUGCCACAAAUUGAAGCCACUGUGAUUUGUGUUGAUAACAAAUCUGUGCAAGAAGUUGCAAAGAAUCCAGUGUAUCAUGAUCGGAGCAAGAAACAUAGACACAAGGUAUCACUUCAUCCGAGAAUGCAUUGCCAAGAAAGAGGUAGGGCUCAAGUAUGUGAAAUCUCAUGAUCAAGUUUAUAUCUUUACAAAGCCUCUCAAGUUUGAAGAUUUUCAGAGAUUGAGAUCAAGCCUUGGAGUAAAGAAGAAAAAUCAAAAUUAAGGGAGAGAUUUGUGGGAAUAAAAUCUUGGCAGCAACUAAUUUGGCAGCCACAUUUGUUUAAAUUUAAUUGCCACAAAUGUGAAAGUUGGCAAGCCACAAAUGUGAAAGUUGGUAGCCACAUUUGUGGAAGUUGGUAGUCAAGGUUUGGUAGAGUUUUGGUAGAAUUUGGCAGCCAAAUUUUAUGGAAUUUGGCUACCGCAUUUAUGUCACUAAUGAUGUAAUCAAGAGGUUCAAAAACUCUAUAAAUAGAGUAGUAAUUGAACCCUAGAAGACACACCAAAAAAAAAAUAGAGAAGCAAUAGAGAGUAGAGAGAGUAAUCCACAAACUACUUCUUAUUUUGUGAAAAAAUAGUGUGAAAGUAAUAUAAUUGCGAGUUGUAAGAAAUAAAAGAGUGUUGAGUAGUAGUCUUUUUGACACUAUCAAGUUUUCAUCAAUAUUAUUGUAUUACUUAUUCGGGUAUCAUAUUUACCCCAUUUUAAUAUUUGGUGUUGUUGUUACUCUCUUCCUAUUGCUAUUUAGUUUGGACAUUAUCCUAGGUGUGAUUAUCAUUUUGUCCAACAGGCAUAGGAGUAUCUAGAAGAGUUAACUGAUAGAAGUCUAAUUUUGGCUUGUACACGAAGGACUAAUGGAAGGAUAAGAAUUUGAAAAUUCAUGAUCUUCUUCGCCAACUAUGCCUAAGUAAAUCCAUAUAUGAUCAACGGAGAGUGAUCCUUCUAUCUACACUUGAAGAGAAACAUAAUUAUCGUAUAAGACAUAGCAAUGGUAUAAUUCGCACCUUUAUUUCAAUGCAAGUAGAUAUUCCAAAACAGAUGUUUUACAAUUGAAGUUGCUUAAGGUAUUGGACGUAUUUUCAAUUGAAUAUUAUUUCACUUGUGUAAUACCUCAGCUUGUACAUUUGAGAUAUGUUUCUGCAAGAAUUGAAUAACUUUGCUAAUAUAUAUAUAUAUAUAUAUAUAUAUAUAAUCCUCUUGAGGCAGAAAAUCAUGAUAUUGAAGAAAAGACUUUGCUUUUCAAUAACUUGAACAUACUUUAUCUUCAUUAUUCUCCUUUUGCUGCGGAAUUCAUAAGAAGAACUCUAAAUCUAAAAGAGCUAAAGAUUUUACAAUCCAUUGAUCCGAUCAUGAUUUUCUCUAGGGAUAUUUUCCUUAAAAGGUACUUGUAUACCAUGGGAAGUCAUGACUUUACUGGCUAAUUUACCCAAUCUCGAACGGUUUUAUGCAUUCGCUGGAACAGAUUGGACACUAAAUGAAGAUGUUGUGUUUCACAAAUUUAAAUAUCUACGAAUUGUAGAAGCAUAUCUGCAAAGGAGGGAAGCAGGUAAUGAUAAUAUUUUGAUGCUUGUGUAACUAAUACUGCAUGGGUUGCGUAAUCUGGAGGAUAUUCUCGAGAGUAUUGGAGAAAUAAAUUCUAGCGCGAUAUAUGAUAAUACAGGCAUAUCAUGUUUUUUUCUACAAGUUUGUAAUAUCUUGAUAUAUGUUGAUAAAUAAGAGAUUAUAUGUUAUGCAAUUCAAAAGGUAAAAUCAAUAUGACAAUGGACUAAUAACAUAACAUAUAUAAUUAAAAUUACUAACUUCGACUGAAUCAUAACUGAUGAACAUUAUCUAAUGAACACAACACUUAGUACUGACUUUGACUGAAUCAUAACUCAUGAACAUUUCAUGAUGAACACCUGAAAUGACAAAUGAACCUAGACACUUAAUAUAAUACUUAAGUUUUUAAUUUUACUUUCGGCAAUUCCAUAACACGCACACUAGUAAUUGGGAAUUAUGGAAGAAGUAGAUCCACUAACCCUAUUAGCAAAAGGUCCACCAACAUUGAGUCCAUAUGAAGAACUUUAGCUAGCACAAUUUGGAGGAGUCCAGGCACUUCCCAAUGUCUGAAAUGGGAAUGCAUUAUUAUUCACCAUUUGUGCCUCUUUUUUAACCUUUUGCUUUAGAAUUUCUAAUGCCUUCUUCAAGUGUUGAAGUUGGAAUAAGUUAAGUUCUUCGAUAGGAGAUUCCCACCAUAGACCAUCAACUCUAUUCCUAAUUUCUCGAAGGGAUUCUCCGCGAUUUUUCUCCAUCUGGAGAACCCCCUCGAGGUUCAUGAGCAUGUAUUAAGCUCAUGAUUACCAGCUUCUCUACGAGCCACGAUUUGUUGAUUGUGGACAUCGUUAUUUGGUGGAGGGAGGUUCCUGCCAAGGAACCUCUCCACCAACGUGUCCACGCUAGGGUGACCAAAGGAGAACACAUUUUUGCCGUCAGAGGAAAAUAUCACAAUGACAAUUUCAGCACCACAUAGCGUACAAAGUUCACUAGCCUUUUUGAAAAGACCAGCACGACACUUAGAAAACAUAAGUCCUAAGUUACUCGCCUUCAUAAUUUUCACCAUUUCGACCCUUUGACGACCCUUGCUGAUUUUUCUUGUCAUGUCUAAACUAUCACUAAGAAAUUGUGAAAGUAAAAUUGUGAUUUUUGGUCUUAACACCAAAAGCUUUAUAUAGGAAAUUGUGUUUUAAAAUAACUUGGGGAGCCUAGAAAUUUAUGUUCUUUCCUUUUUUGCAUUGAAGAAAAGUAUUGAAAAUGAAAUACAUUAGAUUCACUUGCCUUUCAUUCUUUGUCUCGGUAGAUAUAGAUCUUAUUAUCAUUAUUAGAUGAUAAAUUUUUUUCCUAAUUAGAAUUAUAUUAUUGGAUUGCACUUGACUACCAUUUUAUUUGAGAAAAUUUUUUUUUUAAAAUAUAUUAAAUGAUUAAUAAAACCCUUAUGGGUCGUUUGGUUUGAAGACAAUUUAUGUUGGGAUUAAAUAUGAUGGGAUAAGUAAUGAUAGUAUUAGUUAUGUUAAGAUUAUUUCUUAUUGGUUGUUUGGUUUGUCAAAUAUGCAUGACAUAAUUUCUAAGAGUAAGUUGUGUGUUUACAUAAAUACCCUCUAAGAAUAAAUUGUUUGUUUAUAAAAGAGGGUUUAAGGGGGUAAUUUUGUUAUUUUACAUUUUUAUCCUGGGAUAAAUUAUUUCGGGAUUAGUACACCACCCACAAGUAGGGAUAACUUAUCCCAGUCAUAAUUAUUAAUCCUGGGAUAAGUUAUCCCACACUUUGGAACCAAACAAAGAAUUGAUGGGUACUAAAAAAUUAUCCCAUGAUUAUUUGUCUUUAUCCAUCAUACCAAACGAUCCCUUAAUGUUUUAAUAGUAACACGAAUUUUGCAUUUACCAUUGAAUUUUCCUAGUCAAUCAUCAUUUAUAGACCUACAAUGUAUCACAUCAAGCAUAUGCGGGUGUUUGGAUUUAUAAAUAUUAUUAUUAUUUAUACUGCGGUUUAGUGCUCGAAUUGUAAAGGUUUUCGCUUAAUCACUUCAUGAUUUUAAUAUACCGUGUUGUUCCGACAAAAAUCUCAUAUUGUAUAUAAUGUCCUAAUGGAAAUUUUGCAGAUUUCUAGUAGACAUUUUCACAUUUAUUUAAGGCUUAUGAUAGAAGGGUAUUAGUUUAUGACAAAUAUAGGAAUAGUUUUAAAUAUAUACAAUAAAGUAAUUAGUUUACAGCGAAUAUAACAAAGUUUUAUUUACAUAAAAAAUAGCCAAAAGUCAUAGAAAGUAUACAUUGACUAUACAAUAUAGCUCGUUUUAAGUUAUAGAAAAUAGACAUUAACUAUACAAUAUAGUUCAUCUAUACAUGAGCUAUACUUUAGAUAUACAUUAUAUACACUCAAAAAGUUGAUCCAAGAAAAAACAAGUAUGAAUAAAAUGACAACAUUCAUAAUUUCACAAGUUAAAUAUAUCCCUCUUCACUCUCAGCAAGACAAAAACACUAAUUAUUUAUUUAGAACUUAAUAUAUAUCUAUCAACAAUUGUACGUUCAAUAAAGAUCACAAACUCCAUGUAGUGAUAUAUUUGCCUUUUUAAUUAGUAAAUGUUAAACAACUCACAUUUCAAAUAUUAUGUUGAUUUGUAUUGGAUUUAUUUAAAAACAAACAACUCUCUCUAAAUAAUAAAAUUUGUAAGCUAAUUUAUUUAAAUAAAUUUAUUAGUACAAAUAUAAAACAUAAAAUACAGAAAAUAAACAAAACCGUUAAAAGAAUUUUGAGGGAUAUUUUUUUUGCUUUACAUAGAUUUAUACCGUGGUAUUAAAUUCUAUGUAUUCCUAAUAUCACCAAAUGUAAGGUAUUAGUUAUACAUCAUAUAGCAUGUUGGGUGAGUAACUAAUCCAUGAAUUAGCUAUACAUAGGCCUUAAAUUCCUACCAAACACAGUACUAAAUAAUACUAUACAAAUACAUGGACUAUUUCUCCUAACAUUCCCUUCCAAACGACUCAUUAGUAUUUUUCAGUCUUUUGAUGUUUCUACAACCUAUAUAAACUUUGUCCUAAUUAAACUUUCUUUUGCUUGUCUCUGCCCAACCUGUGUUACCAUAAUCUGGUAUUCCAUUAGUGAUGAGCUACCAAAGGAAUUCGUACCAAAACCCUAAAUUUUUAUCAGAUUAACUUCGCUGGUAGGUGUCAUUGUCAACGCCAGCGAUAGAUGGCCUACGCUCCAUGCUGAUGAACCACCACCAAAACCACCGUUGAACUAUGCAACAAAUUUUAAUAAAGUAGAAGACAAAAUCACAAUGCCUAUCCCUAUCAAAGAUAUUACUUCCAUCCAUGGAGACCCAACUGUAUUAUGGGAGGAAGAAGAGGUUCAAAUCAUGAUCAUUAAAAAAGAUUUAUAGUAUGCCAUAACUGAAAUUUUUUCUUAGGGCUGGUCAAACCUAGAAAAGAUUCGUAAAUUGAUCCUUUACGGUGUGAGAUUCAAGCCUGAAUGUAAGGAAGGAUUCUUGAGUGAUAGACACAUACUAAUUCGGCUUACCAAUAUGAAAGAUUACGUACAUGUCAUGUCAAAAUUGACAUAUUUUUUGAAGGCUAAAGACCGAUAUAAUAUCAUAUGUGACCUCUAAAGUGGGAACCCUAGUUCAACCCAAAGGAGGAAACUACUAUUGUCUUAGUGUGGAUCUCUUUUUUAUCCCUAUCACCUACCUUUUUCGUUAAAGAAUUCUUGUUUACGAUGGACAAAGCAGUGGGAAACCGUUACAUGUUGUCAUGGCUACAAUAAGCAAAUCUAGACCUAGUUUUGUCAUGGUAAAGGUUGAGUUCGACUUAUUGAAAGAAUUUCUCAAACGAAUCAAUGUUGGAGUUAAGAAGACAUAUUCUGGGGAAAUCAUCUCAACAUAGAUAAAAUUCUUAUACGAUUACAUGCCAAAGUAUUGCAAAUAUUGUGAACUUCAAGGCAGAGACAUGAUUUUCGUCGAGGCGGGUUAAAAAGAUACGUAAGCAUACUAAAAGUAUUCACAAAUGAUUGGAUCGAGGCGGGUCAAAUAUAAAUAGGUCGGAUUCGACAUAAGCAACUAAAUAAAAUUCAACUCUACCUCAACACAAACAAUAAAAUCGAGGAAUUAUAUGUUUGACAUAAUAUUAAAAUGAGUAUGAGAGAAUGUAUUUUUUAAAAAAUUAAUUACGGUCUUGUCUCCAUCAUUUUUUAUAUAUAUGUUACUAGUAUACGUACCCGCGUAAUGCGUAUAUAAUAUUAAAAUAUUAUUUUCAAUUUUUUUUAUUGUGAUAUCUUGUUCGAGUAUAUUAAAUCAUACAAAAGUUCAACUAUCAUAUUGUUUCUCAUUAAUGAAAUGUAAUCCCUCCCCCUCCCCCCUCCCCCACCCACCCUCACCCCAUAACUAAUUUAUUACUAUUAUAUUGUUCACAAUUUAAAAUCAUUAAAUUGUUGGUACUGGUUUUUAUUAGCAUAUCAUUUAGCUUAAUAUAAUCAUUAAAUAAUUUUUCUAAUUAAUAUAAAACAUAUAUAUUUAUUGUGUUUACUCGUGAUUUUUUAAUUUUAUUUUAGUGUUCACACCUCUCUAAUUUAAAGUUUUAUGGACAAUAAUAUGUAUAUUAUUGAACUAUUUUAUUGUACUCUCAAAAUUAUUCAAAAUAUUCUCCCCACCCCUCUUCCCCCUUCUUUUUUUACUGUAUUUUUAUUACUUUUCGCUAAUCUAAUUUGAAUGAUUUUUUUAUGUUACACGUCAGAAGCACUUGAGUGUUUUUUUAUUUCAAUAUAUAGAAUACUAAGCUUAAAUUUGUUACUUAAAUUCUAUAUUUUAAUGUUUCAUUAUUCAUUGAGAUUUUAGUGAUAUGAUAUAUAGAUUUUAAGUCUUUUCUCGUUAUAAUUGAAAAAAUAUUUUCUCAUCUAAAAGCCCUUCAACUUUUUUUACAUUAUAAUUUAUAAUUUGUUUCCUAGUUUUGUCCUAACUUAAUAGUUAUUGUAUUAUUCAUAAAUUAGUAUCCUUACAUUAGUAUGUAAGAUUUUAAUAGCUUGUAACUUUAUCUAAUAUUCUUAUGGUGCGUAAGAUAUUAAUAAGAAUAUCAGUUAGUUAUAUCUAUUUACAUUUUAUAAUGGAUAAAUUUUUACAACAUGAAAUUAAAAUUGAUAAAAUUCACUAAUAAAGUUAGUGAUCAAUAACUUUAAAAAAAAUAGAGGAGUAAUCUUAACAUUAUAAAUCAUUGUAGAAGUAUAUGUAAGAGGAGCAAAGAAAGUAAAACUCCAUUACAAAUCAAAUUGUACUUAAGUUUGAAUUCAAAUAUCAUUUUAAUUUUUUUUUUAAAUCUUUUUAUCGCUUAUCUCUAUCCUUGAUUUUAUUAAUACAAUAAUAUUUUUUAUAAGCUAUAUAUUUGAAUGGAGAGAAAUAUUUGGAAUUAAUAAGAUAGUUGAUGAUUAAAUUGACUAAAGGGUCACUUGGUGUAGUUAUACCAAAGAAUUAUUUGAAGAAGAAAAAACAGAUAUGACUAAAAUGACAGCAUUCAUAAUUUCACAAGUUAAAAAUAUACCUUUGCACUCUCAGCAAGACAAAAACACUAAUUAUUUAUAUAGAACUUAAUAUAUAUAUAUAUAUAAACUUAAAAGUGGAAAUUCCUAUCUUGAAAGUUGGAUUAUAAUUGUGCUCCUACAUCAUAUUAAAAUAUAAUGAGAAUAUCUAUAAUCAUAUCACUAGUAUGAUACAAUAAAUUUAUUUCAAAUUAACUGUUCAUGAUAAACACAUUUAUUUUAUAGCUUUACUCUAUUUUAAUACCUAAAAAAAUUGUUAUAAACAUGAGUAAAUGUGUAUCGUUCAGAUCUUGGUCAUAGUUCAAGGGUACUAUAUAAAAUGCGCAAAAUACAAUAUAUAUAUCAACAAUACGACAUUCAAUAAAGAUCACAAACGUCAUGUAGUGAUAUAUUUGUCUUUUCAAUUAGAAAAUGUUAAACAACUCACAUUUCAAAUAUUAUAUUUAUUUGUAUUGAAUUUAUUUAACAAAUUGUUACGACCUGAUUUCGAAAACUAAGGUCUCGAAGCCAAUUUCACAACUUUGGCAAUUUUGUUGAGUUUUUGAAAAAUUUAUAAUUUGGAAGUCGCCACUUAGUUUUUUAGGAAAAAUUAAGAAAACCAUUUAAAACAGGAAUAUUUGAAAGAAAACAUAUUAAAUAAAAUCAGAGUCGGGUAAGGGUUCAAAUAAUUCUCUAAGGAAGGGUUUAGGCAUCUUAGAGAAUCCGCUGAUUCGCGGUUGACCGACGGAUUUAAAAGUUGGCUAAUUUUAAAAGAAAACUUAAAUUACUUGAAAAAAUCUUAUUUGAAACUUAGAAAAUCUUUUGAUAUUUCUAAAAAAUCUCAAGAAUAAUCUUAACUUAGCUAGCGUUUGGCCAUAGAUUUCCAAAUAUAUUUGGCAAAUAUUAUUUGGGUGAAGAUUUGGGUGAAAUUUCACCAUGUGUUUGGCCAUAGUAUUUGGGAAAUAUAUUUCAAUUUUUUAAGAAAUAUGACUUAUGCCCAUAAGUUUUUAAAACUAUCAAAACUAACCAUAAAUUUGUAUUACAUAGCAAAAUAGAAAUGUCGCGUAACAAGAUUCAUGACUUCCGCAACAAAUCAAAAAGCAUCAUUACAGUAAAUAGUCGCAUCGUUAAAAAAGACUAGUACAAAUCAUGAUAAUGAAAAUACAACUAAUAUGAAUUUGAAAAAGAAGAAGAAAACAGAAGGAAAUAAAUAUUGCAAUGUAUGCUCUUGUACAUGUAUGCUCUUUAUAAUAGAAAAAUUUAUUAAUUGAGUUAGUUAGCAAAUGGAGAUUUGAUUGAGUUGGUUGGUGUUAAUAAAUAAAGUGUUUUUGUAAAAGAUAAAAGUUUGGUGUUAAAUUUGAAUUUUUAAAACUUUCCAAAUAAUGAGAUUUGGCCCAAAUACUAGAAAAAACUAGUAUUUGGGAAUUUGGGUUAUUUGCCAAAAAAAAUUGCCAAAUAAUGAGAAAGUGUAUGGACAAACAAUAUUUGCCAAAUUUUUUCCCAAGUUUUACUUGGGAAAUCUAUGGCCAAACGGGCCCUUAAAACUUCUAUCCAUUGUCAAGUUUUGAAUCAUACAAUUAAUUCAAACUUAUAAACAUGGAUUAAAAGACUUUGUUUAAUAACUACGAAAGGAUAUAGAAAAUCCUUAAGUCAUUCUUAUAAAGUCCUAAGUUAACUUUAAAGACAACUAAUUUAGUUUUAAAAAAAACUUAGCAAUUUUAUCCUAUUCAAAAAUUUGAACUAAAUAGUUAGUUCAAACUCAUAAACAUGGAUUCAAAGCUUUUCAAUAACUAUGAAAGAACAUGAAAAGUUCUUAAGUUAUUCUAAGGGAUAAGGAUCUAAAAAAUACCUCAACUUUGGUCGAAUUUGCUGUUGCAAUACUAAACUUUCAUGAGGACCUAUUACCUCCCUAGACUAUUUAAUACUGUAUUUUAAACAUACAUAUUUGCCCACGUGGACAUAAAAAAUAAUGCAAAAUUAUAAAUAGUAAUGUGUCCACGUGUGCACAUAUAUACCUUUAAAAUACACUAUUAAAUAGUUCAGGGGGUAAAAAAUACACUAUUAAAUAGUCUAGGGAGGUAAUAGGUCCUCAUGAAAGUUUAGUAUCGCAACAGCAAAUUUGACCAAAGUUGAGGAUUGGGUUGUUUGGUAUAAAAAUGCUAUAUUGAGCUUGUUGGAGUCUUUGGAUUUUAAAAAUUGCUUCUUUCAAAUAUAUAUUUGUCCUCCUAGUUUAAGAUAUAAGAUGCAUAUGCUUGACAUGAAAAUUGCAUUUUAGAUUGGAUUAAUAAGUUAGGUUUUCUGGAAAAGACAUAUUUUCAAGUCUCAAUUAGAUUAAUUGUUGUGGUCUGUUUACUGCCUCUCUUAGAUACUUUCCAUUUCUUUGAAAUGUUGGAAUUUGUUAAGCUUUCCCAGCAACUCAUGUUGUGUGAACUCAUGUUUCAAAUUACAUUUCCUCUCACUUUCUAUGUGUUAAAUAUAUUAAGAUAGAUAGAUAUAUGUAUGUUUAGUGUUCUUGCUCUUCUUAGAUGGUUACCUUAACUUUUUUUUAGGUACUCUUAAGUGUUAUGGUAAAAAUUCAAUUGUCCUUUUCCUUAUCUAAUAUUUUGAUAUUCUUAUCGCUUAAGUAUGUGUUUGGAAUUUAUGAUUGUGUUGUUUCUUGGUUUGAAUGUGGAAGAAUUGUGUUAGGUUUGGAAAUUAAUUGUCUUUGUUUGUUUCUGUUGGUUUCUUCCAUUGUUUGACUUAUGUAAAUUGCAUUAUUAUGUAUUGUUUGAGUUUGUUUAUGUUAAUUUGCUAAUCUUUUAUUCCUUUAUUUCUUGGUGCAUGAACACUCUCUCGUUGAGUCCAAUUUGGACUCCCAUCUCAUGCAUUUUCCUCUCUUCGAGUCCUCCUCCAAGUCGUGAAAGAGAAGUUAUUUUUAUUGGGUUAAAAAUUCAAUAAAUGAGGCAGAUUGCAGCGGUCCUAAAGGGCUGAAACUUGAGUAUUUUGGACUUAAAAGCUUGGUAAAAUGACCAGCAGCAGUAGAGACCUCAAAAAGGCCGAAAAAGGAGAAACAAAAUUGGGUUAAAACCCCUAAAGGAUCAAGAGGCAACACAACAAUUUCAGCCCCGAAAUGAUCGAAUGUGGGCUGGAAUUUCCAGUUUUUGACUCACUGUUCAUGUUACUUCCUCUUAUUAUUUUAUUUGUGAUGGCUAACAUUUUCUUAAUCUAGAUGAAAUUCCCAUGGAUCUCUUCGAGUUUAUUUUUAUCAAAGUUUUCUUUAUUAUAAUUGGUAGCAUUUCAAAUUUUCAAAUUCCCAAAACUCAUUUUAAGUUAUGCAAUUUAAGCUUAUUAGAAUAAGGGAUAAGGGUAUGAAAAAUACCUUAACUUUGGUCGAAUUUGCUGUUGCGAUACUAAACUUUCAUGAGGACCUAUUACCUCCCUAGACUAUUUAAUACUGUAUUUUAAACAUACAUAUUUGCCCACGUGGACAUAAAAAAUAAUGCAAAAUUAUAAAUAGUAAUGUGUCCACGUGUGCACAUAUAUACCUUUAAAAUACACUAUUAAAUAGUUCAGGGGGUAAAAAAUACACUAUUAAAUAGUCUAGGGAGGUAAUAGGUCCUCAUGAAAGUUUAGUAUCGCAACAGCAAAUUCGACCAAAGUUAAGGUAUUUUUCAUACCCUUAUCCCUUAUUCUAAUAAGCUUAAAUUGCAUAACUUAAAAUGAGUUUUGGGAAUUUGAAAAUUUGAAAUGCUACCAAUUAUAAUAAAGAAAACUUUGAUAAAAAUAAACUCGAAGAGAUCCAUGGGAAUUUCAUCUAGAUUAAGAAAAUGUUAGCCAUCACAAAUAAAAUAAUAAGAGGAAGUAACAUGAACAGUGAGUCAAAAACUGGAAAUUCCAGCCCACAUUCGAUCAUUUCGGGGCUGAAAUUGUUGUGUUGCCUCUUGAUCCUUUAGGGGUUUUAACCCAAUUUUGUUUCUCCUUUUUCGGCCUUUUUGAGGUCUCUACUGCUGCUGGUCAUUUUACCAAGCUUUUAAGUCCAAAAUACUCAAGUUUCAGCCCUUUAGGACCGCUGCAAUCUGCCUCAUUUAUUGAAUUUUUAACCCAAUAAAAAUAACUUCUCUUUCACGACUUGGAGGAGGACUCGAAGAGAGGAAAAUGCAUGAGAUGGGAGUCCAAAUUGGACUCAACGAGAGAGUGUUCAUGCACCAAGAAAUAAAGGAAUAAAAGAUUAGCAAAUUAACAUAAACAAACUCAAACAAUACAUAAUAAUGCAAUUUACAUAAGUCAAACAAUGGAAGAAACCAACAGAAACAAACAAAGACAAUUAAUUUCCAAACCUAACACAAUUCUUCCACAUUCAAACCAAGAAACAACACAAUCAUAAAUUCCAAACACAUACUUAAGCGAUAAGAAUAUCAAAAUAUUAGAUAAGGAAAAGGACAAUUGAAUUUUUACCAUAACACUUAAGAGUACCUAAAAAAAAGUUAAGGUAACCAUCUAAGAAGAGCAAGAACACUAAACAUACAUAUAUCUAUCUAUCUUAAUAUAUUUAACACAUAGAAAGUGAGAGGAAAUGUAAUUUGAAACAUGAGUUCACACAACAUGAGUUGCUGGGAAAGCUUAACAAAUUCCAACAUUUCAAAGAAAUGGAAAGUAUCUAAGAGAGGCAGUAAACAGACCACAACAAUUAAUCUAAUUGAGACUUGAAAAUAUGUCUUUUCCAGAAAACCUAACUUAUUAAUCCAAUCUAAAAUGCAAUUUUCAUGUCAAGCAUAUGCAUCUUAUAUCUUAAACUAGGAGGACAAAUAUAUAUUUGAAAGAAGCAAUUUUUAAAAUCCAAAGACUCCAACAAGCUCAAUAUAGCAUUUUUAUACCAAACAACCCAAUGGCGAAGAGUAUACAACUUAUAUUUCUAAUUAUAUGCAUUCAAAAGAGGGUAAAUGGAAGGAAGGAAACCAUCCGUAAUUAUAUCGAUCAGCAACUAUAUAACAUGGAUUUCAAAGUUGAAUAAGAAUUAAGUUAACUAGAAGCACAUAUUUCACAUAGAUUUACGAACUCGGCUAAGCGAAGGAAUCAUCUACACAUUUUCUCAAGUAUAUGGAAAUAACCAUGAAGGAAAUAUAAAAUAGGCGAGUUCAAAUAAGUAACUUGAACAAGAUCAUACUUCAUAAGAAAACAGAAAAUAAACUAGCACACCAUAUAUGAUACUCGAAAAAAAUAAAAAAACAUACCUAGCCAUCAAGACACAUAAUAGAAAUAAGCAAUGGCCAUAAUGAAACGCCCUAAACAAAUUUACUUGCUGAACAAAUAAGAGCUAAACUUGGCUAAUCUACAAGAUUAAACUUGGCUAAUCUACAAGAUUAUAGGAAAUACCCAAAACUGAAAAUGACAGGAUAUUAGGAAGAGAAAACUAACUAAGCCAAAAUUAAUUUUUGCUCGGAAUAAACAACAACAACAACAACAAAAGAACACUUCAGAUAAUGAGGAAAAUAACAAUUUAUUUUUCUAUGCUAAAGCAGCUAAUACCAAACAUGAUUACAACGAGCAAAACAUAAUUGAGAGCGCACGAAACAUUGAAAUAAAGAGAAGAUUACCUGGUUCUGGGCAGCGAACCGGACGUCAAGUUUGACGGAGACGACCACCACCUCCUUCAACUCAAACAACCACAAAAGCUACAAAAUUUGAACUAUUGAACCAAGAAUUCCCAAAACAUUUAGGGUACUCUUUGGUCUCCAAAAAAAAUCCUCCUGAACAGUGAAGAGAGAAGGGCUUAUAUAGGACAAUUUCUGAGUCGAAAUUGAGGGGGAAAAUGAUGUGGGACUACUGUAAAUUUUGAAAUUCUUAGAGGAUAAGGUGUGAGCUGUAAUGUACCAUUCUCAACGGAAAAACUGACGAGGGCCGCUUGAUUUUGAACAAGGACGAGCGAGGCGUCAAGAUGCAAACACCUGGCUUCGUACGAGGAUAUUUCUGUACGAGAGGAUAAGGAGAGAGCACGCACUGCUGCUGGGUUCGCUAUUUGCUGUUGGUUCGCGUUUGGUACACGUUUUCUGGGUUUGGGUCGCAAUUCAGGAGAAGAAGACGCGUGAAGGUGUCGUUCUGGGUAUUGUACGCGUAUGUACUGCUGUACUGUUCUUUUGCUGAAAUAAAA
rnacentral:lncRNA from 1 species